rnacentral:lncRNA from 1 species
UCCCUAAGUGUUCCAUUAGGCAUAUACUCGUAAACCAGCAUCUGCUCUCCUUGUUCGAAACAGAAUCCCAAAAGACCAACAACAUUUUUGUGAUGAACGCGAGAGAGCAACUCAAUUUCAGUCGUGAACUCGACGCCUCCCUGCAUUGAUCCUUGCCGAGCUCUUUUGAUUGCUAUCACUUGUCCAUCAGAAAGCAUGCCCCUGUAAACCUAUGGAUAGCCAACCGAAAAGUACAGAAAAAAAAAAAUUUUAGCUUCAAGCACAAUUUCAUAGAUGUUACUGAAUGAGUUGUAUAUAUACCUUCCCGUAGCCGCCAGAUCCUAUCUCAUUACUGUCAGAGAAAUUAUUGGUGCACUUCUUAAGCUCAUCAUACGAAAACCAUCUUGCUCCCUUUAACUGUGGUGCACCGCCACUAUCAUUUCCGCUUGGCACCCAAGAAGCUGGAAGAUAGAGGAGAGUAGUGAAUAUAAGCUGAACAGUAUCUAGUAUUAGUGACAGAAUUUCAGUCUAGAAAUUAUCCACAACAGGAAUGAUUUCUUACCGAAAGGUCUGCUUAAACCAAUGGCUCUUUCCGCACGUUUCCUUUGCCUAAUGGCGUAAAUUCCUACUACCACGAGGCCCACAACAAGAACGAGACAACUAACUGAUAUCCCAACAAUAACACCAGUGCUCAUAAAGCUUUUAUGUGUGUCUGAAACAAUUCGGGUUUUUUACUGUCAUUUUAAUUGAUCUUCUAAUGCAGGGAAGGUGUAUAUGAACACUGUGAUUUAAAAUUACCUGGGAAAUUAUAUUGAGCUGGAAUAAAAACGAAGGGUCCAAACCCUUCUGGCGGCAUGUAAGGCUGACUGCUCAUAAGAAAACCAAUCCUGAUAAUCUCAGACCUAUUAAAAUAUGUUCCUGUAGGUGGAAAGAGAGCCACAUGUACUUUAAGAUGGUCAUCGUUGUCGAAGAAAGGGUUAUCAAGUGACACUGAACCGGGAGUGAGGUGAAGUUUCACCCAUUGUUCUAGGGAUUGAAACAGGGUCACAUUUGUCAAUUCCCUGAAAGUGGGCGCUCGGAAAUCCAGUGUUCCUUCAAAAGGAUAUCCACAAUGACAACUCUGAGGGCUUGGCUGCUGACCCCCGGGGCAUGUAAUGGAUGGACAAUCCGUGCUAGUAGCAUACGGUUUUGUAUUUGAUUGUGGAGGCUGACAGUACGGACUCGAGCUAGAUUCAUUGCACAAUGGGUUCCCAACAAGUCUGCAAUAUGAAAAAGUCACAACUAAGAAUGAUUGUCCCAUGAAAAUACAGAACAUCAUAGAAAAUUAAGAUCGAGGCCUGUGAACCAUCUUACAUUAAUGUAUUUUUGUACUUAUAACUCUGGGUUAUUCUCUGAAUCUGAUUGUUCUGCAGAUCAACAAGCGUCAGUUGCGGACUGAUGUAAUCACCCAUGUUAAAUGUGUCGUUAAACGCAUUGUUUUUCAGUUUCCUGUCGAGUAACAGAAAAGAUGAAUGGCCAGUUUACUGAAAUUGCAGCACGUAGAUGAAUUAUUCCGUUAUUCUCCUUAUACUUACACUUGCUGCAAUGACUGUAUGCUGAACAUCUGCUCUGGCACAGUCCCUUGAAGUGCUACAUUUUCUAAAACGCUGGCAUCAUAACAGUAAAUAAUUUCAAAAUGAUAUCACAAUAAAUUUUUCACUGUGCUUUUCCAAGGCUCAUCAAUAUAUGUUAGAGUUCUAUGGAACAGCAGAGCACAAAACCAAGAAGAAAUCAAUAAGAUUUUGAUUUCAACCAAGAACGAAAACGAAAAUGGAGAUGCGAAGAAGAUGAAGAGCUCUGUGCAUUUUCUGAUUUCAUUCAGCUAUGACUGAAAAAAGAUUAAGAAGCUACAAACGUAGAGUGGGGGAAGAGAUAUAGCUGUUUGAAGGCGCACUACCUCUCCCAUUACACAAACUCACGUGUAUCUCACAUGCUCACAUAUGAGUGAGAUGUUAUACCAUGAGACACACAUACAUUUAGCCUAUUAGCUUUGAUUUAAUCUCAGCCUUACAUUUCAAAACUAAGAGAAAAGAGACUUUGAAUUACAAUGAAACAGAACACAACAAACACAAGGCAGCUGCAAGGCUUAAACAUCAACAAUAUAUACCAAGACAUUUUCAUGUAACCUCCACCAGACUUACAUAGUGGUGAGCGAUGGCAAGGUUGAGAACCAACCCGGAGCUUCUGACGGAUCAAACGAGUUGUAACUAAGGUCUCUGAAGUAAAAUCAUUAGGAUUUAUCAGUACAACACAAGAACAACCCGGAAAACUGAAACUGCAAAUGACAGCUCCAUGCCAUGUACUCACACAUAAUGGAGGGCAUUCAAUCCAGUUAGGUCGGGUAAAGGGCCGUCCAAAUUGUUGUGCGCGAUAUUUCUGGAAGAGAAUAUAAAAACCGUGUAAAAGUUGAUUAACCAUCACUAAGAUUACGGUAAAAGCACACCAAAGUAUUUUCUUUGAGAGUUUGUACUCACAAUUUACUGAGAUUUUUUAGGUUGGAGAUAUUUGAGGAGACUGGUCCCGUCAGAGCAUUCCUAUCAAGCCGCCUGUUGCAGAAAAGAACGGUUUUAGUCUAAUAAGUGUCAAGAAGCAGAUAUGCUUAAAUGUGGAAGAAAAAGAAAAAUCAAGAUGGCUUUUUACUCACAGAAUGUCGAGAGUCUGAACGGAAAAUAUUGUUGAUGGAAUAGUCCCAGUGAAUCCAUUUCCAUCAAACAAUCUGCAAAUAAAGAAUGACAAGCAGUUUAAGUAUAAGAACAUAAACUGAUAGAUAGGAUCCGGACAAAUUAGAAACUGAUCGUUUGGAUCAACUUACACAUGGAUCAGUGUCAUCUUGGAGCUGAAAAGUCUGGGUGGAAUGGUACCUGAAAGCUGGUUCUGGUUCAAAUGGCUGCAAAUUCAUAUAAUCUGUUUUAAGUUUACGCAAUAAGCAGUGGCAUAAUCCUUACUAGAAUUUCAUUUUCUUUCCCGAAUGGAGAGAGUUUCAAAACGGAAAAUACUCACAAAUGUUUAGCGUUAAACAGUUGGUCUAAGCCGGGGGUAGUGCCGCUCGAAACUGGGAGAGGUCCAGUCAACUGAUUGUCUGCCAGGUCCAGCCAAUAGAGGUUGGAGAGAUUACCCAAAGAAGCAGGUAUACUACCGGUGAAGUUAUUCGUAUUCAAAGCCCUGAGAAAAACCAAGGUUAUAUAAACGUGGGAAAAGAAAAACAUUAUAUUGGUUUGCACUAACGGUAUGAAUAAUUAGUCCAAUUCUUACAAGAAGAGUAGCUCUCCAAGUUUCCCCAAUUCACUUGGAAUAAUUCCACUGAAGCCGCAACCAGCUAGGAUCCUAAGAUGGAAACAGUCUCGUAUAAUUAUCCGAUAUAAAAACUCAUGUUCCCUAAAGUUCAAAAGGUGCAGAUGUGAAAAAUAGCUUGGUAAAUUGUUCUUACAGGAAGUUUAGAUUGCUCAGAUCCCCUAAUCGUGGAGAGAGAGAACCGGUGAGGCCUUUGUUGAAUGAAAGAUCCCUGCAAUGUUAUCGUUUCAGCUUCGUCACAAAAAGAAUUCCAUCCCUAAUCAAGAUUGAGCUAAACAAAAUAACUGACACUGCGAAAGUAAACACGUUUUAUGCAUAUUUUUUAAUUAGACAUCAAAUUUGUUGUGUGUUGCUCAGUUCAUAAUAUAGUGCAAAAAUAUGCUGGUAUGAAAGGAGGAACAAUCUCACUCACAAGGAUCUUAACUCAGAGAGCCCCGCGAUGUCGCCUUCAAUUUCCCCUUGCACGUUCAUUCCUGAUAAUCGCCUGCACAGUGAACAUCAGAAGAGGUUCUGGUUCAAAAGCUUAUUAAGAAAGUAAGCGAGAAUGCUCGUAAUUACAACGAUCACAUCAGAAUGCGAAGAUGAACAACACUCACAGUGCAGUCACCCUCGAACUGUUGCAAGUGAUGCCUUCCCAGCGCUCCCCACAUGGAUCGUUUGACUUGUCCCAGCUGGGUGGAACGUUGCUCCAUGUCUGCCUCAAGGACUGGAGUGCACUAGCUGGAUCAACACACUUAUAAAUCAAUCAACUACCUUUAAUAGGAACAAUGAGGGUUAGAACGAAAUUUAACCAAAACUUCAAAAUAAUUCACAUUAGACCGAAAUUAAAUGGACUAAUCGCUUAGUACACACACGAAAGAAUCUACACCAAGGAUGCAUAAUACUGGUAUCCCAAACCAAUCACACUGUGUCAUCCGUUUUUACUUUUCCCAUAUAAUAAUAGAUGAUUGAUUUAGAAUAUUGUCACGGAGAAUAGGAAGAUGAACAUGAUAUCACAAAAAACCUCUCAAGUGAACGGAUAUGAAGGUAGCUUUGAAAUUGUAGACCAAAAGUAGAAACUACACAAAACCCAAUUUUCCCAUGAAUUAAGAGAUCAAUAUACAUACAUAUACAUAUAUAUAUAUAUAUAUAUUGAUCUUUAAGACUAUACAUACCAUCAUCUAUGUGUGUAGAAGAAGAUAUCACAUGAAUUCCAGAGAAGCAGAAAGCCAGAAAGAACAGCAGCAGCCGCAUGGUUGCCUUGGGAAAUUUGUGUGUGAAUCUGUGAGGCCGAUCAGCUAGUAAGCAGAAGCCAAAAUGCACAUUUGUACAAAAUUCCACUUCGUUGAAAUGUCAAUAAAAAUACUUUUCAAACAUAUCUUCUUCCAUACAUACGAACUACUACACCAUUUGGAUGGUUGGAAUUUUAUUUAAUGAACAAAAUUAAGAGUCCCAGGCAUGCAUGUACAUGCUUCCCACCAAGCAACCAAAAAAGUGCUUUUUUGGAAGCUCUGCUUAUUUUUAAGCAAUGAAGUGGAUUUCCUGAGUUGGGUUCUUUCAACUGUCUCCAAAAAAUCACCAUGCAGGCUACAAACCUCCCACUUUAUUUAAUUAAUUUAAUCACUUCAUUUAAUUAAUUUAAUUUAAUCUAAUUAUAUGCUAAUUGACUAUGAUUACGACAGAGAGUGAUGAGAUGAGAUGAUGGUUGUUUUUUUGCUCUGGAAGACUAACCGGAAAGAUACGAAGAUUUUGGUUGGUGGGUCCUAAAACUCUGACAUGAAAUACAAGGCGACGGGCUCCUCCUCCUUCGGCUGGGACCGAUUCCUGGUUUCAUCCUUGUUCUUGUUGAAUAAAUAAUGAACACCGUUUGGUCGUUUCCUAAGGAAAUAUCUAAUAUGUUCAGAACAAAUCAAAAUUAAAUAACGAUAUAUUGAUAACAUAAUAAGGACAUAACAAUCAAAUAUCGAUAGUCAACAAUUGUAAUUUAAGAAAAAAUCAUUUUGACCAAUAAAAUUAAUAGACAAUACAUGUGGUUAUUCUUCCUCCUUCAGCGCCAGGACAUGAUAUAAUUUUGUCGUAUUAUUAUCAGAAGAGUAAAUUGUAGCUAUGGUCCGUGAACUUUACUCAAAUUGGAGCAAUGAUCCUUCAACUAAAAAUCCAUUACCAUUGGUCCUUCAACUCAUUAAAACGUGCAGCUAUGGUCCCUCAACUAAAAAUCCAUUACCUUUGGUCCCUCAAUUUUAAUUCAACUGGAGAAAUGGUCCCUUAACUUUAUCUCAAUUGUAGCUAUGGUCCUUCAAACAUAACUCGUUUUGACAAAAUUUUUUACGUAGUUGACAAAAAUGACCAUAAUUACACACUUUGAUGAGUUGAGGGACCCUAAUUAAAUAAAUGGUUAUUCCAACAUAACAUAUUUUGACAAAAUUUUGAAGAAAUUAAUGAAAAGGACUAUAACUACACAUUUUGAUAAGUUGAGGGACCAAUGGUAAUGGAUUUUUAGUUGAGGGACCAUUGCUCCAAUUUGAGUAAAGUUCAGGGACCAUUGCUACAAUUUACUCUUAUCAGAAUUGUUCAUUCUUUUUAUCACCAUCUAACAACCAUCUCUACAAAAAUUCAUUCGUUUGGACAUCAUUUAGUCAUCCAUAUAUGCCAGACCAAUCGUCAGUCAUGAUAACAAGUAACAUCCUGAUUAUGAACCAUCAAUUUGUGUGAUUCAUAUGAAUGACUAAAGGAUUUCUAAAUCAAAUAGUUUUUUUAAAGAUGUUCAUUUGGAAGAAAAAUAACUCUUUAUAUGUAAGGAGUCAAAUAAUAAUUUUUUUAUAUACAUAGUAAUUGUUUAUAGAGUCAUUCUUUCUUAACUGCAUCACCCGUCUUAAAUGAGAAGAACUUGCAUGCAAUCAGUUUGGUAAAUUGAUUGCAUUCAUGUCUAGGUCGACACUAAAAUAUACGAGGACGCAUUAUAGGCUUAAAAGAUAUUGAACAAGUUAUAACACAUGACCACACAUUAUUAACAAAGAUGCCGCCAAUAGUGUCCUUGCAAGCAAGUUUCUCUUCAACAAUUGUAAUUUAAGAAAAAAUUAUUUUGACCAAUUAAAAUUAAUGACAAUACAAGUGGUUAUUCUUCCUCCUUCAACGCCAUGAUAUGAUAUAAUUUUGUUGUAUCAUUAUCAGAAUUGUUCAUUCUUUUCAGGAUUUUUAUCACAAAUGAUCCCUGAAAUUGACUUACUCCAUCAAGAUAAUGUAGUCCUUGAAAAUAGAUGGCGCAAAUCAAUGUGGUCCUUCCGUUAGAAUUCCGUUAAUAUUUCUGUUAUGUGCUGAUGUGGCACAUAAAUAGGUCCCAUAAAUCUAAUUAAAUAUUACCAUGUGGAUUAAAAAUGUUUAAAUAAUAUUUUUUUUAAGUUUUAUAUAAUUAAAAAUGAAAAAAAAUCGAAAAAAAAAACAAGAAGAUCAACAGUUCAUCUUCUUCUUCGCCUCCCACUGGAGCAACCACCCAAGUCCCUACCCCACCCUGUCGCACAUGUAAUGAUAGCCAAAGAGAUGGCCCAACGCCUCAAAGAAACCUCCCUCUUCCAACUCCCCAACCUCCCCACCUCUAUUUCAUGCAUCCAAAACUACUAGUCCAAGCUCUCCUCCCUCUCCCUCCUUCCCAAUAUUGUCAAUUGCUGCUUUGACCCUUUCCAGUUUAUCAUCACUGCAGUUUCAUGUGCGACUAGGUGGGGUGGGUUGUUGAGUUUGCUCGGAUAGGAGGGGAAGAAGAAGAUGAACAAUUCAUCUUUUUUUUCUCUUUUCCUUUUAUAUUUUUUCAGACUUGAAAAUUAAAAAAAAAAAAAAUUAAAAACAGAAUAAGAUGCUUCCUCAAUGCGCCCGGCAAUCCCACACUGAGUGACAACAAGACGUCGGUCUUGACCCACAACACCUCCUCCGGCAACGCGUAGUCGAGCACUGAAACCAGGCAGGAGUAAAAGCCCCUGGUGAUUUUGGAAUUGUUGUUUGCCGCGAAUCUCAACUUGCCCUCCUCGUCCAUCUUGGCUUGUAGCCACACCCGGGUCGUGCAACCCAUGACCCACUUUGAAUCAACCAGACCCAAAUCAUCAAACGGUGAGAGGAGAGUUGCAUAGUGCAACAGGCGUUUAACCCUGUUGAUUGGCUCGGGGAGUUUAACGUCGCCGUUCGAGCCUUUCUUGCACUCAUCGUCAUCAUCGCAAAUGUAAUCGAAGCCAAAAACAACCCCACCAGGAAGUGCUGAACAUGGAAGUGAGUGACUUGUUGGGCUUGAAAGAAGUGAAGGGGGAGGAAGAGAAGACUUUGAGCACCAUGGUUAUCGCAGAGCAAGCAUUUUUUUUAUUUUUUAUUUUUAGUUUUUUAUUAAAAAAAUAAAAUAAAAUAAAAACUUUUUUAUUACUUAAAUAUUUUUUAUUCAGAAAAUAAUAUUUUAUUAAAUUUGUGGGAUCCAUUUAAGUGCCACAUCAUCACUUAACAGAGUUUUUGACGGAAUGGUGAUGGAAGGACCACAUUGAUUUGUGACAUCUAUUUUCAGGGACUACAUUGAUCGAUUUUCAAUUUCAGGGACCAUUUUGAUGAGAUGGGUCAAUUUCAGAGAUCAUUUGUGAUAAAAACCCUUCUUUUUAUCAUUUUUUAACAACCAUCUCUACAAAAAUUCAUUUGUUGGACACCAUUUAGUCAUCCAUAUAUGCCAGGCCAAUCGACAUUCAUGAUAAUAAGUAACAUCCUUAUUAUGAACCAUCUAUUUGUGUGAUUCAUAUGAAUGACUAAAGGAUUUCUAAAUCAAAUAAUUUUUUUAAAGAUGUUCAUUUGGAAGAAAAAUAACUCUUUAUAUGUAAGGAAUCAAAUAAUAUUUUUUUAUAUACAUAGUAACUGUUUAUAGAGUCAUUCUUUCUUAACUGCAUCGCCCGUCUUAAAUGAGAAGAACUUACAUGCAAUCAAUUUGGUAAACUGAUUGUAUUCGUGUCUAGGUCGACACUAAAAUACAUGAGGAUGCAUUAUAGGCUUAAAAGAUAUUGAACAAGUUAUAACACAUGACCACAUGUUAUUAACAAAGAUGCCGCCAAUAGCGUCCUUGCAAGCAAGUUUCUCUUCAACAAUUGUAAUUUAAGAAAAAAUCAUUUUGAUCAAUUAAAAUUAAUAGACAAUACAUGUAGUCAUUCUUCCUCCUUCAACGCCAUGACAUGAUAUAAUUUUGUCUUAUCAUUAUCGGAAUUGUUCAUUCUUUUUAUCACCAUCUAACAACCAUCUCUACAAAAUUUCAUUCGUUUGGACACCAUUUACUUAUCCAUAUAUGCCAGACCAAUCAGCAGCCAUGAUAACAAGUAACAUCCUUAUUAUGAACCAUCAAUUUGUGUGAUUCAUAUGAAUGACUAAAGGAUUUCUAAAUCAAAUAAUCUUUUUAAAGAUGUUCGUUUGGAAGAAAAAUAACUCUUUAUAUGUAAGGAGUUAAACAAUAUUUUUUUAUAUACAUAGUAAUUGUUUACAGAGUCAUUCUUUCUUAAGUGCAUUGCCUGUCUUAAAUGAGAAGAACUUACAUGCAAUCAGUUUGGUAAACCAAUUGUAUUCGUGUCUAGGUCGACACUAAAAUAUACGAGGACACAUUAUAGGCUUAAAAGAUAUUGAACAAGUUAUAAUACAUGACCACACGUUAUUAACAAAAAUGCCGCUGAUAGCGUCCUUGUAAGCAAGUUUCUCUUGUAUGUUAGAAAUACAUGGCAAUAAAACAACAUAUAAGGCCAUCUCCAACUGAAGGGUCCAGAGGGCCAGAGGGCUGAAAAUAGCUCGAAAAUCGUCUCCAACCGAGGGCUGUGCCAGAGGGCUCUGGAAUAUGGGAGGGCCCUAAGGAAUCAGAGAGGGUUGGCAAUUUUUUUUUUAAAAUGUUUUGUUAUUUCUGUCGGUUAUAACCGACAGAAAUAAUAUAUACUAUAUUAUUAGUGUCGGUUAUAACCGACACUCAUAGCAAUGUUAAUAUAAUAACAGUUUGAACAGUGUCAGUUAAAACCUUCACUAAUUCUAAUUUGAAUUCCAAUUGUGUCGGUUAUAACUAACACUAAUUUGGAUUCCAAAGGCUAGCCAGUCGCUAGCCAGUCACUAGCCGUUGUAUUCAAUUUUUUUUUUGUUUUAAUGAAUUUAAACCUUUUUCUUUUCUAUAACUUCCUAUAACUUUUUAUCUAUAACUUAUAUUUUACAAAAUUUGGUUCAUAUUUUUUUUUUUCGUAUAACUUCUAUUUUACAAAAUUUGUUUCAUAUAUAUUUUUUUUUAAUUCCAUUUUUUUGCCUAUAACUUCUAUUUCAUAAAAUUUGUUUCAUAUUUUUUUUUAAAUUCCAUUUUUUUUUCCUAUAACUUCUAUUUCACAAAAUUUGUUUCAUAUUUUUUUUUUCCUAUAACUUCCUAAGCCAUUAUACAACAUUAAAUUAUAUUAAGUAACAUGAAACAACAUUAAACAAUAUGAAACAACAUUAAAUAACAUUAACCAACAUAAAAAUUAUACAACAUGAAACUUAAACAACAUUUUUAAAAACAUUUAAAAACAUAAAACGUAAAUGCCUACUCCAUGCUUCUUUGGGCCCAAAGAUGUGCAACAAGAUCUUGUUGUAGGUACUUGUUUGUGGCACGAGAACGUAUCAUUCUAUAGCGUCUCAUGUACUCAUCUAUAGAGAUACUACCAGUUCUUGGAUUGAAAGGCAAAUUAGGCUCAUAAUAUAUUUUUGCACGAGCCCUUCUUGACCUAUUUGGAUUUUCUUGGUCGUCAUCGGACUCUCCAUCAAUAUACCCAUCUCGCUCAUCCUUCACUAUCAUAUUGUGUAAUAUGAUAUGAUGCAAGACAUCAUGAUGGAGUCCAAAUUUUCUCGACUCUACCCUUUUGCUGGUUUGCUGAUGAUCUUCCACCGUGCUUGUAGAAUACUAAAAGCUCUCUCAACAUCUUUCCGAUAUGCCUCUAGGUGUAAGGUAAACAACUUUUCCGCGUCAUUCCUAGGGUUUGGAAUUGCAAGUGUCGCCCACUUUGGGUAGAUGCCAUCUGCCAAGUAAUACCCCAUAUUGUAUUGACGGCUGUUGAUGUAGUAGUUGAGUUGAGGUGCUUUACCUUCCGUCAAGUUAUUGAAAAGGGGUGAAUGCCCAAGAAUUGUAAUGUCAUUUUGGGAUCCAGGGACUCCAAAGAAAGCAUGCCAGAUCCAUGUGUCGUAUGAGGCAACCGCCUCUAACACAACAGUUGGCUUUCUCGACCUUCCGCUAAAGCCUCCUUGCCAUCCGGUGGGAUAGUUCUUCCAAUCCCAAUGCAUGUAGUCUAAUGACCCUAUCAUGCUCGGAAACCCACGGUCUUCAGCUUUGCGAAUGAGCCGAUUCAGAUCUUCUUAUUUGGCUCACGGAGGUACUUAUCUUUGUAAACCUGAACAAUUGUGUCACAAAAUUCUUCAAGAGUAUCAAGGCAUGUAGACUCAGACAUACCAUAGGUUUCAUCCAUCGAAUCAGCUAAGGAGCCAUAGGCCAUCAUUCGGAGUGUAACAGUAACCUUCUGAUGAGGUGAGAAACUAGGGCGGCCUGCUCUGUCCUGCUUCUGUUGAAAGUACGGAUUGACCUGCUGGACAUCAUGAAGUAAACGUUCGAAGACAUGACGCUUCAUCCGGAAGCGAUGUCUGAAAUCCUCUUCUGUGUACACCGAGUUGGGGUCGAAGUAGUUGUUCAUCAGAUUGGCAUGCGUCAUCUCUCUGUUUCAUGGUUUGUAAGAGCAACCAGCAAUAGAGCCACCCCAUUGAGGUUGUUCCUCAGUUGGCUGGCACACCAUGGCCGCAGCCAUGGCUGCUGCUCUGUUUUGUUUGUUGCGCCUUACUUGAACUUCUUCAUCAGACUCUUCAUCUUCUCAUCUCAUUUGCACCCAUUUUGCUUCUCUUUUGGAAUUGGAUGAGGACCCUCAGUUGAAAUUUGAAGAGGAUCCAAAGUUAGAAUUCAUUGCAAAUUUGAAUUGAAAGAGAUUGAAUUGAAAUAGAUUAAAUUCAAAGUUGUGUGAAUUAUAUCCCAACAUCCACCCUAUUUAUAGAAAAAAAAAAAUUCAAAUCCAAAGGCUAGCUGACGUUAGGUACCAAGCUGACGUCAGGUACCAACGGCUAGCUGACGUCAAUUAGCCGUUGGAUUUGAAUUUAAGUUGUAGUUUUUAAAUAAUAAAUUAUGUUUGGCCCUAUGGCCCUUUGGCCCUCGGUUGGAUACGGUUUUUUAUGACAGGGCUAAAACAAGUCUUCUGGCCCUCUGGCCCUCGGUUGGAGACGGAGGUAAAUAUGGCCCUGUACAGUUCAUUAAAAUAUUAAUAUCUUGAAGGAUCUUGGAGGGCCAGAAGGCUAAAACGAGCCAUCUGGCUAGCCAUCGGUUGGAGAUGGCCUAAGUUUAACCCUAAUUUAUCUGUAACUGGGAACCAACUUUCGUAAGAAAUAUAUAUGAGGAGUAAGAAGUAAGGACGACCUAUGGUAUGUCUGUAACUAGUGUCAUUGUCUCCACUAGGUGGUGGUGACGGUUGAGGCCAUUUUUAUGAAGGUAGGGUUUUCUUCUCUUUUUGUUUUCUUAGCAUUAAAGAUCUUAUUGAAACAAACGAUUUCUAGAUUGCGACUGUGUCUAUAACAACAAUAAAGCUUUAUUUUAUUAAGUGGAGUUGGCUUUAUGAAUUCUAGAACGUCAUUGUGCUCGGUUUUGCGCCAAGUCCUCUGUUAGUUUCAAAUACUCCAUGUAUUUUCUUAAAGUUUCUUUUCAAGUCUUCAUCUACUCUUUUUGCCCUAAGCUUAUAUUUCAUAAUCGCAUUUUCUAAUUAGAGUAUCUGUAUGUCUUCGUUUCACACGGUCAAACCACCUCAACCAAGACUCUAAAAAAUAAAAUAUCCAAAUUCACUACAAUAAAGAAAAUUCUUUCUUUUGGUGAGCCAAAAUCCAAAUACAUAAACCAAGUACAAAUUGCCGUCUAACACGGCACCAAUAAGAACAACUCCAACUAUAAGGGUUUUCGUUCACAAAGAAAAUUCAACAUCGUUUGGAUAAACAACACUAUGAAGGCAACCAACGACAUCUUCAGUUUGGAUAAACAGCACUGAAGCCUUAGAACUAGCUGAUCGAUAAACUCUUUCAAUUUAGAUAGACAACACUGUUUUGAGGCUGACUGGUUAUUUAUCCAAGUCAUGGCCAAUAGGGAUUUCCAAGUCUUUGUUGGUAGAGGUCAUCUCAUCAACCUUCUCGGCGAAGUGAAGUGUUACAAGGAUACUUGGCUAGGCAUAUUGAAACCGAGUUUUGUUUAUGAUUGGAUACUCGCAAGUAAGUUUCAGAGUUCAGCAUUUCGACGGCCAAACCAUAUUUACGCUAAAGGCAUACAUUUCUUUCGAGUAUUUGUGUCCAUAUAGUUUGGUACCAGUUCAGUGUGCUUAUACUCUCACGAAUAUAAUCACUGUGACCGAACCCAGCAUUGACAAUUUGUGAACUUCGCAAAACUAACUGCCUUGUCUUCAGGCUUUAAAACCUAAAUGUUGACACAUGUUCCUUCCUCAGCCUCAGUCGCAAGAUCGAGAAGUCAACAGCAUGCUCAACGUAACAUUAACAUAUUUUACUUCCCGGCCAAAUUCGGCUGACGAGUUGGCAUGCCCUGCACACAACCGAAUAACGUAAUUAGCUUAUUAAUUACUCAACAUGCGCGCCACGUAGGCAUUGUAGUUUUUAGGGUCAAUAUUUUGGCAUGCCGGUGAGAUCUAGUGCUAAAACUACGAAGUUCAUGACCAUUAAAACACGGUCAGUAAAAAAAGAAAACAAUCAUGGUAAAGUCGACGACUAAUCUUCAAGUCCAAAACCUAGGACAAAAUGGCUUGUUACAGGCACAUAAUCAUCCUGCUGUUGUGACACCUGAAGCCACAAGUGUGACACGCAGAGAAAAGGAAGUUAAUCUCGACAGUCAGACUCAUGAUACAGAAUUCCCCACCAAAGUGACAAAAGACAUUUUUGUUGAAUAACUAGUAGAUGAUUGUGACAAGGACGGUGGUAAGGCCUCUGAUCUACCAACUAGAUCGUUUCUUCGACGACGACUUGAAGAACAAUCCUGGCUGUUUGAGCAAAUGUUUAGCCGAGAGGUAAAGAGUACUUGAAUAGAUGCGUGAUAAUAGCGCUGUGCACAACAUAAUGCUCGAAUCUCUGGUUAACGAAGUCCACGAAAGUGGACCUGCUGAUCGUUCCAGACAACCUCUUCUAAAGAAUAUUCCCUACCAGCGAUAUAAGCUGAGACAGGAUCUGCUCGGCUCAAAAUGAUUGACUUAGGUGCAUCGAGUUGCAGAUCAGACAAAUUUGACCAAAGAGCACAAACGACAUAUGUUAACAUGGUUGAAGUCCAUAUGAUGAUUGAUUCGAUUGAAAAAAAAGGGGCUAAAGUUUCCAAAGUUCAUUCACCCAUAUCCAGUCUUUGAAGAAAGGUUCGAGUAUCCUAAGAGAUUCCAGUCUUUAGCCUUUUCGUUGGGGAAUCAUCCGUAUCCUCGUUGGAACACGUGGCUCGGUUCACCGCUCAAUAUGGAGAUGUCAACAGUGACUUUCAUAAAUUACGGCUUUUCAAUUUUUAGUUGACCGGCUCAACAUUUGCAUGAUACAUCAAUCUCCCGCCCAACUCCAUCCAAAGUUGGGAUGAAUUAGUUGAGAAAUUUCAUAAGCAAUUAUAUCGGCCAAGGAUGGAAAUGUCAGUCUCUUCUUUGGCUAGGAUGGCUCAAUCAUCCGAUGAGUCACCAAUGGAAUACCUUAUGAGGUUUACGUCGGUAAAAAACUAGUGCCGAGUACCUCUCCCUGAAGUUGAGUUCUUUAGGAUCGCCUUAAAUGGCCUAGACAUGGAGUACAAAAAGAAAUUCUUCGGGGAAAACUUCCCAAGAUAUGUACGAAUUGGCUCAACAUUAUCGAGCAAUAUGAUUAUUUACUCUGAGAAGAGAAGAUCUCGAAGUCCCCAUCAAGAGGAACGGUCUACAAGAACCCUAUGGUCAAUUAUGCAUCGGUCGAAUGCGAAUAGUCCCAAUAUGCCAGUAUAUAAGCGGGUGAGAUAGUAAUCAACAAACCAUACAUAUGCAAAGCAUUGACCCAUGCUAACUCCAAGGAUGCCAAAACCCGAUCGGCAUCUGAGGAAGCUGCCAUCAAAAAGUCAAAAGUCUAUACUUUUGACAUCACCAAGUCCGAUGCCAUCUUCGACCAGUUAUUGCUAAUGAAAAUUGUCAAGCUUUAGCCACAUCAUAAUAUUCCCAAGGCCAAAGAUUUAAAAGGUAAGACAUGUUGUAAAUACCACAACUUGAAUAAGCAUACUACAAAUAAUUAUGUCGUAUUUCACGAUGCCAUUCAAAGCUGGAUCGAAAAUGGUAAGCUCAAGUUUCCUGAGAAACAAAUGGUCAUUGACGCCGAUCUUUUCCCUACAACAACAAUUCCCUACAACAACAAUGAGUAUGAUAGAUGCUUACCUACCCAAAGACAAGAGAAAGGGAAAAACAGAGUUCAUCCAGACGCAAUAUGUACUUAGGUAGAAUGCUCGACUGCGAUUGAAGGUCGAUCUAUCCUCGGACGAGCCACCCAGAUAUUUUUCAAACCCAAUUUAUGCUGAGUCAAUGUCAGACUCCAGCACAAAGAAAACUAACAGGUCGAUGGUUUUAUGCAACCGGUGCAAAUCAAGCGUCAUCAUAACUAAGUCGAAUUAACAGCCACUUCAGGUUGAAGUACCGUAAUUAGCGCUUGAAGCUACGGCGGCGUCUGGAAAUAUGCUCGGUCCAAGCUAACACUAGAAAGUUUUCGAUAGGCUCGAUCCUAAAUAACAGGAUGGCAAGCCGUCUUCGGCCAGACGGUGACUUGAUUUUGACGCGUCAUUUUACAAUGAAGAUUAUUAUGUACGUAACUCUAGCAGCUCGAGUUCAUCCACGAACUAGCGAACCUUCAAGCCACCUGAGCCAUGCGACCAACGUUGGUAUAGCUUGCUGACAAGUAGCCCAGACUACCAUGGCUACCAAAUGGCAGUCGAAAGAAACAGUGGAUAACGAAGAUGACCGACAACUUUCAGAAAUCAUGGAUGAGUAGCUUCAAGGAAAAAAGGUGAUCGAUCGCAAUUUUGAAACCACAAUUGAAGAAUCCAAGAAGCGAAUCAAACUUCUUCUUUGGCCUAGAGAGAUGAAAGCUCGCCUUGAGCACUUCCGAAAGGAAGUCGAAAGCAAACUUCCUCCUUUACCCCCACAAGAGCUAUUAAUAAAUUUUGACGGAAUCUUCAUCUGCCGUUUCUCAGUGAAGCUUUGGAAUACAUACGGGAGUUUCAUAAGAAAUAUUCGGCCAAUGACUUGUACGACGUAUGAAAAGCAUGUCAAGAGGCUCUAGAUCUGGCUUUAACCUGCCCCGAUGCUGAACAGAUCAUCCAGAAGACCACGGAUCCAGGAAUGAAGGCUAGGUUUUAACAUAUACGUGAGCCCCGAGUUCUCAGCUUUGAGGUGGAACCUUAUACUGAUAUUGAUAUUACCGAGCUUCCUUUCUCUCUUGAGGAUCUCCAGUAUUUACGAUAUAAUUUUGAAGUUUUCUUGGCCAUGUCCAUCUUUGGCCUUACAACCAAUGAAAAAGAACACAUGGUGCUAUUAGACGCUUACUUGGACACGGGGGACGUCUGUAUCGCAUAUCAGGAGCGGACUUGCGAGGCUUCACAAGAGCAAAACCAAGUCCCAACGCCAAGCGAGCCUAAGAUCGACAUGAAGAAUGACACAACUGUAACGAACAUGUUGUAGGAACAUAUUCUCAUGACAGCCGAAUAAGAUCAAGAGAGUAAUGUCUACGAGCAUGAUACCUCGCCCGAAAAUCCAAAGGACGAAAAUCACGACCUGAUUGGCUUUUCGGUCCUCGACAACAUAUAAAUCAACAUGGUCCAUGUCUUACCUGCCGAGUUCGGAUCAACCACAUCCUAACCAAAUUUCUUGGACAGCGAUGUGGUUGCCGAGGAGGCCAUACAAGUUAAUUUUAUGGCCACCGAAGAGAUUGAACAAGUAAGCAAGGAAGAUAAACUUAGAAAACCUCUCGCCGAAUUGUUUCCCCAUUCUCCAUUCGUUAAUCUCCAACAUCUGAAGCCGUUGUAUGUCACGGCCCAUAUUGAAGGAUACCCGGCUUCCAAGAUUUUUGUCGACUGUGGAGCAAUGGUCAAUAUUAUGCAUGUUUCUGUCAUGAAAACACUACGUCGCUUCAACGACGAACUCAUUCCAUCAGGGGUAACCAUGAGUAGCUUUGUCGGUGAUAAAUCUCAGACCAAGGGAGUACUUCAUUUAGAGGUGAAUAUCACAGGUUGAAAUCACAUGAUCGCAUUUUUUUAUAAUCGAUUUAAAGACUGAGUAUAAUGCAUUGCUUGGUCGUGAGUGAAUCCACCAAACUAGCAGUAUCCCUUCAUCAUUAUUUCAAGUCCUCAUCUUCUGGGAUGGUAAAUCGGUGGUAGUUUAUCCAGCCGAUAAUUAGCCGUUCGAAGCCAAUAUGAUUCAAGCUUACUAUUACGAUGAUCAUGUCGGCUACAUCACCCUGCAAGGUUUUAACUACGAAUGGCGGAUGACUCAGAUUUCAGUUCAGAAAGUCAUCGAAGUUGGUGCCGAGAUUAUUCACCAGGAUUCGGCAAGACUCGGGUUCGCCAACAUAAUUGACGAUCCUGAUGUUUGAUACCAAACAUGAUAGACGCCAGGUUGCAGUUUCAUGUAUCAUGGAAUGCCUGCUGGUCCAUUGGUAUACUAUUUCCAAGCAACCGAAUUUCGGCAUGAACUUAGUCAAGUUCUUUACCAAAUGAGACAACGGUCCAGUUUUGUCACUUGACAAAGUCUAAGCUGCCCUAGCCGAGCUCGAAGACAGUCGGCCCCAAGUCAAAGAUCCAUUGGAUGAAAUAAAUGUUGGAAUGGCUAAUGACCCUCGGCCUUUAUUUAUUAGUGUUUUAUUACCCCAAACUAUGAAAACUGAGCUUUGUAAAUUAAUCGAAGAAUUUAAAGAUUGUUUUGCUUAGAGUUACCAUGAGAUGUCUGGUUUAGAUCGAACACUCGUCGAGCACGAAUUACUCAUUAAGGCUAGUCGUAAACCUUUCCGCCAACCCCCCCUGACGAUUCUCGAUCGAAGCUUAGCUCGGCAUAAAAGAUGAACUUGUUUGACUUUUCAAAGCCAGUUUUAUUCGAAUAGCUCGAUACAUCAAAUGGUUGGUGAAUAUUGUCUAGUUUUAAAGAAAAAUGGUGCUUUACGUAUUUGCACUGAUUUUCGUAAUUUGAACUUGGCAACCUCUAAAGACGAAUAAACAAUGCCAAUUUCAGACUUGUUAAUCGACGCUGCAGUAAACCAUGAGAUGUUAUCUUUUAUGGACAGUCAUGCUGGUUACAACCAGAUUUUCAUUGCUGAGGCUAAUGUCCACAAAAUCGCUUUUUAUUGCCCGAUGAUGCUCGGGACCUACGAAUAGGUCGUCAUGCCUUUCGAACUUAAGAACGCUAAUGCCACAUAUCAACACGCUAUGAAUAAUAUUUUUCAUGACCUGAUUGGCACAAUCAUUGAGGUAUAUAUAGAUAAUGUCAUGGUCGAUGCACAACUGAUCACAUUCAGAUGACCUUCGACAAGCUUUCCUUCGUAUGCUCUAGCAUAACCUUAAAAUGAAUCCUGCUAAAUGUGCCUUUGGUGUAUCGGGAGGUAAUUUCCUAGGUUUCUUUGCAAAUCAUCGUGGCAUCAAGAUGGAUAAGAAUAAAGCUCGAGCGAUCAUUGAUGCUCCACCCCCGACAACCAAGAAGCAAUUACAAUCCUUACUUGGCAAAACCAAUUUCCUUUGCCAUUUCACUUCUAAUUCGGUGUGGAAAAUGAAGGCUUUCUCCAUGCUCUUGAAACUUAAGGAUUCUGAAAAAUUCGAAUGGCACGAAGAGCAUCAUGAUUCUUUCACGCAAAUCAAGGUCUCCCUCACUACUCUGCAUGUCCUUGUGCCACCUCAACGAGGUAAACCCAUUAAGUUGUAUAUCUUGGCUGCUGAGGAAUCUAUCGAAUGUCUCUUUGCACAAGAUAACGACACUGGGCAAGAGCAUGCCAUUUUUUAUCUUAGCUGAAAUCUUAACUCAGCAGAGAUAAAUUAUUCAGCCGUUGAGAAACUCUGUUUAGCUUUGUUCUUCACUGCGUUUAAGCUCCGGCAUUACAUGCUCCAUUCUGUUACUCAGGUCAUCGUCAAGACAUAUGUUAUUCGCUACAUGCUCACUCGACUGAUAGUAAAAGACCGAAUUAGGAAAUGGACAAUAGUACUGUCCGAAUUCAGUUUGCAGUACGUGCCCUAGAAAGUUGUCAAAAGACAAGCACUGGUCAAUUUCUUAGCUUAACAUCCUUCUCCAUACGGUUUCGGGGGAAACGACGUCGAAUUUGGCAUGGUGGAAACACAUGAUAAUUAUUGGACGAUGUAUUUUGAUGACUUUAGUACCUCAAUCUUGACUACCGUUAGAAUCGUCAUCCAGUCCCCUGAUCACUACCAGUGGUAUGUUUAUCUCAAGCUGGAUUUCACUAUACAAAUAAUCAAGCCAAAUACGAAGCCCUUAUCAUCAGCCUUAACGUCCUUCAUAACUUGAGGGCAGCCCAUGUGCUCGUCUUUAGUGAUUCAGAACUUGUGAUUAACCAACUCAAUGAGACUUUUUGUUGCAUGAGUUGUACUCUAGCGCCCUAUCAUAUGGUUGCCAGCUAUUUAGUCAAAUCAUUUGCAAGCAUUACUUUCAAGCACAUCUCACGAGCUCAAAAUACUAAUGUAGACGAAUUGGCUCAAAUAGCCUCCAGAGCACAACUCUUGGGGGGUGAACUAGGUCGAGCCAUACUAGUAGUGCGAUGUCCACACCCGACCUUGGUUAAUCAACAAGUUCUCAAAAAUCACCACUUGAUCCGUACACGAGUUAUGUCCAUACCUUCGUUGUUGGAACAGGAGGAUCCUAUAGAUAUUUGUGCGGUCGAGACAUUACCAUACAACUGGAAAAAGUCAAUUAUGCAGUAUCUUGAUAAUCCCAUGGUAACCACGACCGCAAAACAAGGGUACAUGCCACAAAUUACAUAAUGUAUCAAAAUAAGAUAUACUAAAAAGGUGAAGAUGGUCUGUUGCUAUUGUGUCUCGGACUGGAAGAGGUCGCCCAAGCUAUUACAAAGGUACACAAAGGGAUAUGUGGGGCUCAUCAAUCUGGAUGAAAAACAUGAUGGUUGCUCUGUUGACACGGCUAUUUUUGGUCGAGUAUGUUGAAAGAUCGCAUCUAAUACACACGAGGUUAUGUACAAUGUCAAAUCCAUGAACCCGUACAUAGAGUACUGGCCGAAUUACUUCACUCGGCCACCAAACCAUGGCCGUUCAAAGGAUGGGCCAUGGAUGUAAUCAGAAGAAUUACGCCGUCUUUCGAAUCAGCAAAGCAUGCAUGGAUACUCGUUGUGAUGGACUACUUCACCAAGUGGGUCGAAGCGAAGUCAUACGCCGAGUUAACUUCUAAAGAGAUCUGUAGUUUUGUAGAAGAAAACAUCAUGACAAGAUUUGGCGUACCAGAAACAAUUAUAACAGAUAACGAAAUAAUUUUUACAGCCGACAGUUUAAAGAAUACGCGACGAGUUUGAAAAUUCGGCUUGAUCAUCCACGCCGUAUUAUCCACAAGAAAACGGAUAGGCCAAAGCAAGUAAUACAGUUUUAAUUGGUAUCCUUGAGAAAAUGAUAAAAGAAAAGCCUAGUAUGUGGCAUUUGAAGUUAAACGAGGCAUUAUGGGCAUAUCGAACAUCACUCCGAUCAGCAACAGGGACGACCCCAUAUGCGUUAAAGUAUGGACACGACGUGAUGCUACAGGUCAAGUUAAGCAUAAACUCGUUACGAGUUAUCGAACAAAGCAGUUUUUCAGUACCAAGUAUAGUUAGACUUUGAGGCAAGAGUUGGAGGACUUGGAGGAAGCUCGGCUCGAUGCCUAUAACUUACUAGUGGCGUAGAAAAAGAUCGCCAAAUGAGCUUAUAAUUCGACGAGUUAGACAAAAUUCGGUGAAGGUGAAUUAGUAUGGCAAACCGUGUUACCAGUGAGGAUUAAAGACCCUAGAUUUGGGAAAUGGUUGCCGAAUUGGGAAGGACCAUUCUUCGUCCAUAAAAUUCUCGGCAAGGGGGCAUACCACCUCAAGGAUAGAACUAGUUGGGUUCAUGAAUUACCAUAAAGGUCGUACCCAGUGCACAAGGCUCCCGCUUUACGCAGGGUCUGGGAGAGGUGAAUUACCAAUCAAUGAAAAAUUCUUAAAGAAAUAUUAUCUGGUCACUUAGGAAAUAUUUUUUUAAUUUAUUAAAUUUUUUUUUUGCCACGUAGCAUAAAUUUGGCAGCCACAUGGCACAAAAGUGGUAACCACGUAAGCUCUUAACGGAUCAAUAGAUGGAAAAUGUAACGGAUGUUAUUGAUGCACAAAAUCAGGUCGAUCUUGGACCAAUGUAAAUCCGACCGUGAAUCACACAAACACAUAAGAACAUAAAGAUAUAUCGUGGUUCACCUCAAGUUAAGGCUACGUCCACACUGGUGUUGAUUCCGUUUCACUAUGUAAAUGAAUGUUGAAUAUACAUGGAGGCUAUAGAGGCAGUGUUUGCUUUCUUUGCUAUUCUGUUUGCUCUCCCAUUUCCCGUCUGUCUGUUUCCCUUUCCCCUUUAAGUGAGUAUGAGGGAGCCCUUUUAUAAAAUAAGGGUUUCCUCCCCUCUUACAUGAAUCAUAGGCUAAGUAAUGAAGCCCAAAUACUGAGGCCUAAUAUAUGGUGUAACAGGAGUCCCCCAAGUCUUCAGUCAAGAGAGUUUUUUUGCUGGAGACUUCAAAUCCAUUCCAUGUGCAGGCCGAAGUGACUAGGUGUCGUCCAGAACUAGUACUCGACAUGAGACGGUGUUUAACGUGAAGCAAUAUUCAGCUAGAGGUAGCACACGUUGCGAGGCUGCUCGACUAGAGGCAAUGCUCGCGGCGAGGUGGUUGCUCUGCUGGAGGCGAUGCUCGUUGCGAGGAGGCUCAACUUGUGGCGUUCUUCAUUGUAAGUAUGUACUCGACGUCAGCGUGAGCUCAUUAUGAGUUAAUUCUCGACAUGUCUUGGAUCCUCUUGUUGGGUUUGUAUAUGGGUAUAUGUGUUGGGUGAAUCUUUUGGUUGGAAACUUCAAACCCAAUCCAUGUGCAGGCCGAAGUGACUAAAUGUUGUCUUGAACCAGUACUCGACAUGAGGCAAUGCUCAAUGUAAAGUAAGACUUAGUUAGAGGUAUCACACGUUGCAAGGCUGCUUGGCUAGAGGCAAUGCUUGUGGUGAGGCGGUUGCUCGGUUGGAGGCGGUGCUUGUUGCAAGGCGGCUCGGCUCGUGGCGUUCCUCAUUGCGAGUAUGCACUCAAUGUCAGCGUGCACUAAGUAUGAGUUAACUCUCGACAUGGCUCGAGUCUGCUCGUCGGGUUCGCACAUUGGGUCUAUGUGUCAGGUCCGUGGAUCGGUCCACAAGUCGGGUCUUUGAGUUGGGGCCAUCCGUAGGGUUCGUGAGUUGGGUCCACAAGUCGGGUCUUUGAGUCGAGGCCAUCCGUAGGGUCCAUGAGUUGGGUCCACAAAUUGGGUUCAUGAGUAGGGGUUUAAGCUUAAGGGUGUCCAAUCUCGUAAGUGCCCGAACUAAUGGGUGUCCAAGCUCGCGGGUGUCUAAGCACAUAGGUGUCCAAAUGAGCAAGUUUCCGAGCAAGUGGGUGUCCAAUCAAACAAAAGAUUAUUGUUCAUACUAAAUCUUUGUCACCAUAAGAAUGUGGCUCAUUAAUGGUUGGUAAGCUUCUUUAAUCAGUGACAAUGUUGAUCAAUAGAGCUAGUUGCUCAAUAAAUGACAGUAUAAGUAUGAACGUAUAAUGAGUAAAUCAAAUUGACAUAGUUUGGCAAGGCAAAAUAUUGUACCAUGUGCCUACUACAAAUAAAUAAUUUAUUAAGUUGUGUGGUAUAUGAUUUGUAUCAUAUAUGACAUUGUUAAGGGCAUCACAUAUCACUAGGUAAUGAAUAAUAUAUAUAUAUAUGUUAUAUAUUUUCAUUCAAGUAAUGAAGAUAUCCAAUUUGGUUAGACCAUGCCAUGAGUUAUAGUAAUUGUGAGGUGAUAAAAUAAUAAAAAUAAAGGUCUGUGGUGUAGUGGGUGUAAAGAAUAAUGAGGGUUUUGGGUGGAUGUGAUCAGUAGUCAUGUAUGGCAAUAAUUAUACUAAAAUAUUUAAAUAAUGAAUAUAGUGUUCAUGAAUGAUUAAAGCUGGCAAGAUUAAGUUGUGUGUGUAUCAGACAAGUGGUCUUGUAAUAAACAUUAAAUAUUAAUAGACAAUGAUAUUGAGAAAACAUAAUGAUGGGUUUCUUUCAGGCAUGGCCAACAAUAUCAAAGGGGAAUAAUAGUAUUUAAGGUAUGAAAAUGAAAUGUUUUGAAGAUGUUGUAUAAGUUUGUAAUAGAGCUCCAACCUGAGGUGGUAAAGUGUAAUUUACCCCAAAAAUAUCUACUUCCAUUUGGAUGCCAAAGAAUCCUUUCAACCCAAAUCAAACGUUGCUGGCCUACAUCUGUGCUGUGAACACCUAAACCAAUAUUAGCAUUGCUACUGCCAACAACAGUGAGUUCGACACUUGACCAAAAGUACUUGAGUUUGACCUAAUUUUAUGUUAUGGAUCUUGUAAAAUAAAAGCAAUUGUUUUUUGGUAUAUCAAGUGAGAUUCUGUCUAAGGUUUAUCCAGACAAUUUGUGUCGCUUUCAACUUGUGCGGUUAAGCGGAAGAUAAUAUCAAUGCAUGAUAGAAGCAUAUUUAUGCAACUUAGUGAGCUUGUUUCUUGGCAUUUACUUAGUUUAAUUCUAGUUAUUUUAGUACUUUAAGCUAUUUUCGUGUGUUUGUAGGUUCAAAUAACAAAGUUGGCAACAAAGUCCUAUUUUGAGCACUUUGGAGCAUUUUUGGGCCAAGAUUGGAUAGUGCAAGCAUGGAGACAUAAGGAUGGACGUUUUUGAAGAUUAGAAGGCUAGAAAUCAGCAUGUGUGUGUGCAAGUGUGUUGACCUACAACUACAAACACUCAUCCACUACACCCAUUACAUCCACUCAUUACCAAACACCCAUCCACUACACCCAUUACAUCCACUUAUUACCAAACACUUAUCCACUACACCCAUUACAUCCACUCAUUACCAAACAUCCAUCCACUACACCCAUUACAUCCACUCAUUACCAAACACUCACCUACUACACCCAUUACAUCCACUCAUUACCACAACAUACACCACUACCACCUUAAUUAGAUGAUGGUCCUCUCCCUAGCCUAUAAAUACAUCCACCCUUCACCAUAACAAGGGAGGAGAAAAGAUCCAUCCAACGACACUACAUUCACAUCUCACAACUCCAUACACUUACACUUUCAUUCCUUGGGUGAGAACACAAUCCACCCAUCCACCCUUCACCAUAACUUACCUAUAUCCAUCCACCACCAUAAUUUACCACUCAUCCAUCAAACCACACCUUGUGCUGCAACAAAGAGAAGAAGGAGGACCCUUGGACGUGCUUGCCAUUCAAGUUGGAUUGUUGGAGCGUUUUUAGGUGUUUUCAUUCUUUUGUUUUCAAUGUCUAAAUUUGUUUAUCUUUGCUUUGUGAGUAUGAGGAACUAAACCCCCCUUAGCUAGGGGGGAAUUUGAAAACAUGUUCAUGCUUGCAAUAUGAUUUGAUUACCUUCAGUUGUGAUUUCAUAAGUUGUGAAUUCAAUUUAUUUAACUGCUUGAUUGAUAACUUAUUCGUGUAUGUUUAUUAAGAGUGCACACUUAGUUUGCAUGCAUGAAUAUGAUGCUAGAGUAUAAGGGAGUUUCACCUAAUAGUUACAAACUUAUAUUCACAAACGAUCGCGUUAAAUAAAUUCUUGGCAAGUCAUGCUCAUCAUAGUAACGAAUGCCUCGUCAAUACUUAUAGUUUUCAUAAUGCUUAAUGAUCUUUGAUUGUAUCUUUGUUGUGCUGUUCACGUAAAGAACUUUUGAAGAAUGCUUGAAUUGUUGUAUGCGCUUUCCCAUCCAAUUCAACAACUUAAGGAGAACUUGAAGGUUAAUUUAAGCGGACUUAAUUAACCUGGGGUGUUGAGUUUCAUGAUUGAUCGAAAGAACAACUGAAAAUUGGUUUAUGUGCAAGUAUGUCAUGUGUGGAGAAGAACCUCCUAACUAGCCUUCCAUCCAUUCAAUUUACUCAAAUUCGUGCAGAUUUCAUUAGUUAUUUAAUUUACUUGUUUUGUUUUCAAAUUCGUCAAAACCAAAACCCCCUUUACUUUAAAGUGUUUUAUUAGUCAAAAUCUAUUGAUUUGUGUUUUUAGGUGUCCCAAAAGUGUGUUAGAGUUCAAAUCUGCCCAGUUUGUGUUUUUAGGUAGAUUUGAGCGUUUUUAGCUUGGUCUUUUGAGUUUGUUUUGAGUCCUUUGAGUUUGUUUUAAGUUCUUUGAGUCUAGUUUAGUAUUUUUAACUUUGUUUAUAUGUUUUUAAGUCAGUUUAGAGGUUUUAGCAAGCCCUCAUAAUCCCCGGUUUAGAACGAUCCCUACUUGCAUUUAUACUACAAUUUGACAACAAGAGGGUUUAAUUUUUGUGUUAAGUUAAUUUUCGCACCAAAUUUUUGGCGCCGUUGUCGGGGAUUAGCAACUUUGCUAAUCCCCCGUUGUUUCUUUUUCAUGUCUUUUGUUUUAGUUACUGACUUUGUUUCUAUUUGUGUCUUUUAUUUUUACUUAUGAUAUUUGAUUUAGUUUUGUUUCCUUGAUUUCAGGUACUAGAGAAGUAAGACAUGGAUUUUGCUACCACUCAAGCUCAAUUGGCGAAACUUACUUCUCAAUUGUCACAAUAUGCCGAAAGGACCACAAUGCAAAGUGUCCCUACAUGUGGUGUGUCCUAUGGGCAAGGAUAUCCAACUCAUCAAUGUUCUCAAUUCACUACGAAUGAAGAUGCUUGGGGUUAUCAAAGCCAUAGCCAAUCAUGGGACAACAUGUUUUCCAACACUUACAAUUCGGAUUGGAGAGAUUAUUCAGAUUACAUGUGUGGAGAACCUCAACAAUUCCAACAAGAUGGAUAUUGGCAGCAAGAAGAGGAAUUCUAUUCAAAACCUAUGCAGCCACCACAACAAUCUGCCCAAUUCAAUUCUGGUACGUCUUUGGAUAAUGAUAUGCUUAAUAAGUUACUCACCUCUUUGAACCAGGAAGUAGAAAAUGGAAACAAAGAGAUGCAAAAUCAAGCCAAGAAGACGGGAGAAUUGGAGAAGUAAAUUAGGCAGAUUAUGGAGUUCAUGGCACAAAUUCAAGAGCAAAGUGAACUCUCCAACUCAACUAUUGAAAAUUUGAAGGAAGAUUUUGAAAUACAUGAUGCUAUCACUUUGGGAAGUGCUAUAGAGGUUGGAGGUGAACCCAAGACAUCCAAACCAAGCCAAAACAUGGAUGAACAACUGCUGCUCGAAGAAGAGGAGAAUAACAAGGCCACGGCAAGGGAAGAACCACCUUUGCCGUAGCCCCAUAUGCCAUCUAUGUCGUCCACUACAACCAAGGUAAGCCUAAAUCCAAUUUGUCCUGACCCCAUUUCACCAAAUGUCCUUAUUCCUUGCAGGAUCAUGCAAUCCAAGGAAGAAGAGGGUGAGAAAGGCAUCUUCGAAACCUUUCCAAUGAAUCAAGAGCAAGAAGUGGAUGGGGAAUGUCUAGAAUUCAUCAAAGAAGAUACAUUUGAGAUAAAAAUUCCCAAAGAAGUUGGAUUUUAUGACACGGGACAAGUCAUAACUCUCAAAACACCAAAUCUGGCCAAGUUCCAUAUCCUUGCAACCUUCAAAGAUGUGGUGUUUGUAAUUGAGUUUGUGUUGGAGCAAGCAAGUAAGUCAUCUUCUCCAACUUCGAUUUUAUUAUAUACUAACUUGCUGAUUUUGAUGAUUCAGGCACCUACACUAGAAUUUAAACCAUUGUCGGAUCACGUCAAGUAUCACCUUCCAUUCAAGGAUCAAUUCCAUGCUAUGGGCCCUAUCCAAGUUUAGAAGGAAGUUUCGUUCGGCUGGAAGACAUUAAAGCAAGCGCUUCUUGGGAGGCAACCCAUGUAUUCAAAUAAGGAAGAUUUUUGAAUUGCUCCACGAUUGGUUUUGCAUUCCUAAAAACCUUCCCUUUUUUGUAGUUUUAUUUUGCCAUGAUUGUCAUUUUUAUUUGUUGCUUGUUUAAUUGUUUUUGGUAUGGGUUUAUUUUUAAAACACUGACAGUUAUGCAAGGUAUUUUUACAUUCAUUUUCAUAAAAAAAAAAGAACAUUAAGCAAAUAAAAGCUACAAGAGGGAGCCUUCACAAAGGCUGCUUAGGAAAAGUCUCAGUAGUCGGCGGAGCCUCAGCAGUCGGCGGAGCCCCAGAAGAAGGAAGCAUCGGAGGUUGAUCAUUUGGAGCUUCAUUACACGGUACAGCCCAAGAAGACAAAGGCAAAUGCUGUUGGAACAAACCUACAAACCCUGAUGAUCAAGUAAAAUCUGACCAUCAGAUUCCUGCAUUUGGUCAAUCUUCCUCUUCAUGUUUGUAGCAUAGUUAUGUGCAAGCCUGUGCAACUGUUUAUUCUCAUGCUUGAGCCCUCUAAUCUCUUGUUUGAGACUCAUCACUUCAGCCACCAAUGAUUCAACUUGACGGGUUCGAGCAAAUAGGCGUUGGGCCAUAUUAGACACAGAACCUGCACACUGCACACUGAGAGCCAGAGAAUCCUUAACAGCCAACUUAUCAGACCGUUUGGCAAGUAGUCUGUUAUCUUUGGAAGUGACAAGGUUCCUGGCCACCACCGCAGCUGUCAUAUCAUUCUUCAUCACUGAAUCCCUAACGGUAAGGGGACCAGUAGGUGAUAUGAAGGAUGGGUAACAUAUGUUGUCUGGAGAAGACGGGACUGCCUCUUCACCAAGGUUCAAGUCAAAACGACGGUCGGAGGGGCCAGACAUUUUCAGAGGUGUUAAAGAAAGAAGAGGUCGGACAAGUCAAGAUCGUAGAAGUGCAAGAAGGGAGUUUCUACAGGCAGAAAUUCAAGUGUGCUUUGAACGUCCUGUGUACCUCUAUAAAAAUCAGCACUUGACGGGAUUUCAGAGAUCGAAGAGGCGAGCUCAGAAAUCGAAGAGGCCAACUCAAAAAUCGAAUAUGCGCUAGCUUUCUCAAAAGCUGGGCUUGCUCAGAAACCAUGGCCAACCUUCUUUUCCAGAUUUGUCCACACUUGUCACAUGCAACCUCUUUACUCGACGGGAUUUCAGAUAUCGAAGAGGCAAGCUCAGAUAUCAGAGAGGCAUCUGCUUUUCCAAACGUGUCAGCAUCUGUCACAUGCAGAGUCAGCUUUGCGGAAAUCACGGGCAGUUUGUCGAAUCGCCAAUUCCAGAUAUUGGACAGGCAUCUGUUUUGCCAGACGUGUCAGCAUCUGUCACAUGCAGAGUCAGCUUUGCGAAAAUCACAGGUAGUUUGUCGAAGCGCCGAUUCCAGAUAUCGAAGAGGCACUUGCUUUUCCAGACGUGCCAGCGCCUGUCACAUGCACACUCAGCCUUACGAAAAUUACGGGCAAUUUGUCGAAGAUCUCUUGUGAAGUAGAAAGCAUGGAAGUUUACUAUUAAAUAAUCCAACGGUUGCUGACAAGAGUGAAAGAAUAGUACCGGUUAUUAAUUCCUAUAAAUGUCACCCUUCACCCUCCAUUGCAAGGCAGACAUACAUAACCCUUCUUCUUCUCCGAGAAUGCCUUUCCAACAAACCCUCUCGAGUCACUCAGUGUUCUUUAUUCCUUGGGGUACCUCUGUAAACAACUCAUCUAAAGCAAAAGUAUUUCAUAUCAUGAAGGUUGAAAGCAAGAGUAUCUCAUAUCAUGCUUUCUCCCUGUCCUUCUCCUUGUCGUUGUUUUGGGACAAGGAGAAAGAGAGCAAUCGGCCAACACUUGGUAUCAAUUUUUCGAUCUGGAACCAAUUGCCUGGAACCCUUUCCUGAUUGCUUACCUAGCCUUGCUUUCGAGUACUCAUCUUCAUCAUCUUAUGCUUUCUCUUCGUCUACCUAGACUUGGCAGUUUCUGACACGACACGAAAAUAACGGGUUUCGGGUCAACAUGAUAAUUUAUCGGGUCAUUAUCGGGUGACCCGUUAAGAAAAAAAUUAAUUUGAUAAUUUUAAAGUUUAAUUACUAAAAGAUUUAUUAUAAAAUACAAUAGCCAUAUUAAUAUAUACAAUAUAUUCUAUAUUAAAUAUAUAGUUUUGUAUUAUUAUUCUAUAUAAGUUAUAAAAAAAGUUUUAGUCAUUAUUUAUUUUUAGGGGCUUUUAGAUCUAGGUCCAAAAAUAUAGAUGAUUUUUAGGAGUGAGUCCAGUUAUAUAAUUACAUGUUAUUUCUUUUAUACUCAUUUAUAUUUUUUUUAAAUAUUAAAAAUCAAUUAAAAUCUUCUAAUAUGAAGCAUUUUUCAACUCCAAAAAAUCUAAUUAAUAUCUUAUAACAGAAAAAACUAAUAUACUAACAUAAAUUAUCUACAAAACAUUCUACCUUAACUCAAACAACAAAUAUAUGAAUAUAUAUUAUACCUGUAAGUGAGAUAUGAAACCUAACUAAAAAGUAGGAAAAACAUAAUAUACCUACAAGCGAAGCAAGACACAUUAAUCUGUAACACGUUAAUUAUAAAGAAAAAUUUGUCAUAUAGAUACAUAAAAAUAAUUAACCUGUGAUAUAGGUUGAUUAUAAAAAUUAAAAAUAAAAUGUAUAAAUGAGGUUUAAAGAGGGAGGAAGAACAAAAAAUAACAAAAUAAUAAUAAUAAUAAUAAUCAAAGAGAUAAUUAGGAAGAAAUUUGAUUUUUAUAAUAAAUCUUAUUAUUGAAUAGAUAAUUAUUGAUAAUUAAAUAAUUAAAUUUAAAGAAUUGGACUUAUUUUAAUAAAUUGGACUAUUCCUACUAUUGGCUAAAAAAAAUGGACUUAUAUCAAGUUUCCCCUUAUUUUUAUUAUGAGAGUUCUUUAUUAUCAUUACUAAUUUACUAGGAUAAUAAAUUUUACUUAACAGUUAACAUGUUCUUGUCCAAAAUUAAAAUAAACUAGUAUGAUAUUUGUAUAGGCAAGAACUAAGAAGACAUACAGGCAAGAACUAAGAAGACAUACAUACAUACAAACACUUGCGAUUCAUCAUUAUUCCUCUACGAGAGUAGAUAAUGGUUACACUUUAUCGUUUAGAUUUUUAAAAUCCUCCCAAACCCUCAUGAAUAAUGUUUUUUAUUUGAAGGCAAAAUUAAUAAAAUUAAUAAUAAUUAUUGUAGAAGUGUAAAAAAUGUAAAAAAAAUAUCCAAUCACUCAUAAUGACAAGCUUUACAAUUUUCAUGAAGGGGUCAACUUCGAAAUCCAACACUAUAAUCCAUAAACCUUCAAUUUAUAUUUAACCGUCGAUUAUCAUUUACGCUUUAUUCUUGUUACUGAAUUUCAUUUUUUAAAUUUUCAUUUUUUAAAACAUGAUCAUCUGGUGGAUGUAAGAAUAUGAACGGUUCAGAUCUUUGAUAUCACGUUUCGAUAUUUACGGUUAAUUGAAAUAUGAGUCGAUGUCAUAUAGUUUGUAUAAACUUUAUAAACAUCAAGCAAUAUUUUCACUAAUCGUAAAACUCUAAACAUAAUAUCAACGAUCCAAACCGUUCAUCUUCUUGCAUCCUCUAAUAGAUCAUAUUUUCAAAAAAGAAAAUCUGAAAAAACAAAAUUUGAUGAGAAAAAUAAAGCGUAAAUGUAAAUAAUAAUCAACGGUUAAAUUUUGAUCUAUAAUUUAUAUAAUUAUAGUGGCGAAUUUCGAAGUUAAGUUCUUCACGAAAGUUGUAAAGCUUGUUAUUACGAGCGUUUAUAUAUUUUUCUAUAUUUUUUAUACUUCUACAUUAAUUAAAAAAAUAUUAAAGACUUUACAUAAAUAACAGCCGUUAGAUCAAUGAGAUUAAAUCUGUACCGUUGGAUUCUAUUUCAAUUAUAUUAUUACAAUUUUUUUGGACAAAAAAACCCCUCAUAUUUUCCAUUGUUUUCCAUAUGAGUCCUAACUAAUUUGAUCAAAACAAAAAAACCCCACUGCCUAGCCCUAAAUUCUUUCUGUCUAUUCUCUCCCCACUCCCGGCCGUAACCCUCUCUCCCAACCCGCUUGCGGCGCCGUUUGUUCUUCCUAGCCCCUCUCUCCCGCCGUCUUUCUUCCAAAAUUCUGACAGCCACGAUCUUCUCGUCUUCCAUUUGUACGACAUCUUCCUAUGUAAGUAUUUCUCCCUUUUCAACCUUUCUUUCUCUUCACUCUUUCUACGCUCAUAUUUCCCAUUUCUGACCACGAACAAUUGACACAACUUCUUGCUUUGGAUUCCUCUCUUCCUCUUGUUGAUAUCUUCAGUGUUACAUUGUCCAGGUAAGAAAUUCGUUGUCAUCAUCUAUUGUUGUUUUUUUUAUGAAUUAGGAUUGGACACCCAAUUUUUCCCUCGCUUUGAACACCCAGUUUUGAUAUGCGUUCAUGUCCGAUUACACUUGGUACAAUUUUGAUUGUUUUGUUUUCAAUUGUGCAUUAAACAUCUAAAACCUAAAACUUGGAUAACACUCACCCAUGUUACAACUCCCAUUCGACACUUUCGCUGAUCUGUGUAUCUCAAUUUUUUUUUUUUAAAUUGAUGCUUUUAAUGACUUUAUGAAAAAUAAUUUUAUGCUUGAAAAUUUGGAAUGAGUUGUUUUUUAUGAUUAUUAGCAGUGAUUUUCACAUGCACUUUGUUUUCUCCUUUUAUACUCCUUUUUUGGGCUUCUUGAUAUCUAAAUGCUAGAGAAUACAAGCGAGUGCAAAGAAGAAAAUAAAAGUUUGAAAAUCGCUUUUUAUUUGUAUAUGUAUUGAGCUAAUUGUGAGUAAGGAUAACAAUUUUUAUUUGUAUAUGUAUUGAGCUAAUUGUGAGUAAGGAUAACAAUAUUUGAAUGAAAUCUGGUGUGUGUGUGUGCGCGCGCGCGCUGUGUGUGUGUGCAUGUGCUCUGUGUGUGUGUUGUGUGUGUCUGUGUCUAUUCUUCCACAACCUUUUGAAACACUCUUUUAUAUGAAUUAGUUUUUUUUUCAUAUCUAGCUAACAUCUAAACUACUAGAUCAUGUUGUGUGUGUGUGUGUGUGUCUGUCUGUCUGUGUACUGCAAGUCUGCAACCCAGUGUGUGUGCUAUUAGUGCUUGACAAACCUGCAACCAUGCAUAAAACCAAGGCAAAGAAGUUGUGUUCUCUCAUCGGAUUCUACAUUAUCAAGUCUAUGUGUGUGUGUGUGUGUGUGUGUGUGUGUGUGUGCUGUGUGUGUGUGCUUUGUGUGUGUGUGUGCGCUGUCUGUGUGUGCGUUGUGUGUGUGUGCUCUGUGUGUGUGUGUAUGUGCUCUGUGUGUGUGUGCGCUGUCUGUGUGUGCGUUAUGUGUGUGUGCUCUGUGCGUGUGUGUAUGUGCUCUGUGUGUGUGUGUUGUGUGUGCUGUGUGUGUCUGUGUCUAUUCUUCCACAACCUUUUGAAACACCCCUUUAUAUGAAUUAGUUUUUUUUUUUUUCAUAUCUAGCUAACAUCUAAACUACUAGAUCAUGCUGUGUGUGUCUGUGUCUAUUCUUCCACAACCUUUUGAAACACCCCUUUAUAUGAAUUAGUUUUUUUUUUUCAUAUCUAGCUAACAUCUAAACUACUAGAUCAUGCUGUGUGUGUGUGUCUGUCUGUGUGUGUGUACUGCAAGUCUGCAACCCAGUGUGUGUGCUAUUAGUGCUUGACAGACCCGCAGCCAUGCAUAAAACCAAGGCAAAGAAGCUGUGUUCUCUCAUCGGAUUCUACAUUAUCAAGUCUAUAUAUUAAUUUGCAUCAACUAUUUACUUUGGGCACCACUUUCUCUCCAUGCAUUCUUCUUGCUUUUUCCGGUCUUAGAACUGAUAAAAAAAGAGAAAUAAAUGCAUAAUGAAAAGAACAAAGUGUGAAAAUCACUACCUCUUCGUAUAUCAUUUAAACGUCAUUUUAUAUUUUCAAUCUUGAACGGACCUACAUGUUUUUUAGGUUGAACAAUAUAUUAAAAUAGUAUUAUUUUCUUGACAAUUUCUUGUAGGUUCAUAUGUAAAUUAUAUUCUUUACAGCUAGCUCACUGUUGUGUGUGUGUGUGUGUGUGUGUGUGUGUGUACUGCAAGUCUGCAGCUCACUGCUGUGUGUGUCUGUCUGUGUGUGUGUGUGUACUGCAAGUCUGCAACCCACUAGUAAUAUCCUACUAGUUUAAAAAGCUAUUAAUUAAUUUAUACCCAUUUUGAUUCAGAAGCAAUGGAUGCUAGAGAUUCAAAUUCAGUAACCGAUGAGGAGUCCGUGGAGAUUAUAAUGGGAACAGAACGAAAUCUUGGAAGCGAAAGUAUAGACAAUACAAAUUCGAGUUCUACAAAGAAAAAGGCUAGAACAAUCAAUUUAGGUAAGCGAAAAAUUCGAUCUCCUGUUUGGAACACUUUCACUAAAUUGGAUAUUAUUUUUGAAGAUAGUAAAAGACGCACUCAAUGUAAAGCUUGUAAGAAGGUAAUGAUAGAUGAUAUUCAUCAUGGGAUAGGAAAUAUGAAAAGACAUUUGAAUACAUGCCCUGCAAAGAAUAAUGUUGAAUUGUUUAUGUCGGCAUCUGAAUUGUGUUCCCAAAAGUUUGAUCCUCUGGUAUUCCGUGGCUUAUUAGUAGAGGCAAUCAUCAAGCAUAAUCUUCCUUUUAAUUUUGUUGAACAUGAGGGAAUCAAGGCUUUGUUUGCAUAUGUAUGUCCUGAUAUUAAACUACCAUGUCGAAAUACUAUCAAAGCUUGUGUGUUGAGGAUGUUCAAAACUGAAAAACAAGCAUUGCAUAAUUUGUUAGGCUCGGUUGAAGGUAGAAUUUGUUUGACAUUAGACUUAUGGUCAUCUCAGUGCACUGAUGGGUAUCUUGCACUUACUGCUCACUUUGUAGACAAGGAUUGAAAAUUGAAUAAAAGAAUUAUAAGUUUUUGUCACAUGCCUCAUCCGCAUACUGGUGUUGCAUUAUGUGAGAAAAUAAGUGCGUUGGUAACUGAGUGGGGGAUUGAGAAGAAGUUAUUUUCUAUUACUUUGGAUAAUGCUUCUUCAAAUAUUUGUUUUGUUAACAUUUUGAGGAAUCAAUUAAAUAUAGAGGUCUUCUCUUGAUGAAUGGUGACUUCUUUCAUGUGCGUUGUUGUGCUCAUAUUUUGAAUUUGAUAGUCCAAGAUGGACUUAAAGAAAUUGAUUCUUCGGUGGUAAAAAUUCGUGAAUGCAUCAAGUAUGUAAAGGGUUCUGAGGCUAGGAAACUAAAGUUUCAAGAAUGUGUUAAGCAAGUAGGGAUAAUUGAUAGUAAAAGAGGUUUGAGACAAGAUGUCCCUACUAGAUGGAACUCAACCUAUCUUAUGCUAAAUAGUGUCAUUUUCUAUCGAUAUGCUUUUAUUAAUUUAGGGUUGAGUGAUUCAAAUUUUGAAAGUUGUCCUACUUCUGAAGAGUGGGAUAAAGUGGUAAAGAUUUCGAAGUUUUUGGGGUACUUUUAUGAUGUUACAUGCUUAUUCUCUGGGACAAAGUACCCCACAUCAAAUUUAUUCUUCCCUAAAGUGUUCGUAAUUCAGCUUCAAAUUAAGGCAGCCAUUGAUGAUUGUGAUAGUUUCAUGAAUAAGAUGGGGGAUUAUAUGCACAUGAAGUUUCAAAAGUAUUGGUCAAACUACAGUUUGAUUAUGUCAAUUGCAAUCAUCUUGGAUCUUCGUUAUAAGCUACAUUUUGUGGAUUGGGCUUACACAAAGCUUCAUGGCGUGAAUUCUAUGGAAUAUAAAAAUGUUCAUGGCACAUUGAUUGCUCUCUUUAAUGUGUACUCAGAAAUAUCUGCUCAUCUUAAUUAUUCAAAUAUUCCAAUGAACUCAAUGCCUAAUCAUCAAACAGAAGGUGGAGAAGGAGAUGCUCUCUUUGAGGUAACAUAAAGUUUGUAUUUUCCUUUUUAUACUUAGUACUUUAAAAUUAUUAAUAUUAUAUUUGAAAUUGGGUUAUGCAUAAUUUUUAAGAUGUUUCUGUUUUUUUUUUUUUUAAUUUUUAUGAUGUAGGAUUUUGAUAAUAAUUACAAUGGUCCAAACUCGGUUAAAAAAGGUGAAUUACAGAAGUAUUUGGAUGAUAAAAUAGUAGAUAGAAGACAAGAUAUAGAUGUUCUUUCUUGGUGGCAAAUGGAGCGUUUUCAUUAUCCAAUACUUUCUCAGUUAGCACGAGAUGUGCUAACAAUUCCUAUUUCAACUGUUGCUUCAGAAUCUGCUUUUAGUAUUGGGGGUAAAGUGCUAGAUCAAUAUCGUACUUUAUUGUUGCCAGACACGAUUCAAGCUUUGCUGUGUACACGAGAUUGGCUUUUUGGAAAAGGAGGUAGUAUAUCGUUUUUAUAAUAUAAAACUAUUUUUUAUUUCUUUUCAUAAUUAUUUUUAGUACCCAUAAUUUGAAUGGUUUACAUACAAUGUUUGAUUUUUCUAUGUUUAGUUUAUGCGGAAGAGAGUGCUAAUGUGGAAAGCCUCAAUGAAAGCAUCUUCAAUAUAACUCUUGAAGAUAAUAUAUCAAGCCAAAAUUCCAAUACUUUUUCCCACGGUGAUUGAGGAAAAUUGAAGGGUUUGAUUGGAAGAAAAUGUGCAAGAUGUUCUAAUGUUCCAAUGUCCUUAAUUUUGCAAAUCUUUUGAACAUUUGAUAUUUUGUAAUGUUCUAAUGUUUUUUUUUAUGCUCUUAUUUUGGAUAUGUAAAUAUAUACUUAAAACGAAAAUUGUGUUUUUAUGUUUUGGUUUUGGAUGUGACAAUAUGGUACGUAUUAUCUAUCGUUAUAGACCAUACCAACAAAUAAUAUUACUAUUUGGAAGCAGGGGUAUGGGUGUGAAUUAAAUUGGUGUACACAUAUUGGCUCUAGCAGACUCUAGAAAGUCUAGGUUAUGUCCAUUGUGUAUGGCAUCACACUCGCAAUAAGGUGGGCAAUGGAAUCCCUUGCAUAAUCAUAGUCUCAUAUGAUCUCCUUUAUUGUCAGUGCCUAUAGGCAUGGCAAUCGUUUAUAUAUCCUCCUGUUAAUUUCACCAAUCAAAUAACUGGGCCACAUGCAUUCCUUUGACAGUAGAUAAUUUAUGCUCUUAUUUUUAUUGUCGCGCCUUUUUUCUUUCAUUCACUUAUUGCUUCCUAAACCUUUUUUUUCCGCACAAAGCUUCCUACGCCAUAGAACUCACCAUCAUUGCUAUGGUGCUUUGGUAAUUCUAAUGGCACAUAGCAAGAGUAGUCUUCGUCGGUGGCCUGCAAUACCAUUCUUGCACGGUUAGAAGAUUGAUUUGUGUUUUGGUUCUAAUCAAGCAAUUGUGGGUUCAACCUUUUUUUCACUCAAAAAAAGUAUUAUGUUUUUUAUUUAAUUAUUUAUUGGUUUAAAUUAUAUUUUCCUUAAAGGGUAACGGGUCGGGUCAUAUUACCUAUUAAUAUUAUCGGGUCGGGUCAUUUUAUCCGUUUAUUUUAACAGGUGUUACACGACACGACCAGUUAAGAUAUCGGGUAUGACACAAAAACGACACAAACAUGGGAAACACGACGCAAAUGCCAAGUCUACGUCUACCACAUCUGCCUGGGGAACAUAUAAGGGAAGUGAAAAUGAUACCUCGAAGCAUGUGGAGACAAUUUGCCAAUUCAUCCUCAACUAGGGACAAGGAGAAAGAAAGCAAGAGGUGGGCACUUGGAAAGAUUAAAGAAAGAAACAGACCAACACCUCUACCUUGUGUCUGCCUGCCGUGCAGAAGAAACAUGCAGAGAAGAAUGCAGAUUGCACAAUCAAAUCAACCCAGCAGAAUGAGUCUGAAUUGAAACCAAUGAACUAUCAUAUUCCUCGCUCAGAAUUCCAAACCAGUUCGAGAUCAAAGCUGUAGAAAGACAACAAGAUCAUCUAUCUCCAAAACCAGAUUUGCGUUCUUAAACUCUACUCUGUCUGGUUUUUACUUUGCCAUACUUGUCAUAUUUAUUCGUUGUUUGUUUGUUUGCUUGUUUUUUGUGUGAGUUUAUGCUUGAAACAUUGAGGACAAUGUUUGAUUUAAGUGUGGGGGGGCUAACCAUUGUUUUGCAUGAAAUUCGUAGGAGUUUAUUACCCAUUACUUCUAGUGUUGUUCCUUGCUGUUUUAAGUGUUUUUAAGCUAUUUUGGAGUGUUUCAGUGUGUUUUGACAUAAAAAUUGGAAAAUCUCAUAAAAUUUUGAAAAAUUGUUUUGAAAAACCCAAAAAGAGUUGUUUUUAUAUGUUUAUUUGUGUCUUAGGGUACCUUCCAACACAAUGAUGAGGAUUUAGUUUUUAAUUACAUGACUGUUAAAGAGAAUUAUAAACAUGGAUAAAAAUUUGAUUUACUCUUUGGUGUAUGCUUGGUUGUGGUUAUAAUUUAUGAAUUCACAUGCAAUCAUAAAGGAAAAAUCUGUUUUGUAACAUGCUUGAAUGAAGGAACUCAAAUGUACGCUACAACCUUAUGAGACUUGAGCCUAAAUGUUUAUUUGGAGAGUUAAUAAUCUGUGCAUCAUUGUUUUCUAAAGUCGUUGCAUGAUCUCAUUAUUCUUUGCUUGGUUGCUACUUAGAAGCCGUUUCAUCAUUUAGUUCCAAAUGCUAGAACUCAUGCCUAUUUCAUUCAAAGCAUGCUAUUGAUUUGCAUAACACAUUUUCAAACUGAAGUUGUGUAAUGACCACCAAAGCCAAAUUGUCGUGCCCCUAUUUCAUUAUGUGUUUAAGUUUAACCCCGUUGAGCCUUGUUAAGCCUAUGUUCUUUGUUAAACCACACUAUCCUUACCUAGCCUAGUUUGAGGACCAUCCAUACCCUUGUUCUUGAAGCAUGGUAAAGCAUGACUUAAAAUGAACUCAUUUUUUAUCAAUGUAUUGCAGAAAGCAAGUGUGGGGGAAGUGAUUCUUGUGUGUGUGUGUGCGCGCCAAAGUCCUUAAUAAGUCACGGGUAGAAAAGAAAAAAAAAGUGAAAAGAAAAAAGUUUGUUAAAAAAGGGUCCAAAACAUUGAAUUCGGCCCUAAGUGUUGCAUGAAUCUUCCCUUUGUAUUUAAAAGUUGAUUCUGUAUUCUAAAGUGAAUUCCAAGUGUCUAUUUCAUUGCUUUGUUUGCUAUCACUUUAAGAAGGUUUGUUAUUCCUAUCCUUUCUUUAUUAGCCAUUACCCCCAAGCCCUGUUACAACCCUUGACUUCAAUCUUGAGUGUUGUGUGUUUCAAUUUGUGGAGUUCGAAAUUGGUAUGAGCAUAUGAUAUCACUGGUUCUCGUAUCUAAGUAGUAGCAUUCCAUUCAUGAGAUCAUAUCUAAACAUGCUUAAUAACUCCAGAAAAUUGCUUUCUUUGUUAUAACAUAUGUGAGUCCUAGUCUUUCGUGUUUACAUUAAUCUUCUCACAUAUACUAGUGUAGGGUGUGUAGUCAGAAAAUGUGUGUGAAAAUAGAGAGUAUCUUAUAAGGAAUUGAGCAAAUUCUCUAAGGCAUGUUACUACAUUCAAAACAUUGUUUUAAUUAGUUAAUUGUGAACUAGUAAGUAGUGACUAUGAUUAAGUUUGUGCUCAAGUGUGAAGAUAACCAAAAUAUGUGGGAAUGAUGAUUUUUAACAUGUCAUGUGUAUUGGAAAUCCCUAAGGUAAAUGUUGGAAGGUUAGGUUGUGUUUUGUUUGUUUUGUUUCAUUUUGUUUCUUUUGUUUUGCUCGAGGACUAGCAAAAGCUAAGUGUAGGGGAAUUUGAUAGAAGCAUAUUUAUGCAACUUAGUGAGCUUGUUUCUUGGCAUUUACUUAGUUUAAUUCCAGUUAUUUUAAUACUUUAAGCUAUUUUCUUGUGUUUGUAGGUUCAAAUAACAAAGUUGGCAACAAAGUGCUAUUUGGAGCACUUUGGAGCAUUUUUGGGCCAAGAUUGGAUAGUGCAAGCAUGGAGACAUGAGGAUGGACGUUUUUGAAGAUUACAAGGCUAGAAAUCAGCAUGUGUGUGUGCAAGUGUGUUGACCUACAACUACAAACACUCAUCCACUACACCCAUUACAUCCACUCAUUACCAAACAUCCAUCAACUACACCCAUUACAUCCACUCAUUACCAAACAUUCAUCCAUUACACCCAUUACAUCCACUCAUUACCAAACACUCACCCACUACACCCAUUACAUCCACUCAUUACCAUAACAUACAACACUACCACCUUAAUUAGAUGGUGGUCCUCUCCCAAGCCUAUAAAUACAUCCACCCUUCACCAUAACAAGGGAUGAGAAAAGAUCCAUCCAAAGACACUACAUUCACAUCUCACAACUCCAUACACUUACACUUUCAUUCCUUGGGUGAGAACACAAUCCACCCAUCCACCCUUCACCAUAACUUACCUAUAUCCAUCCACCACCAUAAUUUACCACUCAUCCAUCAAACCACACCUUGUGCCGCAACAAAGAGAAAGAGGACCCUUGGACAUGCUUGCCAUUCAAGUUGGAUUGUUGGAACGUUUUUAGGUGUUUUCAUUCUUUUGUUUUCAAUGUCUAAAUUUGUUUAUCUUUGCUUUGUGAGUAUGAGGAACUAAACCCCCUUUAGCUAGGGGAAAUUUGAAACCAUGUUCAUGCUUGCAAUAUGAUUUGAUUACCUUCAGUUGUGAUUUCAUAAGUUAUGAAUUCAAUUUGUUUAACUGCUUGAUAGAUAACUUAUUCGUGUAUGUUUAUUAAGAGUGCACACUUAGUUUGCAUGCAUGAAUAUGAUGCUAGAGUAUAAGGGAGUUUCACCUAAUAGUUACAAACUUAUAUUCACAAGUAGUGGAGGUCGCUUAUAAACGAUCGCGUUAAAUAAAUUCUUGGCAAGAGUUUCAUGCUCAUCAUAGUAACGAAUGCCUCGUCAAUACUUAUAGUUUUCAUAAUGCUUAAUGAUCUUAAUGAUCUUUGAUUGUAUCUUUAUUGUGCUAUUCACGUAAAGAACUUUUGAAGAAUGCUUGAAUUGUUGUAUGCGCUUUCCCAUCCAAUUCAACAACUUAAAGAGAACUUGAAGGUUAAUUUAAGCGGACUUAAUUAACCUGGGGUGUUGAGUUUCAUGAUUGAUCGAAAGAACAACUGAAAAUUGGUUUAUGUGCAAGUAUGUCAUGUGUGGAGAAGAACCUCCUAGCUAGCCUUCCAUCCAUUCAAUUUACUCAAAUUCGUGCAGAUUUCAUUAGUUCUUUAAUUUACUUGUUUUGUUUUCAAAUCAAACGAUUUUGAGAGCUUUUGUUUAUUGUUCACUAUAUAGUUUACAAUAAACUUAGUGAACCAUUUGGAUAGGGACACAAAGGUAAAGUCCUUGCCUAGUUUCCGUCUCUAGAAGUGGUUUAACACUUCAACACUCAAUGUUUCAAAAUCAUCAUAAGUCCAUGUUGAUGGACUAUAUUUGUCAACCAACCAUUAUGUUCUAAACAUAAUUACAAACUUUCAAGAGUUGUUCAAGGCAACUCUCAUUUCUUCAUACAACAAUUUGUAAGUGAAGAAUUAUGGCACAUAAAGUGUCCAUGCCCUUGUGCUUACUUCUCAAGUUCCUUGUUCAUGUAACAAAGAAACAAGCACUAAUGUUUGCGUUAGCUAAGGGUUGUUCAAAGCAACUCUUAUUUCUUCAUACAACAAUUUGUAAUUGAAGAAUUAUGACAUUAAAAGUGUUGUCCUCUUUAUGAUAGACUUAUCUAACAUGUUCUUCCAAUGAUACAUUAUCAAUGGGAAGAUUGUGAGGAUGACACUACUUAGAUAUAUAUACAAGCCAUUAUAGACAAUCUAUGGGAUUGUAAUACCAAGUCCGGAAACUAAAGCUUUCGGCUUUUUCUUUGUCAAGUUUUGGAUAGCGUUUGCAAAUAUAUUGGUAAAUAAAUACAUAACAAAUAUAAAUUGAUUGAUUUUAAGCCAUUUGAUCCGGGUCUUUAAAUCAAAUAGCACCACCCACUAUUUUUGGCAAAUUCCAUAUCCCUCAUCGAAAUUCGAGAGUUUUGGAGGAAACUCUUAGUAGGGUAUGAGAGACUCACUAUUACCAAGCCCACCUCAUAAUGAUAUGGUGUUGGCUAGCAUCAAUAAUAAUGAGAGAGUACGCUUACUCAUUUGCAUCUCUUGCAAGUACCCAUCUUAUUUGGCCUCUAGAGAAUGAACCUUCACAAUGAUAUGAUGUUGGCUCCAUUGCACUUAGUUAAGUCAUUCCCACCAUGCAAGUUCGAGUAGGGGUUCAAGAACAACCUCACAAUGAUAUGAUGUUGAUCAUUCUUGUUGCCUACCUUCACAACAUCAUGUAUGCAUAUAGAACUCCUCCUGAGUGUAAGCACACACUUUGUACUCCCCCAUGAUAGGGUGAAGUAGGUGUACGAGUCACAAACGAUCGGAGCCUACCACGAUGGAAGGCCACAAAAGAGUGUUCAAAGCACUCUCACGCUUAACAAAUUAAUAAUGAUUUGGUUGAGGGUUUUAGGUCUCAUUACAUAUAAACAUACAUUUUAAUCUUAUUAAAACAAUUUGGUCCUAUUACAACUAUUGGUCCAUAUGAUUGAUUUAGUAGUAUAUGAUACUCCCACUAUGCUUGUAAAACGGUUUUUAAAGCAAGAGUAUAUGGUACUACUAACAUAAGGUUUGCAUUCAUUGAUGGACUAUAUAAUUGCUUUAGGGCCUUAGGAUGACUAUGAACCUUUGAUUAGAUCCAACACGAGCCUAGUGUUGAAUCUCGGUCUAGGGAUGGUGAUUGAUUUUAGUUACGCGUUUAAUCAUAUUAAGGCGUGUUUUUCCUAUUGGGCGUUGGACCCAACUACUCUAAUUUCAUGCAUAUCAAAUAAAACAAGAAAUGAGUACUUCAAAGUAAAGAAGAGCUUAUGCUCUUUUACAACAUUUGAUCAAAAUAAAUUACUUUAAAGUAAAGAAGAGCUUAUGCUCUUUUACAAUAUUUGAUCAUAUCAAAUUACAACCAAAAUCUAAUCUACGUAUUCCCAUGGUUCAAACAAAUUUGAGCGGCCUUUCACAUAGCUCAAUUAUCGUAGGCUUAGGUUCAUAAUCACUCUUUCCUUAAUUAAUUAACGCUUUAACUAAUUAAACUUGAAUGCAACAUUUUCAUUUGGUUUUGUUUCCAUAGAAUUGAUUUAAAUAGAGCUAAAUGAAAUGAAAAUCCAAUUCUCAUUUAAAGAUACAAAACUAUUUUGUUCUCAACUAAUUUGGGCCAAAUGCAAUAACCUCAACUUUUUGGGCUAUGUUGCAAAACACAAACUUUUGAGGUCACUUUGUAAAAACACAAAAGUCCACUACUUCAUGUAAUUACAACUAGAACCCAAAAAUUUCAACAAAUACAAAAAACUUCAUUAAAGGAGCAAAACAAUUUGUCCUUUAGUGAUUUUGGGCCUUUACGUAAAAAUGUAAACUUUCGGGUCAAAGUACAAAUACACAAAAGUAUCAAAACUUUAUGUAAUUGCAUAAAAGACCCAAAAUUACCCUACUUUAGGGUGGCCGGUUUUUGGUAGUGUGAGGGAGUGGUUUUUUGAUAAAAUAACAAAGUCAUAAAAUCAUGCAAGUUGAAAAGGAUGGGUGAUGGGUUGGUGUGAAAAAGUAGGUAUAGGUGUGUAAGAAAAAAGUACCAAUCAUGUACAAAAAAUUCAAACACUCUAUCAACAUUUCAAUCAUCUUUUCAAAUAAAUGUCUUGUUGAUAGAAAAGUCACACCAACCAACACAAAACAAAGACUUUAUGAAAUCAACCAAAAACUUUGAAUCAAAAACACCAAACUUUUUGUUCUUGGUAAGAACAUCAAGAACAUUGAAGAACACACAUGAAAACUCAUAAGAGCUCCAUGAAUUUUUUCACUCAAUAAAAUUCAAAAUUUCACUACUCAAAAGGGGGUUAACAUCCUAGGGUACUUAGGGGUUCCAAAAGUCACCUUAAAACAUUUUUAACAAGACAAACAAGAAUCCAAAAAUUCACCAUUUGGAUUUGGCCGAAUUUCCCCAAAAACAUGGCACCAAAUUUUAGCUCCAAAAUUCAUGCUCAUAUGAACUACAUCUACAACAUUUGAGAUAGCAAAUUUUCUAACAAAAUUUACAUUCAAAGAAGCAAGAAUAAAGCUUGUAACAAUUACAACAUUCAAAUCAUAAGCUAUGAAAAUACAAAACCCAAAAGGAUUCACCAACUACUAGACCUAGGCUCUUGAUACCACUUGAAGGAAAAUUUGUGAAACACAUGUUCAUUUGAGCAACAUCUAAGGCAUGCAAUUAACAUUUAAAGGCAGAAUCAUGCUUGUAUGCACUCAAAACAAAACAUUACCCAUGAAAUUCAAAGCCUAGUAGUUAUGUGAACCAAGACUCAACUCAAGAACAAAGUGAGUUGAGAAUUUUAUACCUUUGUUGUUUCCUCUUUGCACAAGCAAAGGCUAAUCACCCAAGGAGAGGGCCUUCAUUCCUUGCUUCUUAGCUCCAUGGAUUUCUUGGAUGAGGAUGGUUGAAAGGAUUCUCUAAGUUCCCAAAGUUGAGAACCUCUAAGUCUCCACACCAAGGUAGGACUUGAAGAAUAGAUGAGUGACCUAGAGGAAGUAAGAUUGCUAGCUAAAAUCCUCUAGGGUGGCCUGCCUCUUAGAGAGAAAAGAGAGCUUGUGUUCUCAUCUUUUCUCCAAAAGAAAACCCUAAGGAUGAAAUGUCUAUAAAGUUGCCUUAAUACCACCUCACAAUGGAGUGGCAAACUUGCAAUUAAGCCAAGUUCACUACCCCUCUCUACAUGGCCGGCCAUUAAGGGUUCAUUGGGCUUUCAUGCCCUCUGUGUUUUCAAGUUGUCAUACAACUUGAGUUAAUGGGCUUGACAUUCAAAUCCCAUUGGGCCUUGUGGCCCAAAACUAACCCGAGGUCUUAACGAACUUUAUUCGUUUGAUUAAUUAACAUAUUAGUUAAUCUUUGCCAUAAAUAAUUAAACCAUUUAAUUAUCCUUACUCAUCUCUGUUGUUUCUUCAAUCUUUACCUUACACGGUGUACGAUCCAUUAGGUUCCUUUUAGCGAGACAGUGGGCAAUUAGAACUCUUUCAAAUCGAUUGUGAAUUGAAACUUACUUUCAAUUCUCCCUUUAGUGAUUAUACACGUUUAGGGCUUCCACAUACCAUGAGUGACACCUAGCAAUAUGUCAUGGUUACCCAAGCUAAUCAGAAGAGGUGGAGAACCUAUUCAGUUUAGGAUUACAAUGUAAUACGGUCUUUCUCUAAUACAAUACUCUUGACCACAUUGUUUGGUUUGAUAGUUUAAUCAUGUCUACUAUCCAAUGUGAUUCAUUUACUUAUAUGAUUACCUUGAAUGUGAUUUGGAACGACUUCCUAAAUCUCAUUCAUACUCUGGCCAGAGAUUCUUAAUCAUAUCAUAGAGUAUUCUCCCUCAAACGGUUUGAAGGUUAGAGAUCCCUUGUUGCGCAUUCACUUGCCUCCAUGGCUAAGUGGCUUAACCCCAACUAUGUCGUGGACACCCUCUUACAGAGUGACUUUGACAUAGUCUAAGAUUAAGGACCUAACCACAAGACAACUAUGAUGCCUCAGAUUAAAUGACUACUUUGCAUUAUCCCAACCAUGAGUUCUCAUGUGACAUGAGUAUGAGAACUCCUCGUUGAUCGUGUUCAGUGGACUCAUUCUCUAUUGCGCACCUACGUACUUGUCUAGGUGUCAGUCACACCAAUGACUCGAGACCAGUCACUCUCCCUAAGAGAAGACAUAGCACGUAUUGAUCUUAACGAACUGUCAAUGCCCAAUUGGCAAUCCUAUGAUCAAGAACUUUUAGGAUAUGUAUACGAAAAAGAACGGUCUCAUGAAUCUAACUUCUUUAGAUCACAUUCUCCCAAUUGCAUAUUCCUUGGACUUAUUGUUCAAGCAUAUAACAUUUAUAUGAGACGGCUUAAAACAAUAAUCUUUGCCCUCGAUAUUAAACUAGUUUAGUUUAACAAGUGAAAUGUCUGUAAAGUAUCAUUAUAUGAUUGGUUUUAGGGCACAUUUCCAACACGGUUUAGAACGAUCCCUACUUGCAUUAUACUACAAUUUGACAACAAGAGGGUUUAAUUUGUAUGUUAAGUUAAUUUUUGCACCAAUGCAACACUAAGAGACAUGUUUGUAGACAUCGAAAUUUCGGUAAAAUAAAUGUUGAUCAAAAAUUAAAAUUUCAAUGUUUAUGUGUCACAUAAAUUUUACACAUAGCAUGUGACUAAACGAAAAAUCAAAAUAAAUCGGAAAAGUCAUCAAACAGGACACGUGUCAACACCUGGCAGAGAUGAUUCAUUCCAUCUAAUUAUUUAAAUCCAAAAAAUCAAGUUUUGGAAUUCUAUAAAUAGGAGGCCAAGGCAUUCAUUUUGGGACACCAAUUCAUAACCAAUUCACUUCAUAUUAAAACCUUGAAGCUUUGAAACUCAAAAGCUCCCAUGCAAAUCCCGAAGGAUCAAGAGAGCUCUCUUCGUUCUUCGUCAAAUCCUCAUUCAAGAUCAAGCCCCAACGGCCCUUGAAGAACUUCCAUUGAUUCAAGAUCAAGCCCCGACGGCCCUUGAAGAAAGUGUUCAUCGUUCAUCAUUCGUUCAUCCCUAGAUCAAGCCCCGACGGCCCUUUGGAUCCACGACGUCAACAAAUCUGCACAACUGUUUAUCCCAAGAUCAAGCCCCGAUGGCCCUUUGGAUCAACAACAUCAAAUCUACCCAUUGCAAAGAUAGAAUCAGAGGCUAAAUUUGUAGAAGAGAUUGUAACCCCUAAAUCAUCAAUACAAAUAUUAUUUUGUACACGUGUUUCUUGUCUCGUUCAUCGCAGGAAAAUCCCGUGUUCACAAAUUUGGCACGCCCGGUGGGACCAUCUCUACCUCUCAUCUCUAUCUUUGAAUCCGCAAAAAGCACAAAUGGCAUCAAAGAAGGCUCAAGUUGUUCUCGCGGCCAAUGCAAGGAACAAGAACGUUAUCACCGUAGGCGGUGUCACUUCGGGCAUCAUAACUCGAAGCAAGGCAAGAGCUCUUUCUGCCGCAUCUUCCACCUCUGCAUCAACUCUGCCAAGGGAACAAAAACACCCAAGGCACGAGCCUUUGAUCACCUUAGCCUCACUAAGGGCACCAAGGGGGAAAGCCCAAGGAAAUACUCCGAAUCCAUGCUCUCCGAUGCCGAUUCAAGCGACAGUUUAGCCAUGCAAGUCAUGACCAUUGGAGCAACUUCAAUUGAUGAGCAGCUGGCUCAAAUGAAUGAAGCAAUCGCAAGGCUAACCCGAACUGUGGAAGAAAAAGACUUGCAGAUUGCAGCACUAGUCAACCGACUGGAGGUGCAGGACGGCGAUAAAACCCGACCCAGAGGAUGAUCCACUAAAGGGAGGAGCUGGUGGAGACGAAGAACCCCCGAUGAAGAAAAUCGAUGGGAAGCCGAAGCCAGACCAAGCAGCGGCACUCAUGGGAUCUCUUUCUAUCCAGCAGCUGCAGGAGAUGAUCACCAACACCAUCAAGGCACAGUACGAAGGGAGCUCACAUACCUCCUUGUUCUACUCGAAGCCCUAUUCCAAGAAGAUUGAUGCCCUAAGGAUGCCAAGGGGUUAUCAACCACCAAAGUUCAUGCAGUUUGAUGGAAAAGGAAACCCAAAGCAGCACGUUGCACAUUUCGUCGAAACUUGCAAACAACGCGGGGACGGAGGGAGACUACCUCGCCAAGCAGUUUGUGCGCUCGCUGAAAGGAAAUGCCUUUGAGUGGUACACGGACCUAGAGCCUGAGUCCAUCAACAGCUGGGAGCAAUUAGAGCGGGAAUUCCUCAACCGCUUCUACAGCACCCGUCGCACUGUGAGCAUGCUAGAGCUAACGAGCACAAAGCAGUGGAAGGACGAGCCAGUCAUUGACUACAUCAACAGAUGGCGCACUCUAAGCCUCGACUGUAAAGACAGGCUCUCGGAAACCUCUUCAAUCGAGAUGUGCAUCCAAGGCAUGCAAUGGGGUUUGCAAUACAUCCUUCAAGGCAUUAAACCACGGACUUUUGAGGAAUUGGCCACUUGCGCCCAUGACAUGGAGUUGAGCAUCGCCCAUCAUGGGAAGAAAGAACCGAUCGCUGACUACAAGAAUGACAAAGUUCUUGGGACAAAGGUGGAAAAGGCUGCAUGGAAACCCACCAAGGAAGCAAUGACGGUCAACACAUAUCCCGUCAAAAUCUCCACACGAGGCAAGGCGAUUCAAACCGAAGCUUUUCGUGAUCAAGAGAUGCGUAGACGCACUUUGAAGGAGCUUGAGGAGAAGAUUUAUCCAUUCCCCGACUCUGAUGUCGUUGCCAUGCUGGAUGACCUGUUGGACAAGAAGGUGAUCAGUUUGCCUGAGUGCAGACAGCCGGAAGAGAUGAAUCGUACCGACAACCCAAGAUACUGUAAAUUCCACCGCUUCAUCAGUCAUCCAACGGAAAAGUGCUUCGUACUGAAAGAUCUCAUCAUGAAGCUGGCUCAGAAAGGAAUCAUCGAGCUAGAUCUUGACGAUGUGGUGAAGUCAAACUAUACCACCUUCACUUCUGGCUCUGUCAACCCAAAAUCUUCACCUCAAUCGCUGGGGGCAUGUUCCAAAAACAUGCCAGUCAAGCCGAGUGAAGUUGAAGGAUGGACUUAUGUCACUCCAAAGAAACUGCACAAGAAGCAUAUGUCUUCUCCACAAGUUCACCAAUGGGAAAGGGGGCAAAGUAGCUCUUGUUCACCUCCAAAACAAUGUGAAAGUGUUGGAGAUAAUGAAACUUUGACACGAAGAUCAUCCGUCCCCAUCACGAUGCGUGACAUCUUCCCAGAAGACUUCUUCAACUACUCAGUCAAGGCUCCUUGCUAUGAAGAUUGCGAGGAACGACUCUCUCAGAUCGCUUGACGAACCAAAGCUCCUUGUCCGUACGAGCCUAAACUGUAGGACACAAAACUCCUUGUCCGCACGAGCCUAAACUGUAGGACACAAAGCUCCUUGUCUGUAAGAGCCUAAAUUACACAACACAAAGCUCCUCGCCUGCACGAGCCAAAACUGCGUGGCACAACGCUCCUGGUCUGCACGAGCAUAAAAGGCGACACCAACACUCCUGGUCUGCACGAGCAUAAAAGGCGACACUAACACUCCUUGCCUGCAUGAGUUAAAACUGCAAACGACACAAAAAGAAAAUACCAAAAAAAAAAAAAAAAAAAAAGGGUUUUAUUAAAGUAUCAUUGAUGAAGGUCGAUCUUAUUACAAAUUUAUUUGCAAUUUUCUUUGUACGAAAUUAAUUUACAGUUUCUUUGAAAAAAAAAAAAAAAAAAAAAAAGAAAAAAGAGAAACAUAUAUAUAUAUAUGGACCCAAAAGCAACACCAAGCCCAAUCUGUGGCAAACCCAUCAAAAGAAGCCGUCCUGAUAAAAAAAAAAAAAUACCGAAGGCAGCCCACUCAGCAGCCUUGUCAAUAUCAACAUCGUCAAAAACAAUUGGGUCUUCUCCCUCCAAAUCCAGGCCGCAGCCCAUGCUAGGCCAUGUCCCUCCAAAGACACGGGCCUCAAUCUUUCUGCUAGGUCCAGUCGGAUCUCCCAUCACACCACAUCUUCUUCCUGUGCUCAUCCUCUCACCUUCUCCGAGAUCCUUCUUCAACGGCGUGAGAACAACAGCCGCAGCAGCUCAACGCCCUGCACAACCUCCGUCUUCUUCCUCUCAUGAAAAUGGCAGAGUCACCCACAAACAAAAGGAAGACCUGCAGACGCACAAGAUCUGGAUUCAGAAGCACUCCUCCGCCAACAAGCCCACCACAGGCCACGAGUCGGCCCAGUACCCCCAGCUUGAUCAAAUUCUAGCGAUUUGAGCCGUCUGAUUUGACGAUUUUGAUUCCCCUGUUCCCGUCCAAAUCCGGAUUAUACGCGAUCAGGUCGCCGCUCAGAGAGAAGGUUAAGAACGAACCCUGAAUCCGCAGCACCUGGAGCUGCUGCGUUUUGGUAGGAUCUCUGUUGAGUUUUGUAGCACUGCAAAUUUCUUUGGAAAAAUUGGCAGCUGCUGUCAACCACCAUGGCUUCGAAAGUUUCAUGAGAGUUUCGAUGCCAAACUAUUUCUCCCUCUUUGCCCAACAAGAACGCCACAGGGGCCUUCUGCCUGCCGUAACUUUCGAUAUGGCUGCCAUAAGUUUUCAAGGUGACCAGCCAUGGUACACCAUGACCUCCACCGCCAUGAUCUACGAUCGAUUGGCCGAGGGCGUCAAAUCGAAGAUCAAAAGGCUCGAGAACCCGGACCUGAGGUUCCUUAAGUACGGGUCGCCCCACCCGAGUCUCACGGACCACAGCCACAUCCUCACCGCACCCGAGACGCGUGUCACCACACUCCCCAACGGUCUUCGAGUGACCACCGAGUCGAACCUCGCGUCUAAGACCGCCACUGUUAGAGUCUGGAUCGACGCCGGGUCAAGGUUCGAGGACGGCGAGACCAACGGCACUGCGCAUUUCCUGGAGCACAUGAUCUUCAAGGGGACGGAUCAGAGGACAGCCCGUGAUCUGGAGGAGGAGGUCGAGAACAUGGGAGAUCGACCCCUCCAAGCUCCUCAUCAAGUCUGUCAUUGCUCGUGGCAGCUUCGACACCGUCCACCGUGGCAUCUACGACGGUCAAGACGUCGCCGUUAAAUUGCUUGACUGGAGUGAAGAGGGUCACAGGACAGACUCCGAGAUUGCUUCUCUAAGGGCAGCUUUUACUCAAGAAGUUGCUGUCUGGCAUAAACUAGAUCAUCCUAAUGUUACUAAGUUUAUUGGGGCGACAAUGGGUUCAUCAGAUCUACAAAUCCCUAGAAAUCUUUCAGAAAAAAAAAAUAUAAAUAAAUAAAUAAACCCAAAUCCUCCGUCUUCUACCUCCUCUGCCUCUUCCAGUCCCGAGCUUUAAUCCGACCCCAACCCCGAUUCUUCUGCUUGUCGGUGUAUGUGACAAUGUACCUCAACGAUUGCCAGCGAACAGUUUUCUACCAAGGCAUCGGCCUCAACACUAAAGAAUUUGAUAUGCACGUUAUCAUUGAGACAAAUCGCACUACAGCCAGAAUUUUUCCAGCAGUGCUCGAUGUUGAGAACUCAGAAUUCGAAAGGAAACUGGACCGCAUGGUGGAGAUUAACCAGAAGCUGAUUGCUGUCGGGGAGAGUGACGACGAGGACGAAAUCGAGAUCGUGAAGUCCCUGCCAGAGCCACUUCGUGAAUUUGCUUCGCAGUUUCUUAUUGAAUUGGCUUCAAAAGCUGCAUCAUCCAAUCUAGUGUUUGCAAAGCUUAUUAAAUGCUCCUCGAAGAUGGGCUUGUCAUACUUGAUUCCAAAUGCCCAGGUUCAGAUGGCUCCACCAGUGCUUCAUAUACCUUCAAGGAUAGUGGUGUUUUAUCCGAUCGACAUGCAACUACAAAGGAGAUGGAGGUUGAUAUCCCAGAUUCAUCCAAGCUCUAUUCUCCCUCUGGGAUGGUUGAGUCAAAGUCAGUGGGAACGUUUUCAUCUUUCCAAAAGCAAGAUAGUCACAGGGGUCUCUUUGUGGAUAGGGGUGUUGGAUUUCCUAGACUAGUUAAAUCUUCUAGUACUAGUACUUCCUCCGAGUCCAGAUUUGAUACAGAAAAAAAAAAAAAAAAGAAUUCGAUGCCAGAAGCUGCUGGAGCGGUUGCGGCUGCAGACGUAGCUGAUCAAAUGCUUGGACCAAAGGAAGAUAAACAUUUGGCAAUUGUCCUGGUUGGUUUGCCUGCUCGUGGAAAAGCUUUUACAGCAGCUAAGCUUACAGGGUACCUCCGCCAUGGUUGCUGCCUUUGAAUGUGAUUGACAAAACCAAAGUUUGUCAACUCACACCCAAAGGCCUUCUCUCCAUCCGUAACAAACAACAACGACGAAGAACUUCAAUAAACCGCCGUCAAACGACUAGCCGGUAGUGAAGCUCAAUGCCUUGCAUUCUACCUCAAGCUCCAGCUGCUUCUGCACCUCCGCCAUGGCCGCUGCUUUUGAAUGUGAUUGACAAAACCAAAGUUUGUCAACUCACACCCAAAGGCCUUCUCUCCGUCCGUGACAAACAACAACGAAGAACUUCAAUAAACCACCGUCAAACGACUAGCCGGUCAUGAAGCCUCGAUUGCAGCUCACCGUCCGUCGAGUUCCAUCCCUACAAAGCACCAUAUAUAAAGAAAAAAAAAAAAAGGGUUUUCAAAUGGUGACCAGCCACCGAAAGCAAAGAAAAGAAGUGAUUGACAGGCACCAUCCAAAAGGAAAUGAUAAAAAAAAAGAAAAAAACAAGAAAGACAUGUCAUGGUGUAUGCUACUAUUAGCAAGAAUGAAUAAUUGAAAGGAAGAAAGCAGGGGGAAGACGACGAAUUUCCGUCUAAAAAAAAUAGGGAGUAAAAGAAUAGUGCGCAUUAGUCAGAUCUAUGUUUUAGCACAACAUACUGAAUAAAAUAAAGCAUGUCCAUUGAUAUCUCUAAGAAAUUACAAAUGCGUAAAAAAAAUAAAAAAAAUAAAAAAAACCUUCACGAAUGUCACUCAUGAGAAGCCUCAGUACUUGAAGCCUUAGUACUCGGCGACUUAUGUGAAGCCUCAGUACUUGAAACCUUGGUACUCGGCGACUUAUGUGAAGCCUCGGUACUUGAAGCCUUAAUACUCGACGGAACCCUAGAAGAAGGAGGCAUUGGGGAUGGAUUAUUCGGAGCCUCAAUACUUGGUCGAACUUCAGAUGACGAAGGCAAAAGGUCCCUCUGGAAUACAUCCAUAAAUCUCCGAUUGUCACUUUGAAUCCGACCUCCGGAGUCUAGCAACUGAUCAAACUUCCUCUUCAUACUCGUCGAAUAAUUAUUUGCAAGCACCUGCAAUUCUCUAUUCUCAUACUUCAGCUGUCUGAUCACUUGAUUAAGGACUACCGCCUCGGCUGUCAAUGAUUCAACCUGGCGAGUUCGAACAAGUAAGAGUUGGCCCAGGUUGGAAACAGAGUUCGCACACUGAACACUGAGAGCAUGGGACUCUCGAACAGCUAAUUCAUCGGACCGUCGUGAAAGUAUCCUAUUAUCUUCAGGAGUGAUAAGGUUUCUAGUUACAACCGUAGCUGUUGCUGCAUCCCUCAUUAUAGAGUCGUCAACUGUAAGGGGGUCAUUAGAAGAUGAGAAUGACGGGCGCCAUAUAUUACCCUGACUCGGUGCACCUGCGCCACUGCUAAGACUCAAAUCCAAACAAAUGUUAGAUGAGUUAGCCAUUUCCAAAAAGAUGUUAAAAGAAAAGGGUUGGAGUGAAAAAAAAAAAAAAAAAAAAAAAAAAAAAAAAAAAAAUCUCAGAAAUACAGCAAGAACGACUUUCAGAGGCGAGCAAUCUUCAAAGCGUGCAGGUUGAAAAUGAUUGACACCUCUUUAAAAAGAAGAGGCAACACAACCACUUGUUCAAAAAAAAACAAAAAAAAACAAAAAAAACAAAAAAAAAAAAAUUUAAAGAAACGCCACUCUUCGAAUUUCAAAACCCGGAUUUUCCUGCGUAAAAUCCGUCAACACUUUUCAGGCGCAGUUUCAGCUUUCGGCUAUCACGUGCAACUUUGCCAGAGAUCACUGACAAGGUUGAAAACGUGUGGAGUCCAUCAUACUCACCUACCCGACUGUUGGCCGACAAAGCAUGGGAGACAAGGCACAUCCACCCUGCCACUUGCUGUUGGGAGCUCACCAUAUAAUUCGAGUUUCAUCCUCUAGCAAGACACACAUCCACCCUGACUCUUCUUCCUUGCCGAAGGCAUCUGCAACCAAAACUCAAUUUUUCUGCCUCCCUGGAAACGCUUCCUCAGCCAAAUCACAUCAAAGCAAAGGUAUCUCAUAUCACUGGGGUUGAAAGCAAGAGUAUCUCAUAGCAUGCUUUCACCCUAUCCUUUUCUUUGUCCUCCAUCUUCACUACUAUGACAAGGAUAAAGAAAGCAAUAUGUCGGAACCUCCACUCAAGCUCCUGGUAAGGAACCGACUGCUUGGAAUCUUUCCUGAUUGCUCACCUAGCACUGCUCUCGAAGUACCCAUUAUCUCAACAUCUUAUGCUUCUAGAGAAGAUACCACAUCGGCCAGGAGAACAGAAGAGACGAAUGAAAAUGAUGCAUCGAAGCAUGUGGAGACAAGCUCAACAAACACAUGUGUUGAUCAUCCGCUACUUCUUCAAAAGCAAAAGUAUCUCAUAUCAUCGGGGUUGAAAGCAAAGGUAUCUCAUAUCAUGCUUUUUUCCCUAUCAUUUCCUUUGCCCUUGUUCUUGCUUUGCAGAACAAGGAGAAAGGAAGCAAUCAGUCGGAACCUGAAAUUAAACGUCCGAUCAGGAACUGAUUGCCAGGAACCUUUGCCUGGUUGCUCACCUAGCGUUGCUCUCGGGUACUCAUCUUCAACUGUUGACGGAUCUCGAGUUUCCUCAGCAAAUAUUUCAAAACAGUUGAUAGGUGUUGGCUCUUUACACUGAAGCUGCCAACCACGGAUGAGUGGCUGAAAAGUGAUGCUCUGAAGGACCAUUUAAAGGCAAAAGGUUGCCGCCACUGCUGCCAGGUAUUAAAGAACUUCCUACAGGUAAUUUAAGAACUAAUGGCCUGUGGAAAGUCAACAAUUGGAGGAAACCAAAAAAGUCAUCCGAACCAGUUCAAGAUCGAAGCUGUGGAAAGUCAACAAGUGGAGGAAACCAGAAAAUCCUCCGAACCAGUUCAAGAUCAAAGCUGUGGAAAGUCAAUAAGCACAACAAAAUACGUGCCGAUUCACCCACUACCAAAGAAAAAGAUCAUCUACCACAUGAAGCUCCUUGUGGUCCAAUUUCAACCUUCAAGAUCAAGCCUCAACGGCCCUUGAAGAAAUUUCAAAUGAAAGUUCAAGAACAAGCCUCAACGGCCCUUGAAGAAAUCUCCAGCCCAAUUCAAGAUCAAGCCUCGAAUGGCCCUUGGAUCAACAUCUACAAUAAGGGACUUCAAAACGCAUCUUCUACACGUGACAAGCACAUGUAUACGACGCGCCUUGAAGUGGGGGCAUUUGUAGACAUCGAAAUUUCGGUAAAAUAAAUGUUGAUCAAAAAUUAAAAUUUCAAUGUUUAUGUGUCACAUAAAUUUUACACAUAGCAUGUGACUAAACGAAAAAUCAAAAUAAAUCGGAAAAGUCAUCAAACAGGACAUGUGUCAACACCUGGCAGAGAUGAUUUAUUCCAUCUAAUUAUUUAAAUCCAAAAAUCAAGUUUUGGAAUUCUAUAAAUAGGAGGCCAAGGCAUUCAUUUUGGGACACCAAUUCAUAACCAAUUCACUUCAUAUCAAAACCUUGAAGCUUUGAAACUCAAAAGCUCCCAAGCAAAUCCCGAAGGAUCAAGAGAGCUCUCUUCGUUCUUCGUCAAAUCCUCAUUCAAGAUCAAGCCCCAACGGCCCUUGAAGAACUUCCACUGAUUCAAGAUCAAGCCCCGACGGCCCUUGAAGAAAGUGUUCAUCGUUCAUCAUUCGUUCAUCCCUAGAUCAAGCCCCGACGGCCCUUUGGAUCCACGACGUCAACAAAUCUGCACAACUGUUUAUCCCAAGAUCAAGCCCCGACGGCCCUUUGGAUCAACAACAUCAAAUCUACCCAUUGCAAAGAUAGAAUCAGAGGCUAAAUUUGUAGAAGAGAUUGUAACCCCUAAAUCAUCAAUACAAAUAUUAUUUUGUACACGUGUUUCUUGUCUCGUUCAUCGCAGGAAAAUCCCGUGUUCACAAUGUUAACCUAGAGGUUUCUGUUUGGGGCUAGCUUCGGUUAGCUUAUCCCCAAAAGAACGAGAAGAACUUUCUUGCACCGGUUGCAUGAGUAUGUUCAUCUGUAUGCCCUUUAGGACUUUUGGACUUUUAAGUUUUUGACCUGCACAUAGGCAUGCGCAUAAUGACAUUGAUUAGUACAUUUGCGCAUGGGUUUCUUGAGGUUGUGAGUUCAUAGCGUGGAAUAAGUGGUACCACACUACUAUUUGUUAGAGUUCUGUCAAAUGAUCAAAACCAGUAGAAAAAUAAUUUCUACACAUGUUUUUCUCCAAUAUACUCUUAUUUAUUUUAGUUACUUCGUUUUUUUUUUAACUAAAUAAUGUAUUUUUAGUUAAAUAGUUAAAUAGUUGUUAGAAUAUCUCCAAUCCAAGGGUGUGCUCUCAAAUUUUAGCCCCAUAUUGUCAAUUAUUUCACCUAUACGUAUGAGGUUAGGCAAUUUUUUUCCUCGAACAGUAAGAGACAUAUAAUUUCCACCCCAAACUUUAUAAUUUGUUAAACUUUAGUAUUUAGUUGAUUUUUUGUUAAUAAUUUAGGAAUUAGUUUUUGUAUAAUCUAUGUUGUUCUAUUUUUGCAAACAUUUUGAUGUGAAAAAAUUCAAAUUCUGAAGAAAAAAAAAAUUGUUGAGAAAAUUGAAAUUUUAAUGGAUCAAUGAACACAUGGAUGUGUAUUUAUACAGUUUUGGACUAGUUUUGGUGUUGGAUAUGAUUUGGUUAAUAAAUAAUGUUAUUUUGACAGUUAGAUUUAAAUUUUAGCCGUUUGAUAUUUUUAUUACAGUUAACAUUGAUUAAAUUGAAUUUGAGCCAUUGAAUUAAAAAGGAUACAGCUGGCGGGCCACUCUGGAACAUAACUCAUGAGGCGCUACAACCAUUGGAUUCGAAUGGCACGCCAAUCUGGACGGUAAAACCCGUGUUUAUCGUGCACUCGCCCGCGGAGAAUCCCUUUGUCAUCUUGCUGUUGUUGCAUAGGAUCCGUGUGGCCUUGUUUCACGUGAUGGAGCAGAGUUGCGUGAGUCCCUUGGCCCACAAGAAACCUUAUCCAUCUUGGGGGAUAGGACAACCAAAUACCCACCCCCAUCCUUAAAAUACACAUAUUAGAAAUUAUUAGCAAAAGUGUCUGCGCGAUGUUACGGGUGUUCAAAAUGUUUUGAUAAUAUGUACAUAAAGAAAAUAUAAUUUAUUGAAGCUAUAUUUAUAUACCUAAGGUAGAGAUUGGCAGUGUUCAUAGUUAUCAAAAAGAUUGGCAGUGUCCAAUUGCUCACUAUGAAAGCUAUAUACAUGUAUAGAAGUUCAUAGUAUCAAAAUCGUUCAAAUACGAAAAUAUACAUAUGUCCAUAUCAGAAGCUUGGCACUGCACAUCUACUCUAUGUUUAUGAUUUUUCCUGGUCAAUCUUUUGGUCUUUGCUUGUUUGGGAAUUACCAUCUUUUUCUUGGUCACCAUGUUCUUUUUUGCUUUGUCCAUAAUUUUUCUCUUGCUAUAUAUUAAGCAUUGGAAUCGGUAAGAUUUCAAUAUAAAAAACUAAGGGCUUGUUUGGUAUUCUAUUUGAAAUUUUUUAUAAUUUCUCAAAAUAUUUCUUAAGAAUUUUUCUUGAAAACAGUUUUCUUUAAGACUCAAAAACUUGUUUGGUAUGCGAUUUAAAAAUUUUAAAUCUUACAACUUAAACUGGACAAAGAGAUCAAAAAAGACGGGGUCAAGAGAGAUAGAGGAGAGAGGAGGAAAUAAAGUAAGAGAUGAUUGGAGGAAAGAGAAAGAAGUGAGAGGAUCGGAGGAGAUAGAGUGGAAGAGGAGUGGAAGAGGAGUGAGAGAAUGAAUUGAGAGAAUGAAGAGAGCGGAUUGAAGGAGAGACGAAAAAGGUAAAAAAAAAAAAGAGAAGAUGGAGAGAGAGAGAGAGAGAGAGAGAGAGAGAGAGAGAGAGAGAGAGAGAGAGAGAGAGAUUUAGAGUGAGAGGGGAGGAGGGAGAGAAAAGAAAUGAGUGAGUUUUAAGUCUAAAAACUCUAAAAACUUAUUUUUUGUGUGUUUAGAUAAUAAACUAUAUUUUUUAGUUAGUCUUGAGUUCAGUUUUAAAAAUAGUCAUACCAAACAAGUUUUUAAGGCCUAAUACUUGAAAAUUGUUUUUGAGUUUAAAAAGUUAGAUUCAAGUAGAGUAUCAAACAAACUCUAAAUUUUUCAAUCGAUUUAACCAAUGAAUUGAUGGAGGAGCGAAAAAGAGAAACAAAAAAUAGGGCCAUUAUUCAAUUAUCUGGAGAAUUACUUGAUAUGUACAAAAGGUUUGAAAAUUAAACUAACAUUUAAAAAAAAAUGAUGAGAUGGAGUGGAAAUCAUAUACCAACAUCAAGCUUAAAUUUGUAGUGCUCAUUUGUAGUGCUAUCUGCAAUUAGUCUUAUCAGGAGCUUCUGCACUAGUUGAUGUCUCGGUGUUUUUCUUAGCUGCAUGUACAUUGUAGACUUGGGUAGAUGAGAAGCAAAAGAAAAUAAAAAUAUAAGUUAAAGUUACAACUUAACUAUCUAUGUUGAUUCAUGUCCAACACAUAAUAAGAAUAGCGAAUCAUUUUCCAUCUCGUGCACUGGUUUGUCAUUGUCACUUGAAUUCACAAAUUCUUUUACUCUGAAUUUCUUAGUUAUGACAAGGGAAUGAAUGUUUAAACAAAAAUAUGUUUCUAUGUUUUCCCACUAAACUACAUGUUAAACCAAAUCCAAACGUUAAAAAAAUAAAUAAAAAAAAAACCUUCGUCAAACCUCUUGGGCUUCAAGUCCACCGACUCCACCCCAAUACUCACUGGUGCCCCAAACAUUCUUGCACCUUCAGUAGCCUAGAUCAUGCAUGUAUCAGUAUUCGAAAAAGAAAAUAAAUGCAAUUUAUUAGAACAAAGAAUUUGGGAUCAACAAAGUUUGUCCAAACUUACAGUGAGGCCAAUAAACAGUAACUAAGGAUAAUUUUUUGUUUUGCUACAUUGAGAGGGGCGCAAACCUAAUAUUAAAAAAUAAAAUAUUCAAUAUAGUGCAAACAAUUCAAUAUGUAGUAUAAAUUUAGGAUGCAUAUUCAACGCUCUAGAGCAUUGAGUAGGACACCAAACUUGUCGGUAUGGUGCAACUGAGGAUGCAAACUUUGUCCAACUGAGCAACGGGCUUGAUUUUGGAAAGACGGUCAGAAUGAACAACAAUGUAUUCACUCGAAGUAAAUGUAAGAUCCCACAUCCCCCAGGGAUGAGGAUCUUGUAAGCCUUAUAUGUAUAUUCUCAUCUCUACCUAGCAUGAGGCCUUUUGGAAACUCACUGGUUUUGGGUUCUAUCGGAACUCCAAAGUUAAGCGAGUUCGCACAAGAGCAAUCUCAUGAUGGGUGACCCACUGGGAAGUUCUCGUGUGAGUUUCCAGAAACAAAACCGUGAGGGCAUGGUCAGGGACCAAAGCAGACAAUAUCGUGCUACAACGGAGUCGAGCCUGGGAUGUGAUAGGGGCCCAGGUCGAGAUGUGACAGUAAAUGUGCCUGGAAAACUAUACUCAUAGUUUACAAAUCUGCAAUUCUCAAAGGUUAAUCAUAUAAAAUCAUAUAUGUGUGUGUGUAUUAUGUAUAUUAUAUGUAUGUAGUAGCUAUUAUUGCUGACCUUGGCAAAAGUAAAGUUUAGUGUGAUAAACUGAGGUAUAUUUGACCUUUAUCCUUAUUUCCAUGGCCUUAAGUGGAGCAACCUUCACCCUCUCCAUCACCAACGGCUUCCUUGUCUCCCAUGCAACCGCUGUCGCAAAAUCUACAACAUAGAAAUCCCAAAUUGAGGAGUAUUAAAUCCCUAUCCUCAAAUAUCCUUCGAAACACAUGCAAAAUGAAGAACAAUGGACCUAGGGGCAAAGAAGCUGAUUGGUGUUCAUAAAAAAAAUAUUUUAGUUUUAAUUGCCUUGUAUUUGAGAAGAGGUUCAGAACUCUCUUCAAUUUCUUUUGGUUCUGGUUUGGCUUCAAGCCUAGCCUCCAUUGUUGCCAUUGAUAGAAGACAGGCUCUUAGGAAUGUAAGUGGACAUGAAUGGAGCUUGAUAUAAUCUAAUUAUGAAAACAUAUACUAAUCAAAGAUAAAAUUUAAGGUGCUUGGACGAACUUAUCCAAUGAAAUUAUCUAAAUAUGUUGAGAAGAAUAUCUUUUUUUACAUAUUUUCUCAACAACCAAACAACAUAUUUUGUCACCGAUGCUCAGACGGAAACAAUUCGUCAGGAAUUUGAAGAUCGAAACCCUAAAACCUUAACACUUGAGAUCGAUUUGAUUAAAUGUGAGAGAAUUUGUAGAAUUUUAUAUGUUAGCUUGAUGGUUUGAGUUUGUUUUCUUAUUUUAAGCAAAGAAAACUUCAAUCAAAUGCCAAAUAAAAACUCCAGUAUAUCACCUGAUGACAAAUCGGUGAGAGAGCUUUUGGGUAAAAGGGUCGGAGAGGGUUUGAAGUUGGAAUCUGCUAAUGCUGGGGUGAGUCAAGAUGACGUUGCAGUCCGAUUGUUGGCCGACGACCAAGAUUUCUUCAUGGGUUUUCUGUCCAGAUGGGUUUGUAGUACGGCUGCGGUUGAGAUUUGUUGAUGAUGAAGCGGUCAGCGAGAGAGAAACAACGAUUUUGAGAGAAAUUGCGAAAAUGGAUUUGUUGGUUUGAGGUUGUUUGCGAUGAUUGUGAGUGAUUAUGGAGAUAAAGCGGCAUGAAGUGGUGAGCAAUAGUGAGAGGGGGGAGUAGGCAGGAAGUGUCAAUGGAACGGGAUCCCAUGUGUUCAGGAACGCUGCUCCACUUGACAUCAUGACAAAAUGGCAAAGUUGAAAAAACCGAAAAAACCAGGGGGUAAAAUCGAAAAUCCACUGUAGCCAUACAGUGAUUUCCCCAACAGUUUUAGUAUAUACCAGCAACGGUGCCCGUGCGAUGCUACGGGUUUUGAAACUGUAUAAAAUAUAUAGAAAGUUCUAAAUACAUACAAUAUGCAAUACUAUUUAUAUGUAGGAAUCUAUUUACAACCAUAUGGAUUGGCGGUUCUAUUGCCAUUGUUCUAAUAUUGCAUCUUUUACAAAUUGAACUCGUAACUGUCCUCUAACUGUACAAUUUUUUUUGUAUGUAAUUUUGUUUACAUACAAAAAAUAAUAUUUGAUGUGUAUAUACAUACUAUUUAUAGACAAAAGUUUGAUAGAUAGUCCCUAUUUAUAUCCUCAUGAAAUAUGCAGAUAAUCAACCUAUUUUUCCCAAUCAUAACCAAACUGUGUUGUUGCAGUUGACUUUAAGUCGUCAAUGGAAUGAAAUACUAGAAGUCGAAGAUAAACGAAUGUAGAAAUCUUCAAGCCCUAAACAUAGUGGCCCUGCUUUUUGCAACAAAACAAUACUUUUAUUACAGAUAAUUACAGGAAAAACUUUUAAAACUGGAAAUAAAAUUAAGUCAAAUGAUUAGGGUACAAGAAUUUUCCUUGACCAUACAUACACAAAUAAAAUUUAAAUUAAAAAAAAAAGAAAAAAAAAGGCAAUCUCAAAUACACAGAGAUUGAAAAUUCAUUAAACAAUUUAUUAAGCAUAUAUAGGUUAACCAAACAGAUAAUCUUAUUCAAUCACACCAUUUUAAUUUAUCAAAUUGAUUAUUUAAUACUGUCAUGCUAAAAAAUUGUUCUGACAAUACCCUCUCAUCCCAGUAUGAUAAACCAAAAAUUCUUCAAUCUCUUGCGUGUCAUUUCAGUUCUUAAAACCGUCGAAAGAAAAAAUUAAAGUUUCUUUCUUACCGAAAUCCACCAAUUUGAAUCAAAUCCACCAAAGAAGCAUACAUGUUCUUUACUUGAAUUAUACAUAUAUUUGAGAAGAAUCAAAUAAAGACUAAAAUUCAAAAUUCUUUCUCCCCUUAAAUAAAAUUCUAUACAUGCAUUUAAUAAUCUUAAUUUCCUGGAAGCAAGUUGGAUAAUGUGUAAACAUAGACAUUAUAAUGCUCAGGAAAUAGGCCAUCUUUUACAGCAAAUUAAAUUACCGUUUCACUCGAAGAAGUAUAAAGUUCGAAAAGGGUAAGUAAAUAGACACACAAAGAUAUAUAUAUAUAUAUAUAUAUAUAUAUAUAUAUAUAUAUAUAUAUAUAUUUGAUGCACAGUCCACCCUAGUCGGCAAUGGAUGUACAUCACCUGAAAAGCCUAGCAAAUUUUCGUAAUGGGGCUUGAAAAUUGAAGUUUAAAUAGUAAGUUAACAACUUAAAACACUAACACUCUGUUUGGAUAUAGUAAAAUAAAAUAGAAUUUCACUUAAACUAGGGAAUUAGGAUGGGAAAGCAGUUUUCCCACGUUUGGCAACCCUGCUACGAGAGAAACGGCAAAUUCCACGGGAAAAAAAGGGGGAAAUCGGGGAUGAACAAUCCCGAGUUUAAUUUCCAUCAAAAUAGGUGGAAUUUCACAAUUCCAACAACGGAGAGAAUCCCAAAUCCAUCGGAUGGAAAUCUUGCAGGCGGCAAAUUUCAUGAUUAGGGCGCCAAAAUGGGAUGAUUGGCGCCAAAGUUUACAAUAAAAAGGGCUUCACUCUGUUAUAACUCACCAAUCUUAGAAGGGACGCUUGUGCUUCAUUUUCUUCUUCCUUCAUUCUAGGUCAGCCUCUUCUCUCUUCUCUCUUCUUUCUUGAAUCAUUACGGUUCGAAUUAUUAUAGUAUAGUCUAUCUCUGCGUGUAGGUUCAAAUCAUCAAGUGUAUUAUGUUGAAUGAGUUCUAGUGAUACUCAUAUGCUUGGGUGUUUAUUAAUUGGGUAUACAUAUUAGUUGCGUUGCUUCAUCUGCGAAUAUGUGGGCUAUUGUCAUGGAUGCAGGGACUAGCUUCACAGUUGUGAAUUUUGGUGAUACUCAUAUGCUUGGGUGUUUAUUAACUUUUUUUUUCCAAUUGAAUUGUGUAUUGGGUCUAACCUUAUAUGGGAAACAACUCAAGUCAAGAAUCAGAUUAUAAUCGUCUUGUUAAUUAGUUGAAUUAGGACCGAACCUACAUUUAAAACGAAAACAGGUUUAUUCCGUUUGAACCUUAAAACUCUCCAUUUGAGAAGUUAUGCCUGUGCUUCUGACUUUGUUGUUAGCCCACUUUAAAAUAUCAGCAUCCGUCAUCUCCUUUCCUUGGGAGUGAGAUCGUAGAUUUCUCAAAAGUUGAAGCAUAUUAAACCUCAUCAACUGCCAUAGGAACGCUGAAAAAAAGAUGAAAACAAACUUUAGUAUUUGAUAACAAAUUAGAUUUAGCACAUAACCAGUUACUCCAGUAGAUCUGUUAAGCUCAAAGCUAAGGGAAAAUUACCAAGUAUGAGUUUCUUGUUUCCCUGUACUAUAUCAUUUCCAGUUAUGUUCACUAGUGAGAAUUCUUUGUUGUUCAUAUAUUCAAACAGGUAUGGAACAUACUGAUGUUGUAGACAUGAUAACGAGGUUAAAGCGAAAGCGUGCUAUAAAUGAAGAGGAAAAUAGGAAAAAGAGGAAAAUUAUUGUCGGUACGAUUAUAUAUGUUAUUGUCAUUGUCAUGCAUUGGUAUAGUAAAAGUGUUCUUCUUAAAGAACCUUCAAAUGAUUGGGAUCAAGAAAGACAAUCUUUCCUCAGCCGAUUGUUUAAUGGAAAAGAUUCAACUUGCAUUGAACAAUUACGAGUUAGCAAGAGUGCAUUUAAACAGUUAUGUGAGAUUUUACAAGGGAAUGGUGGAUUAGUUCGCACUAGACAUGUGUCCAUUGAAGAAUCUGUUGCAAUUUUUUUGCAUAUACUUGCCCACAACUUGAAGUUUAGAGUUGUCGGUUUACACUAUUAUCGUUCCAAGGAAACAAUUAGUCGGCAAUUUCACAAUGUGUUGCAUGCAAUGAUGAAAAUAAGUCAAGCAUAUGUGAAAUAUCAACCAUGCGUUAUUGGUAAUUCUGAAAGAGAAAAGUGGCGGUGGUUUGAGGUAAUCAAUUAGCACCUAAACCAAAAAAAUUAUGUAUUUGUUUGAUAACUUCACUAGCUUUUUAGACUUUAAUCUUUUUUUUCGUUGUAUGACAUUUUUAUUUAGAAUUGUCUUGGAGCACUUGAUGGAACUCUCAUUCUAGAAACAAUAACGGCUGAGGAAAGACCAAGAUAUAGAGAUAGAAAGGGUGAUAUAUCCACUAAUAUGUUAGGAGUUUGUGGUCCAGAUUUAAGAUUUUUUUAUGUGUUACCUGGAUGGGAAGGCUCUGCAUCUGAUGCGCAUGUUUUGCGUGAUGCUUUACAUAGGAGUAAUCGGUUUCAUGUUCCAAAUGGUAAUGUGUGAUACCAAUUAGUUCUAUGUUAGAUAAACAAAACUUUAAAAUGUAUCUAAAUUUAUUCUCUAAUUUUUUAUUGUAGAUAAGUAUUAUCUUGUGGACGCUGGCUAUACUAAUGGACCGGGGUUUUUAGCACCUUACCGUGGAACUAGAUAUCACUUGAAAGAGUGGGUUGGAAACCGUCGACCUGAAAACUACAAAGAAUUAUAUAAUUUGCGUCAUUCAAGGGCAAGGAAUGUUAUUGAGAGGGCAUUUGGAUUGUUAAAAAAACGAUGGAGCAUAUUACGCACACCAUCCUUUUUUGAUAUUAAAACGCAAGUUAGGAUUAUAAAUGCAUGUUGUAUCUUGCAUAAUUUUAUUAGAAUUGAGCAAGCAGCUGAUCCAGUUUUAGAAGCUCAAGAUUUACAAUUUUUAGCAUAUGUGGACUCCGAGUUGUUAAAUCGUUCAACAAGAGAGGACAAUGAAAAUAACUCUGAUGGGAUUACAUAUGUUCAAGCUACUGCCGAAUGGACAGCGUUUCAUGAUACAUUGGCAUUGCAGAUGUUCCAUGAUUACCAAGCUCAGAGAGCUGCAAAUACUUCUUAAUCGAAAAUUAGUUGUUUUUCUUAGCAUGUUAUCUUUAACGUCUCAGUUAAUAAUUUUGUCAAUGACAUUAUUGCUACGAAAUGCAUUAGCUUUUAAAUUUUAUGGAAUGCCCUUGUUUUCAGAUUUUAGUAUCAACCUUGGUGUUGUUUAAGUGGUCAUCUUAUUUUUCUUUUCUGUUAGUAUUAGUUUAGUUUUGAACAUGUACAAAGACAACUUGAAGCAUGUACAGUUUUUUUCUUAAAUGUGUUGAGAUUUAGAGAAUGACUUGAUAUUUGUGAUCUCCUUGGUAGAUACUCUGAUUCUUGAUAUGCAUGUGUUUACGAAUGACUUAAAAUUUCAAUUAAUAUUUGUUUAAUGUUAGGAGAAAUGGAAGGAUCUGAUAGAAAACCAGUAUGCAAACAAAAACUAAGGAGAAAGAAAGAGAACCAAGAAAUUGAAAAUGAAGGAGAUGAGAAUAAUUAUUUUAGAUGGAAUGUAGAUAUGGAACGUGUUUUGGCUGACAUGCUUCGCAAAGACGAAGAUUGGGUAACAAAGGAGAUGGUGGUUGGAAGAUAGCUGCUUAUAAUUCUGCUGCAUCUAUAUUAUCUACUCAAUUUGAUAUUCAUGUAACUGCCGAUAACAUUUGAAACCGUGUGAAGUCUUGGAAAAAGUUCUAUGCAGUAGUAAGUGAUAUACUAAGUCAAAGUGGAUUUAAUUGGGAUGCAACCAAAAAGAUGAUAAGUGUAGAUGAAGAUCAUGCCUGGCAAGAUUACGUGGAGGUAUGAUAAAUUCAUUAUUUUUCUUUUCUGUGUGUGAUAUUCUUUUAACUCUUCUUAUACUUACAGUUUGCUUUUUGAUUUUAAUGUUUUGAUUGGUAGUCACAUAGUGGUGCUAAAAGUUUUCGUUGGAAGGUCAUUCCAAAUUGGGAUGAUAUAGUGGAUUUGUGUGCCAAAGAUAGAGCCACGGGUGAGGGUGCUGAAACAGGUGUGGAAGCUUUUGAGAUUAUGACUCCUCCGCAUAUUGAAACUAAUCAUAUUGAUUUGGAUGGUGAUACGCAAGGUUUAGAUGAUAUUGAAAUUAUUAAUGAUAUUUCACCUACUUCAGCCAAUGGUCAGAAGACUCAAAGCAAGAGAAUGCCAAAAAAUUUUGUUGAUGUGCCUCAUACAAAGAAAAAACUAACCACCCCUAAAGAUAUGAUUGCAGAUUCACUUGCCAAGAUGGCUUCAUCCUUUCAAGACUAUAUUUGUGCAUACACAAACAAGCUUGAUCCAACAGAGCUAUAUGAUGAAGUAAAUGCAAUACCAGAUCUCAGUGAAGAAGAACAAAUCAAAGCAUGUGCUUGGUUGAUCGAAAAUGACAAGCAAUUUCUCAUGUUGAAGACACUUGCAGUGUUAAAUGAGCAAGGGUCGCUGUAUCUCCAUCGGCACCCGGAUGCAGUGUUAAAUGAGCAAGGGGGCCGUAGAAACUUCUUUUCGAACGACUCCACUCAAAGUUGUUUGGGAGCAUAUGCUCCUAUCAACUUUACACGGGACACACAAAAGAAGUACUUUGAUCCUAUUAGACGGGGGAGGGUGAAGAAGCUAGGACAGAAGGGUAGAGUUCAAGAGAGCAAAAUGCGUUUAGGAACGUGGAAUAUAGGAACCUUAACGGGAAAAUCUAUGGAAGUAGUGGAAGUUAUGGUGAGGAGAAGGAUAAAUAUUAUGUGCCUACAAGAAACUAAGUGGGUUGGUAGUAAGGCAAAGGAUCUAGAAAACUCAGGGUUUAAACUUUGGUAUUCGGGCACAAAUAGAACGAGAAACGGUGUUGGCAUCAUCGUGGACAAGACCUUGACACAAGAUGUUGUAGAUGUCAAGAGGGUAGGAGAUAGAAUCAUGGCAAUCAAGAUUGUAAUAGGACAAGAACUUAUCAAUGUGAUUAGUGCGUACGCACCUCAAGUAGGGUUGGAUACGAGUUCGAAGGAGAAAUUUUGGGAAGACCUUGGAGACUUGGUGCAAGGAAUUGCUCAGACGGAGAAGUUAUUUAUAGGAGGAGAUCUAAAUGGACACGUGGGCAGGGAGACAGGCAACUAUGGAGGUUUUCAUGGUGGCCAUGGUUUUGGGGAGAGAAACGAGGAUGGGGAAGCUAUCUUGGAUUUUGCAAUGGCAUAUGAUCUCUUCUUAGCCAACACCUUCUUUAAGAAGAGAGAAGAACAUGUGAUCACCUACAAGAGUGGGUCGUCAAAAACACAAAUAGAUUUUCUUCUAAUGAGGAAAGGGGAUCGUAUAACUUGUAAGGAUUGCAAAGUUAUACCAGGAGAGAGCGUGGCUAAUCAACAUCGCUUGUUGGUGAUGGAUGUACAUAUCAAAAGAGGGAGACAAAAGAACAAGACUUGGAAGUGCCCAAGGACUAGAUGGUGGAAUCUAAAAGAAGAAAAACAAGCCAUUUUCAAAGAGAAGGUAAUCACCCAAUGUGUGUGGGAUAGAGAGGGGGAAGCUAGCCAAAUGUGGGAUUCCAUGGCUAGUUGUAUCCGAAAAGUAGCAAAAGAGGUAUUAGGAGAGUCCAAGGGCUUUGCCCCACACCAAAAGGAAUCUUGGUGGUGGAAUGAGGAGGUACAAACAAAGGUGAAGGCUAAGAAGGAAUGUUGUAAAGCCUUAUACAAGGAGAGGACCGAUGAAAAUGGUGAAAGGUAUAGAAAAGCGAAGCAAGAGGCGAAGAAAGCGGUCAGAGAAGCUAAGUUAGCGGCUUACGACGAUAUGUAUAAACGACUAGAUACCAAAGAAGGAGAGUUGGAUAUCUAUAAACUAGCUAGAGCAAGGGAAAAGAAGACAAGGGACCUAAACCAAGUGAGGUGCAUCAAGGAUGAGGAUGGAAAGGUUCUUGCUACAGAGAACGCGGUUAAAGACAGAUGGAGAGGUUAUUUUCAUAAUCUUUUCAAUGAAGGACAUGAAAGGAGUGCUUCUUUAGGGGAGUUGAGUAACUCAGAAGAGUGUAGAAACUACUCUUUUUAUCGUCGAAUCCGGAAGGAAGAAGUGGUUGUAGCUUUGAAGAAGAUGAAGCAUAGAAAAGCAAUAGGCCCAGACGAUAUACCAAUCGAAGUGUGGAAAGUUUUGGGAGAGACAGGUAUAACAUGGCUCACUGACCUUUUCAAUAGGAUUUUGAAAACGAAGAAGAUGCCAAAUGAGUGGCGAACGAGCACUUUGGUGCCUAUCUACAAGAAUAAGGGCGACGUACAAAAUUGCAUGAACUAUAGGGGUAUUAAGUUAAUGAGUCAUACAAUGAAGCUUUGGGAGAGAGUCAUUGAGCAUAGAUUGAGGCAAGAGACACGGGUUUCGGACAACCAAUUCGGGUUCAUGCCAGGGCGCUCAACCAUGGAGGCAAUCUAUCUCUUACGAAGAUUGAUGGAAAGAUAUAGAGAUGGGAAAAAGGAUUUACACAUGGUCUUUAUAGAUUUGGAAAAAGCGUAUGAUAGGGUCCCAAGAGACAUUCUUUGGAGGAUCUUAGAGAAGAAAGGAGUACGAGUAGCAUAUAUUCAAGCUAUAAAGGAUAUGUAUGAAGGAGCAAAGACUGCCGUAAGAACUCAUGAAGGACAAACCGAAAGCUUUCCCAUAACUGUAGGAUUACAUCAAGGCUCAUCCUUAAGUCCUUACCUUUUUGCGUUGGUAAUGGAUGAGUUAACAGGACAUAUUCAAGAUGAUAUUCCUUGGUGUAUGCUUUUCGCAGACAAUAUAGUGUUGAUAGAUGAAACUCAGGAAGGGGUAAAUGCAAAGCUUAACCUUUGGAGAGAAGUGUUGGAAUCUAAAGGUCUUCGCCUAAGCCGAUCAAAGACAGAAUAUAUGGAGUGCAAGUUCAGUGCAGAUGGAGGCCAAAACGAGUUAGGGGUGAGGAUCGGAGAUCAAGAAAUACCAAAGAGCGACCGUUUUCGUUACCUAGGAUCUAUCUUGCAAAAGAACGGAGAAUUAGAUGGAGAUCUCAACCAUAGAAUACAAGCUGGAUGGAUGAAGUGGAAGAGUGCAUCUGGCGUGUUGUGUGACCGCCGUAUGCCACUGAAGCUCAAGGGAAAAUUUUAUAGGACGGCAAUAAGGCCGGCGAUGCUGUAUGGCACAGAAUGUUGGGCGGUGAAGCAUCAACACGUACACAAAAUGGGUGUAGCGGAGAUGAGGAUGCUUCGUUGGAUGUGUGGGCACACGAGAAAGGAUAAGAUUAGGAAUGAGGAUAUCCGGGGUAAAGUAGGAGUAGCCGAAAUUGAAGGAAAGAUGAGAGAAAAUCGGUUACGGUGGUUUGGACAUGUGCAAAGAAGGCCUACUGACGCUCCGAUUAGAAGAUGCGACUAUGGGACAGAGGUUCAGGGCCGAAGGGGUAGAGGAAGACCUAGGAAAACUUUGGAAGAGACUCUAAGAAAAGACUUAGAGUACUUGGAUCUAACGAAGGACAUGACACAGGACCGAGCACAAUGGCGUUCUAAGAUUCAUAUAGCCGAUCCCACUCAGUGACUUGGAUUUUCCAAGUCUCCAACCGAGAAGUUUUCCUCACUCGAAAAAUUAAGGGAACACUACCUCAACCUACAUGCUCCACUCAGAAAGCUUCAACAUACAAGCUUCAACAAAAGAAAAUUCAAAGAACUUAGCGAAGAAGGCUUUGGUGUAUUUAACACAAUACGUUGAAAUGAAGGAAAACUUAUUUAUUGAUAUCCCCGAUAAGCUACAAAUAUGUACAUAUACAUGAGUCAAAAUAAACAAACAAGAUGGAGCCUUCACAAAGGUUGCUUAGGAGAAGUCUCAGCAGUCGGUAGAGCCCCAGAAAGAGAAGGCAUCGGAGGGGGAUCAUUCGGAGCCUCAGUACUGGACAGAACCCUAGAAGGAGGAGGCAUCAGAGGUUGAUCAUUUGGAGCUUCAUUACGCGGUACAGCCCCAGAAGACGAAGGCAAUAAAUGCCUUUGGAACAAACCCACAAAUCUCUGAUGAUCAAGUAAAACCUGACCAUCAGUUUCCUUCAUCUGGUCAAGCUUCCUCUUCAUGUUUGUAGCAUAGUCAUGUGCGAGCCGGUGCAACUGUUUAUUCUCAUGCUUGAGCCCUCUAAUCUCCUGUUUGAGACUCAUCACUUCGGCCGCCAAUGAUUCAACUUGGCGGGUUCGAGCAAAUAGGCGUUGGGCCAUAUUAGACACAGAACCUGCACACUGAACACUGAGAGCCAGUGAAUCCUUAACAGCUAACUCAUCAGACCGUUUGGAAAGUAGUCUGUUAUCUUUGGGAGUGAGAAGGUUCCUGGCCACCACCGCAGCGGUCAUAUCAUUCUUCAUCACGGAAUCCCCAACGGUAGAGGACCAGUAGGGGAGACGAAGGAUGGGCGCCAUAUGUUGUCUGGAGAAGGCGGGGCUGCCUCUUCAACAAGGUUCAAGUCAAAACGACGGUCGGAGGGGCCAGACAUUUUUCAAAGGUAUUGAAGAGAGAAGAGGUCGGACAAAUCAAGAUCUUAGAAGUGCAAGAAUGGAGCUUCUACUGGUGGAGAUUCAAGUGUGCUUUGGAACUUAAUGCCAGCCCCUAUAAAAAGCUGCACUCGACGGAGCUUCAGACAUCGAAGAGGCGCCUGCUCAGAAAUCGAAGAGGCGUUUGCUUUCUCAAAAGCUGGGCUGCUUAGAGACCACGAGGGUUGAUCUCAUAAAUCGAAGAGGUGUUUGCUUUCUCAAAAGUUGGGCUGCUCAAAGACCACGAAAGUCGAUCUCAGAAAUCGAAGAGGCGCUCGCUUCCUCAAAAGCUGGGCUCCUCAGAGACCACGAGGGCCGAUCUCAGAAAUCGAAGAGGCACCUACUUUUCCAGCCUUGUCAGCACCUGUCACACGCACACUCAGCUUUGCGGAAAUUAUGGGUAUUCUCUGUCGAAGACUUCUGGGGAAGUAGAAAACACAUGAAUCUUACUGUUCCAAUCACUCCACUUCCCACACGCAACAAUAGCUCAUGGGUACCACAGAUAACUUUGCCAAAGUUCUCUGCCAAAGUUGAGCACGUGAAGCUUGCAGCUCCCACUACAUCGCUCUGACCAAGAAGGGUAAAAGAAUAGCAAAGAAACAGCACUAACAAAGUUUAGACCCAUAAAUUUUGAAGGUCUAGCUACCAUAUUAUUACCCACAAGGGUAAAGGAACAGUACCACUGUUGGAUAAUUGGAAAGUCCCUGUGUGUCAACCUCUGUGCCUCGUGGCAAGGUAGACUAGCAAACAUGCCCAACCUUUACUCACAUUCGAGAAAACACUCCCAAUAAGAUUGCUUGCUCCAAAAUCGAAGAGGCACCGUCCUCCGAAUCUCGAGAGCCAGACUCCCAACAUGACUACUUUCUCAAAAAUCGAAGAGAUGGGUAAAGGAACAGUACCAUUGCUGGAUAAUUGGAAAGUCCCUGUGUGUCAACCUCUGUGCUUCGUGGCAAGGUAGACUAGCAAACAUGCCCAACCUUUACUCACAUUCGAGAAAACACUCCCAACAAGAUUGCUUGCUCUAAAAUCGAAGAGGCACCGCCCUCCGAAUCUCGAGAGCCAGACUCCCAACAUGAUUACUUUCUCAAAAAUCGAAGAGACACUGCUCCCCGAAUCUCGAGAGCCAGACCCCCAACAUAAUUGUUUUCUCAAAAAUCGAAGAGGCGCUCGCUUUCUCAAAAGCUGGGCUGCUCAGAGACCACGAGGGCCGAUCUCAGAAAUCAAAGAGGCACCUUCUUUUCUAGCCUUGUCAGCACCUGUCACACGCACACUCAGCUUUGCGGAAAUUAUGGGCAUUCUGUCGAAGACUUCUGGUGAAGUAGAAAGCACAUGAAUCUUACUGUUCAAUCACCCACUUCCCACACGCAACAAUAGCUCAUGGGUACCACAGAUAACUUUGUCAAAGUCUCUGCCAAAGUUGAGCACGUGAAGCUUGCAGCUCCCACUACAUCGCUCUGACCAAGAAAGGUAAAAGAAUAGCAAAGAAACAGCACUCACAAAGUUUAGACACAUAAAUUUUGAAGGUCUAGCUACCAUAUUAUUACCCACAAGGGUAAAGGAACAGUACCACUGCUGGAUAAUUGGAAAGUCCCUGUGUGUCAACCUCCGUGCUUCGUGGCAAGGUAGACUAGCAAACAUGCCCAACCUUUACUCACAUCCGAGAAAACACUCCCAACAAGAUUGCUUACUCCAAAAUCGAAGAGGCACCGCCUUCCGAAUCUCGAGAGCCAGACUCCCAACAUGAUUACUUUCUCAAAAAUCGAAGAGACUGCUCCCCGAAUCUCGAGAGCCAGACCCCCACCAUGAUUGCUUUCUCAAAAAUCGAAGAAGCAUCGUUCUCCGAAUCUCGAGAGCCAGAUACCACAUACCACUUUUUCAAAGUGCUCUGACAGAGUUAAAACAUGUGAAGCUGGCAGCUCCCACUACCGUGCUAUGACCAAGCAGGGUAAAGGAAUAGCAUUACUACUUGUUGUUAGGGAGACUCCUAUAUAUGUCGACCUCCAUCCCCAACGGACAGGCAGACCUGCAAAAAUGCUCAACCCUUCCUCAUAUCUGAGAGGGCACUCCCAAUGAAGCCUUUCGAAAUAUUCAGCUUUCUUUCCCCCCGAUAAUACCUCUGCAAACAAGCUAUACUAGAGCAAGAAUAUCUCAUAUCAUCAGGGUUAAAAGCAAGAGUAUCCCAUAUCAUGCUUUUUCCCUGUCUUUUCCUUUGGCCUUGUUUUUACCUGCAAGACAAGGAGAAAGAGAGCAAUCAGUCAGCACUUGAAAUCAAGCUCCCAGCCAGGAACUGACAGCCUGGAACCCCUUACCUGAUUACUUACCUGGCAUUGCUCUCGAGUACUCAUCUUCAACAUCUUAUGUUGCCAGGGAAGAUACCGCAUCUGCUUGAGGAACAGAUAGGGCAAGUGCGAAAGAUACAAGGAAGCAUGUGGAGACAAGCGUAACAGCACACGUGCCGAUCCAUCCAUUACUCUGUCAAAAGCAAAAGUAUCCCAUAUCAGCAGGGUCGAACGUACUCUAGAUUUGAUGGACUUGUUUUGACCCUCAAAUUCUUCAGUCGGCCUUAUACUCUGGAGGAAACCAGAAAACCCUCCAGCUCAGUUCAAGAAUAAGCCUGUGGAAAGUUACUUCUUCAAAAGCAAAAGUAUCCAAUAUCAUCUCUUCUCAUUUUUCUUCUCUUUAUCCUUCAUGCUGCUGCAAGAUGGGGAGAAGGUGAACAAUCAGCCGGAGCUCUGAUUGCUUACCUUGUCUGUCACCUCUUUCAGCAAAUCCCCUAGCUCGGCGACUUGGGGGACUCCUACUACAUGGUUUGUAUCGCGCUUGACCAAGCCUGAAACUACAAGUAAGCUUCAAGUGAAAUUGAUACAUUACCUUGUGCAUCUUCACCAGUUAAAGAUACCACCCCUGGAUGGAGGAAGAGUACUUCCAGAGAAGCUGCCACAUCUACCUAUGAGACAGAUAAGGCAAGUCGAUACCACACUCCGAUACUUAGAAGUUUCGUGAUUACGAGAUCAUUCUCCCACAAUAUUUCCUAAUGUCAUUUGUACUCUAAUGUCAUUUGUACUAAAUCAUUCACUUGUACUCACUAAAGGAGAGCUUGAACCUAUGUACUUGUGUAAACCCUUCACAAUUAAUGAGAACUCUUCUAUUCCGUGGACGUAGCCAAUCUGGGUGUGAACCACGUACAUCUUGUGUUUGCUUUCCUAUCUCUAUCCAUUUAUAUACUACUUAUCCACACUAAUGACCGGAGCAAUUUAGCGAAGAUCACAAAAAGCGACCGUUUUCGCUACCUAGGAUCUAUCUUACAAGAGAACGGAGAAUUAGAUGGAGAUCUCAACCAUAGAAUACGAGCUGGAUGGAUGAAGUGUAAGAGUGCAUCCAGCAUGUUGUGUGACCGUCGUAGGCCACUGAAGCUCAAGGGAAAAUUUUAUAAGACGGCAAUAAGGCCAGCGAUGUUGUAUGGCAUAGAAUGUCGGGCGGUGAAACAUCAACACGUACACAAAAUGGGUGUAGCAGAGAUGAGGAUGCUUCGUGGGAUGUGUGGGCACACGAGAAAGGAUAAGAUUGAGAAUGAGGAUAUCCGAGGUAAAGUAGGAGUAGCCGAAAUUGAAGGAAAGAUGAGAGAAAAUCGGUUCCGGUGAUUUGGACAUGUGCAAAGAAGGCCGACUGACGCUCCGGUUCGAAGAUGUGACUACGGGACAGAGGUUCAGGGCCGAAGGGGUAGAGGAAGACCUAGGAAAACUUUGGAAGAGACUCUAAGAAAAGGCUUAGAGUACUUGGAUCUAACGGAGGACAUGACAUAAAACCGAGCGCAAUGGCGUUCUAGGAUUCAUAUAGCCGACCCCACUUAGUGGGAAAAGGCUUUGUUGUUGUUGUUGUUGUAUUGCAGACUCAUCACAUUAUUGCAGCUAUUAAUUGUUGGAACAUUUACUUUGAUUAUAUUGUCUUAGUGAAUGCUAAUACUCUGAUUCUUGAUAUGCUAGUGAUAUGCUUGAUAGCUGUGAUUGAUUCUUUAGCAAGGAUGUUUACAUAAAUACUUUCAUUAGAUUGUGCUGUGAAUGCUAAUACUCUGGUUGUUGGUCAACUCUGCUUUCUAGUUGUUGGUUUUGACAUCUGCUUUCUGAUUUGUAGUCAUCUGUUUUCUACUUUAUGGUUCAAAAGAUGGAAGAAAAUUUGGUGGUCUUUGUGUUAGGUAUAGGAUUAAAAAGAAUUUGGAAGUGAGAUGCUUAAUGGCAUUUGUGCUGCAUUAUCAACCUUAGUGUUGUUUAUUAGGUUGGUGAAAGUAAUAGUACAAAUAAUAUUGAACAUAGCAGUAACCUGUUUCCGUUCCCUUUUGAUAGUUGCUUAUACCAAGGUUAGGGAUAUAUGGAAUCAACUCAGGAGUUGUUUGAGGGGUUGCCUGCAAAAGAUAUGGGUGUCAUAUUUUCUUAAGUAAAAUUAGAAUGUAACUAUAUGCACUCUGUGGAAUAACUGCCGAAGACGAAAUUUAGUCUGUUUCUGGCAUCAAUGGUUACUGCAGAAUCAUUUUUCGUGCAUCAACUAGUUUGAGCAAUUCUUGAAAGAACCGAACAUUCAAGCAUUAAUAUGGCAGCGCCUGCCACCAAUUAAACUUUGUGUUUUCAAUAGAAGCACUGUGGCAAACUUAUUUCCCAGUUAAGUAUGGCAGUUGCCUUAUUUUCCUUUUACCCAUCUCCUUUGGCUUUCCUCUUGGCAGUCAUAUGAAAGCUUUUGAUAUCAAUCCAAACAACGAAUGGAUAAGUGUAAGCAAGCACUCACAGACUAGACUUAGCUUGCCUUCAUACCUUAUUUUACUUUUCCCUUUGCGUCUGUAGUUCUGUUUCCUUUUGAUACUGCUCGCAACAUAUUAUGUUUCAAAUGGCCAUCUCCACAGAUAUGUAUCCUUUUCUAAUUUUUUUCUGCAAUCGAAUAAUCUGAUACGGUGAUUGGUAUAUUUCGUAUGAGGGAGUGAUAGAUUUAUAACCAUUUUAACUUUUGAUUCAAACUUGUAUUCCUCUAUUUAAUACAAAUUCUAGAGAAUAUUGAAACAAUGAAAUUUGGAAUUCCCGUCAUUUUGUAAUUUAUAUGUAUCCAACAUCCAAACGAUGAAAUUCAUUUAACGGGGAAUUUAAUUACUGCCAAUUGUAAUUCCCGUCAUUUAAAAUUCUGUGAUAAUUUAGAAAUUCUCCAUCCAAACAUAGUAUAACUGAGAUUGUAGCAUAGCUUGUAAUUUCUGCAAUAUAAAUAAUGACAAAAAGGAUUAAAUUCUUGAGAAGCACUUGAAAAAAAACAAAAAAAAUUAGUGAAUAAAAGUCAUUAGCAACCCCCAUGGUUGUUGUUAAGAUACAUCUAUUUACAGAUAUAAACUUUAUCUCACCUCAAAGAGAACGCAAACAACCACACUCAAUCGCCAGAUGAAAAGAAAUUGAACAAAUUAGGAUUCGGUUGGUAAUAAAUUGAAAUGGGUUGAAUAUUAUAACAAAAUGAUUAAAGAAAACACAUAAUUUAUGUCUUUUGAGGGAAAUCAAAUUACCUAACUGAAAUUUGUUGGAAAUCAAAGGCUUUAACCUCGUAUUGGAAAUCAAAGCAGAAAUAUGUAAAAGAGUGGUGACAUACCUGUGGAACUCUUGAGCAUGGAGAGGCUCUGGUUUCUUGCAAAACAACGGAAAAUGAAAUAAGAAACCCGCCAGAAAACUCGACAAUAGAUUGGUUAAAAAACACUUUAAAAUACGCUUUGUAACACUUGGUGAUGAUAAACACUAUUUGUUUCCAGAUGAAAUUAAGCAUCCAAAAAAUAAAUAAAUACCAAAUCAACUUUAUAUAAAAGUUUAUAUUACCCGCCCCAAAUCAACUGGAGAACUCAUAAUAGAAUUUCUACCUUCGAAUUUAUCAUAACCUUUUCCAUCUCAGAACAUUCAAAAUUUUCAACAGAACAUGGAUUCUAUAAUGUUGGUUAAGAUUAUCUACACUACACACAUGCAAAUUAAGGCAAAUACAUAGCUAAUUACGGAACAAAAAAACCAAAACUUGUGUUUAACAUGCAUAACAUAAUUUAACGUACCAAUAAUGAAUUACAUGCCUGGCAUGGUUGGGGAGUCUGGGACAGCGACAAAAUAGUUGCCCCAGCUGCAAUCCAAUUCAUAUGCAUCUCCUCAAGGAUAACUCAUAUGUAAGAGAUGGUGUUCGUGCCCAAACGCGCAUACCUUUAAAAGCAAAGAUAUGUAUGCAGGUAUAAAUAAAUGACAAAACACCACCAACCAGCCAGAAAACGAACAAAAGUAUAAAAUGGAAGUGCAAAAUCAAGCAAACAUUCAAACCAUUAUGCAAUAUUGCCAGAAAUAACUAAAAAUAUUCAUUCAAGUUCAAACUUUUCCACAGUAAAAUACACAUGCAAAAGGUCAAGAGUCGGAGACAGUGGGAGGGAUGGAAGAGAAAGAAGUGAUCUAAGAGAUGAGAAGCGAGAAAAGCAGAGGGGCUUCCCCGAUCAGAAUUUAUCCCAAUCAACAAACAAAACCCAGAUUUCAAGAAUUAAAAUCAUAAAAAAUUCCAACAAAUAAAAGAGAACCCAGGAACCAAACCCAUCAAUCUUUCCUAAAAUUGAAGAACUCACCAGGAAACCCAUGGUUUUUCUGGGUUUCAAAAUUUUCUUCGAAUCCGAACGGGAUUCAGAUGCGAGAGGGAAGGCUAAGUUUUGAGAUGUUUUCGUUUUUGAGAUAGGGAAGGUGAGCCAUUCACAAUACUCUAUGAUUUCGAUUUGAGGUUGAAGAUUGGAACGAUCUGGAUGAAUUUUGGUUUCGGGAUUGUAGGGUUGAUUUGGAUGAACACAGGUUUUUGUUUCAAUUUAAGGGAAAAUGGAGGGAUUCAUCUGGGAACAAAUGCAAAAAGCUUUGUCCUGGAAACAAAUGGAAAAGCCGCGAUGACCAACACGUGCACAUCAGGGGCAAAUUAGUAAAAUUACUGUGAAACCCAGGGAAAUAGGUUGAAGAUGGUAACAGCUGGAGUACAAAUCCAUUUUUGUUGUCAUUGAAUGAGCGGAAAAUGGGAAUAUAAACGAAUAGUUUCCAUGACUUACUCUGGGGGAAGAUCAACAUCUGUAGUACUUUCACUAAGAACACGCUCCACCUCCUGAAUAUUUUGUCUCAACUCACGAGACAACUUGUCCUGUGAUGGAAGUUUCCCGAUACUAGGAAAAUAUGCUCGAGCCACAAAUAGUUGAUCCUUCAAUCUCUUCACCAUAAUAUCCUUCAUGUCUUCUCUAUGUUGUUCGUGCCAAAGGCAGUAGCUCCCAAACUUCAACUCGCAUGAUUUUCCACUUUGAUCCACACCACCUUUCGCAUAAUCAAUGACUUGAGCUGAGUCACAAGCUUUAGAUUUCUGCCACAAAGAUCCAAAUUAAACAGAGCAGAAGGCAAUAGCUAUACAAGAACAGAAUCUGUUACCAUGUUAAUCAGAUUCCAAGGAAAAAAGAUGGCCGAUGCAUGCAUACAUUUUCAACGGGAAGUGAGUGCGGACCAUCAUGAGGUGGAGUUGAAACUCCUGCAGUUACUGAAAACAAAAUUCAAGUUAGAAUCUAUUACGUGGCAAGUAAAAAGGAUAGACAAACCUUAGAAGGCAUUGAACAUUAACAGGCCUUUUGAUUGUUCAUUGCUGUGGACGACACUGGCUUAUUCGUUGUUGAGAACGACACUGGCUUGUUCAUUGUUGUGAACAACACUGGCUUGUUCAUUGUUGUGAAUGACACUGGCUUGUUCAUUGUUGCAAACGGCACUGAUAUUUUUGGUUUCAUUUUCAGCUUUAUGUGAAAUAGCUUCAAGUGAAAUAUUGUUUAGUAUAUCCUGGCACAAAACAAAUAAAGGUAGAGAAAUCAAUCGGGUCAUUGAAGACUUGAGAUGCCUGAAUCACAUCACUCAAACUAUUGACCGUGUUUGUAGACCAAAUGAAUAAAAUAUUGCUGCAAUGGUUCCUAUAGGCCUUAAAUGCCAAACACGAGAGUCAAAAAAUUAAUUCUCGUAUCAUGGAUUAGUGAAUGGCUGCCUUAACCCAAACCACAAGAACCUGGAUAGGCAGGUGUUCCCAAGAUACAAAUUCUGUUAAUUAGGCAGCAAUUAUGAAAGACUGGGAAGACCCGCGAAAUAAAAAGAACCACAGAUGGAGAUACUAGUAUGGUAAAUUAUAAAGAUAUUUCUUCACUGUGGAUCUUUAAUUUUCUCAUCUCAAAGACAGAUUAAAUGCCAAGACUUACAGAAAAAAAUUUGUAUGUGCCCAUAAUUAGUUUUCAGAUUCUCCGAAGGUACACAUAUCCUACAGUUAGAAACAUGGAAUAUAGGGCCACGGAUUUCCCCAUCAAGUACAAUUCACAUAAACCAAUCAAAAGCUUAUGAUCUUUGGUAACUGAACAAAAUAGUUGUACUUGUCCUAAUUCAAAAGGAAGUGUCUAUUGGUUACUAUAGUGUUUAUUCCUCAAGCUCCUGAACUAAAAAAUCUAAAACACAUCCUGAAGAACUCUUAGAUGUGUUAGAAUAAUUCAAAGCCCACUGGCACAUUAAUCCAGUUAUUGGAUCUAGCCAACGCCUAAACAUAGAGAAAGAAAAAUCAAAACCUGCUAAUUGCAUGUGACUCGUAAAUUUGUUGUUAUGAAUUAAAAUGUAGAAGUACUCCAAUGUUUCAAAGCUUAUUUUCUAUUAUUGCUGUAUUUUCCCAUAGUUUUAACACUUUUUAGAGGACCACACCAACACUUGAAAGUUCUUAGAUGACCCGGGUGGAUGAGGAAGUUGAUGAAUACCGUAUGUAAAUUCUUUCCGUCCCCUUACACAUUAAUAGUUAAGAUUUUCCAGAAUCACAACUCUUAAAUAGAUAAACAAAUUCCUAGCAGAAUUUAUCUCAGCGAGACACAAUGUCUAAUUUUGAAGAAUUUUAACACGUAAACAUUGCCCUUAUCAAUAAAUAUCAUACAUUUCAGUAGCAUUUGUCUGGAAGCUAAGUGAUGAUUCAUAUACAAGCCUAUUUCCCUAGAACUAACUAAGCAUUGUAUCAAAUGAAAAGCAGCGGCACCAUCAAAAACCUAACACCAGAGCAGUAAGCAACGAACCUUUGAAAGGGUUGGUGUGAAAUUUUUCACGAAAUCAUCUACAUGCUUCGAACCACCCCCCUGCAAGAAACCAAAUAAUCAGUAAUUUAUCUUCACCAAUGUGUUUCUACCCGUGAAUUAGAUUUACAAAGCUGGCUAGUAUAGUUUACCACUGACAGAUUAGAAGCAUUUAUGAUGAUUUUUGUACCAUAUCCUCCAAUCUGACACCGAUUCGAAAAUUCGAAAAAGAAAAAUAAAACAGAUCAACACCAAGAAUGUAGGAUACAGAAAACAAUUCCAAAUUAACAAAACAAAGUUCUACUUCUUACUGAAGGCGAAUUUCGUUGUUCUGGUACAUAUCCUGCAUAUUAUGAACAAAUAGAACAAAUCAAGACUUGAGAGAGAUCCAAAACUACCAUUGCAAAAGCAAAAUCGGAUCUGAGAGAAACAGAUCUAGAGAGAGAGAGUGUAACCGGGAGGGUGAAAGCCAUUGUGAAGGCCGAGAAGGAAGAGAAGAGGAACGAGCAUGGAAAGAAAAACCAGACCCAACACAUCAAUCACCAACCCCUUCCACCGCCGCUUCCCCGAAUAACUACCGCCCGCAACCCCGCAACCCCGCCCUUCAUUAAGCACCAAAUCCACCACAAUUAACACUAACCCUUCUCCAUCUUCUUCUUCUUCUUCUUCUUCUCCGGUUGUUGUUGCAGUGUCAAUAUCAAAUGCGAAGUCCCACUCGCACUCGUACUCCCAAACGCCGUCGCAUCAACAAGUGAAACGCGGUGCUUCCUCUGUCGCAUGAAGCACCAUUUCUAAUGAUUUGAUUGGUUGUUUCUGAGCUCACUUCGAUUCCGAAUCAAAGGCUGGAUGGGAUAGGAUGGGAUUGGACUGGAUUGGACAGUCCGGCACGGAUUGGAUUUUCCUACUUUUAGCACAACAAACUGUGAUCUUGUUCUUCCUUUUUUUCUGAAAAGAAAAAGAGAAGAAAAGAAGAGCUUACUGUUGUCUUGGGCUUUUUGGUGGGAUUAAAUUUUUUAUCCCUUGCAGUUAAUAAUUAUUUAUUUUUUGUUUGUUAUUAAUUUUUGGGUCAGACCCAAUUCUUUAACGUUUGUGAGGAUGUCACUCGUCUUGGACCAUCUUUAAUAGUUGGGUUAAAAACCAAAUAUUUUAAUCCGAAAAAUAUAACUUUUAGUCUAAAAAUAAUUUUUUUGCUCCAACCAUUCUGAUCUAAAAUUUUAGUCCGGAAUUAUUAAAAAAUGAACUUAGACGAUUUUUUUUCUUAAAUUAAAUUUUAAAAAAAAUAUGUAAAUUAUCGUAAAUUAAUUUUAUGAACAUUUUAAUCUAAAAAAAUUUAAAUUCCGAUAAAUAUUGAAAAAUCACUAAAUUUUUCACAUAGCAAGCUUCAACUUUCACCAAUCUUUCAACCUUGGGCUAACUUUCAAUUCACCAACCGUUCAACACCAAACUUUCAACUUUUACCAACCGUUCAACUUUCAUCAAUCAUCCUCUAUAUAAACAUAUGUCCAAUAUUUGUUAAUCACACAACCUUUCAACCUUCAAUCAUCCUCUAUAUUCAUCAAUCUUUCAACUUUCAAAGAGUUUGUAUUUCCUAAAAAUCCGCAAUAUCUCAUCAAUGGGUGAUAGAAGAAGGCGUAGCAUGACAAUGCAGAUGACACAAUACCAAGCAAGGAUCGAGAUUGAGGAUGCAGAAUUGUUCAACGCCAAAGUUGAACUUGUUAACUCGUUUAUGCAAUCUGAGCACCAUGGUGAAUCUAGCCAUCGUGGUUCUGUCACGAAGCACCAUGGCGAAUACAACCGAUAAUACAUAAAUUACAUAAUUAAUAAACUACAUAAACUUAAUACAAACGACAAUUAAUAAACUUAAUUAAUAAAGCACAUAAUUCAUACACUACAUAAACUUCAUAAUUAUAUCCACCAUCUUCACUUGGUGAUGGACUUCGUUGAAAUCUUGGGAUAUAGGUUUCAGAGGAUUCAUCAUCUUGAAACAUAUUACUUGAGACAGACUUUUGCAAAAUUUCCUUUUACUUACCACGUAAGAACUUCUUCCUCUCUGAAGUGUAUUUGCUGAGGUCCUCCAUCAUGAAUUCAAUUUCAAACCUAUUUGCUCCCUAUCUGAGAUUUCCUUCAUUUGCAAACGCAUUCGGACCGUUUUUCUUGGCAAGCAUUAUGAGUUUCGUUCAAUUUUGCAAUUUCGGUACCAAAGUGUCCACUCAUCGAAUCUUUGGACUUCCCUUUUCUCUUUGCUUCCUUUUUCUUAUUUCUUCCUGGGGGCCUUGCAAAAGAAGGAGAUGGGGUCAUUUCAUCGACACAUUCAUCUCCAACAUUUGUCUGUGCAGCUUCACGUUGAAAUAAUCUUCCCCAUUGUUGGUCCGCAUCGGUUCCCCACCUCGGACAAUCCUUGAGGAUGUCCCAAGCAAGUUUCAACUUAAAAACUUGAUUUUUUGGUGGUACUCUUAUCUUGUAAAUUUCAAUUGCUUUGUCACCCUAUGCAAAAAAUACAUAAAAAUAAUUUGUUGCAAAAUAAUAUUAUGUACAUGACAAAUAAAAUAAUAAGAACAAAACUCAUAAUUUUUGUAGCACUCCUUCCACUAGCCAUGCCAACCAUGGCUCUCUUCAAGCUUCUCUUCCAUAAAGUGCAUGUUUUGUUAAUAGUCUUCCACCAAUCAUAAACACCACCAUCAUCCUGCCCGCCGCCAUUGUAGUUUUCUUGAAACUUUGCAAUGAUUUUAUCCCAUAAAACCUUCUUAUUUUGAUUUGUGCCAACUGCACCAUCUUCGUUAACAGAAACUCAUGACAAACAUAAAGCAACAUCUUCCUCACAGGUCCAAUUACGACAUCUAAUAUGCUCUCUUGCCAUGUUGAACAAUUUGGAAAUGGAAAGAAAUGGUAGAAAGAUAAAUUGGAAGAAUUGUAGGAGAAAAUUGAGUUUUGUGUGGAUGUGUUGAACAAAUACAUAGGUAUUUAUAGAGUUUUUGGGUGAAUUUUGAGUUAAAUAGUUUUUUUAAAUUAUUUUAGCCGUUGGAUUUAAAUUUGGGCUAUUAGAUCUUUUUUUUUACCGUUAGAUUUGAUUAUAUUCGAUCUCAGCCGUUGGAUUCAAUGUAUUUUAAAAUAACGUAUUUAAAAAAUUAAAUUUGAAUAUGGACCAUUGGAUCAACCAACAAUCCUUUAAACCAAGCCCUUGGAUUCAAAUUAUAGUCGUUGGGAUUUUUGGGUGGCCGACAAACGACUGACAGCGGGGCCCACCCCUAUCAGGAAAGGUUUGCAAGUGCAUCGCGUGGGGCGCGUUGGAGCGUGACCGGGCUGAGACUGGCCUAAUUGCCAAUGAGUUCAGUAGCACCAGGGGGAAUUUUGGGGGGUAUUUGGCCCAACUUUAACAUUUGGCAUUUAGCCCAAUAUUUUUAGCAUGGGUUGGAGAUUGUUUGGGGGGGGGGGGAAUUUGGGGGUAAUUUAGCAUUUAGCCCACCAUUAGAGAUGAUCUAACAUUUGUGAGGAUAUCACUCGUCACUGGACUCCUCUUCCUUUUUAUAAAGCCAAAAAUAGGAGCAAUAUCCCCUUUGUGUGUGUGUGUGUGUGUGUACAGACGCGUAGCGAUAUUAUUUUACUUUUGUGUUUCUAAAAAGAACAUAGGCUAUCUACAAUAAUGGAAGGCUAAACAUAGUGCUUAACUAUGUUUUAGCCCAUCAAAUUUUAAGACUAUUUUAGGGUUAAAUUUUUUAUUUACAACUAUGCAAGGCUAUAAUUGAUUUCUCUUGAUAUUAUAUUACUUUACAAACUUAGUCUACUUUGAGGCUACAUGUUGCAUUCGAUGUGGCCAAACUUAGUCUGAUUCUUUUAGCCUUAUUCUCUUUAGCCCUUUGAUUAGCUACUAAUUUUGUCAAUUUUAGAGCUUAAUGUUGCCUUAGCCCUUUGACUAGAGAUGACCUCGUAAAAUGAGUUCUUUGUCACCUUAGCGUUUUAGUCCAGUGUUAUGCUUAAGUUUCCCUACAUAUGACUCGUCAUAAUGAAAUGCCAAAUGAGGAUGAAUUUUUGUUCCCUACAAGUUGUUCUCGUGUAUUUGGUACGGGUAUAUCUGUUUACUACCCAAUAAACUAUAGAUUAUACACUUACACAUUAUUUAUUAUAAACUUUUUUAUUGUUUCAGUUCUAUUUAUGUUUGGUAGUUAACUAUGGUAUCUGAAUUUCAGAAAUGUCACCAAAUUACAAAAAUAGAGGCAGUUGCUUGCCCGAUGAUCUAUUAAUUUUCUCGAUUUGUUAAACUAGUAUUUGUCAUUUAUUUUUUUUAUUUUUGUCGAUAAUACAAACCUUUUAUUUUGGGUAAAAAAAAAAUAGUGUUCCUUUUUUUUUUUGUCAAAAGUGAAUAAUAUUAAAUACAAAUCAAAAUGUUACAUUAGACACCAGAGUAUUAAACAGCCACUCUGGCUCGAAAUCAUCCCAAGAAUGAACACCCCCCCCACACACACACGACAUAAAAUGCCACCAGAUGCACAGCCUCAUUACAGGCACGAGGAGUAUAAAUAAACUCAACAGAACAUAAUUGUUGCUUAAUAGCAUUAAUAUCCCACAAAAUACCUUCCAUGGUUGCCUCUGGUUGCAAAUUUCUAUGAAGCAUGUCAACAAGGACCUUUGAAUCGGUUUCCAAUUGAACAGAUCCAAAGCCCCUUUCCACACAAGCCAAUACAACCAACCUAAGUGCUUCUGCUUCUGCCAUGAAUCUCGAACCACACAAUACCUUCCCCACACCGCCUACACAUUUGAAAAUGCCCACAAAAUCCCUCGCUACCCACCUAUAUCCUCCCACAACAGAACGAUUACACCAAGCUCCAUCACAAUUAAUUUUUAUUGUUCCAAACAGCGGCUUUACUCACCCAUCAGAACUCACCUUUCUCCCUUCCUGCCCACAGACUAGGCACUACACCAGCUCUCCAUCACUUCCUACUAUCUCCUCCCAUUGUUGCCAAAGUAAAUGCAUUGCAACAUUGGGCUCUACCUCAAUCUUCUCAAACACCACACUAUUACGACACUUCCAUAUUCUCCAUAAACCACAAACCACCCAUCGCAAAAGCGCACAAACCUCUACCUUCUUACCAUACUUCACACACAACUAAUUCCAACACUCCAUAAAAUCAUCUCCGACCACCAUAGUAUCUAAUUGGACUGGUGAUCCAAACCAAAAAACACGAGCAAAUAGGCAUCUAAAAAAAAGAUGUACCUGUGUUUCCUCCUCACAUUCAUAGAAAGGACAACUAGUGUCCAAGUGGAUCCCCCACCGUUGCAAAUUGGUACGGACUGCAAGAAUAUUCCGACAUCCUCUCCAAACAAAAUGGCACAGCUUGGAAGGGACCUUCAAUCUCCAUAGAGCCUUCCAUACCGCAUCCUUGCUAUCGUCCCUACUGGAUUGCUUCACUCCUUUCCGUCCAAGUUCUCCAUUUUGAUUCAUCUCCUGCGAUACCAAAUACCUUGACUUCACUGAAUAUACCCCAUUUCGAGUAUAAUGCCAAAUGAUACUAUCAGAACACCUAAACUGGCUCAGCAACAUACUCAAAAUAAUAUGUGCUUCGUCUUCAUUAAAACACCUCUUAAUUACCUCCCAUUUCCAUGUACCUCCAAUGGACACCAUAUCGGCAACCAUCUUAGGCAUCUUCGUAUGUCUUGAAAUAGGCCGAAACGUCCUUGGUGUGGGCAACCAAGGAUCCUUCACAACCUGAAUACUUCUCCCAUCACCAACCCUCCAUCGUAUACCGGCCUUCAAUAUUUUCCGGGGUGUGCUAUCCACACACCCCAAAUUACUUCUCACACACCCUUGUUAAUUUCUAUCCGUUGAUCUUCUUCAAUUCAUCCGAUCCGACAACCGAAAAUUAGAAGGGUGUGUGAGAAGUAAAAUGGGGUGUGUGGAUAUCACACCCCUAUUUUCCUCCCCUGCAAAAUCCCCUUCCAUCACCAUGAGGUUCCCCAUCCCACACUACUACAAAUCCAUUUAUUAGUGUCGCUAUAAAAACUGCCAAGAAAUAUGUAUUACUGUCGGAUAUUAAGCAAAAUCCGACAGAAAAUGGAUGCAGUGGUGGAUAUAAUAAGCGACAGAAUUGAUAGCGUCAGGAAAUAAAUUUUCCGACAUAAAAUACUCUAAAACCGACAGAAAUUGUGUCGGAUAUAACUGACAGAAAAUACUAAACCGACAGAAAUUGUGUCGGCUAUAACCGACAGAACAUUUAUUAAUAAUGAAUAAAUAAAUAAAUUCUUGUCGGAUAAAACCAACAGAAAAUAUAUUAAUAAUAAAAAAAAUAUAAACAACUUUUUGAAUUAUUUCUUUCCCUUUCAGGUUGAGCCAGAGAGCGAGAGAGACAAAGUCGGAUAAAGAAGCCACCAUGUCCGAGUUGAGAAGAAUAUUGCUGCUAGUCACACUUCGGUGAAUGAUCGGUAGGUUGCAGUUGUGAUGCAUGUAUGACAAUGCAUGCGUUACGCCUUCGAUGAUAUGUAAUCUCUUGGUCCAAUCAAAGUCUGCAGCUUCAUCAUCAUUGCCCAGAGCACUAAACAAGCUUCCCCUUUCCUUGUAUUCAUACACCAAGAACAUACAACGCCUGUGCAAACAAAACCCGCCUCCACAAGAAUCUACAUGAGCUUGUGGUAGCAGUUGCCUCCAGCAAGGAGGAAGUCAUAAGGAACGCCGCGGCCGCACCUGAAGCGAAUGACUUGGCACUCUUCCAACCUCUCCACCCUCACUGAUUCUUCAAAUUUUCUCUCGCAAUCAUCCUGCAACAACCCAAAGCAUAAUUAACAUCAGAAUUAAUCUGAUUUACGAACGAAAGAAAGAAAUUAAGAACACCAGUAGGUACCUCAGCAGCGCUGACAGAGUUAGUGUCCUGAUUAGCAUCCUGAUCAGCGGGUGACGUGCCUCCAUUUCAUCUUGUUCUUGAUGGUGUUGUUCUUUGUCGCCGUCAUCAUGAUCUUCGACUUCCAUGACUUGUUGGAACCACAGGCUCAUCUCUCUUACCCAGUUCUUUAUCCUCGCAAGCCUCUGGAACCACACACAAUAAUCAAUUUUGGAAGCCAAUGUGGAGAAGACGACAGCGUCAAGGGGAUCGUAGUUGGGAUCGAUGACUUCGCGGUCUUAUUUUGGAAGCAAGGUUGUGUUCCUGGCUUCACGGCCCUAUUCGAGGAAGGGGAAGAAGAUGUGGAGAAGGAAAUGAGGAGAGGAGAAAAGGGGGAAGGAAGGGAGAAGGGAAGGGUUUUUAUUUUGGAAUUUUUUUAUUACUGUCGGUUAAAACCGACAGAAAUAUUUUAAAAAAAUAUAAAUCGAGAGAAAUUUUUAAUUAUUGUCGGUUAUAACCGGUAGAAACAAAAUGGCAUCCCCCCAAAAUCCCCUCCUAAAAUUUUAAAUUCCCCCCAAAAUUUUAAACUCCCCCCAAAACUCCCAAAAUUUUAAAUUCUCCCAAAAAUUUUAAACUCCCCCUAAAAAUUUGUUACGAUUUUAAAAAAUAAAAUAAUAAUUGUUUGAUUUAAUAGAUAAAUAAUAUGUAUUUAAAUAAAUAAAUAAUUUGGUCUAACAUUCAGAUAUUUGGUAAUAAAACAAAAGUUUUCGACGAAUUAUAAACGAAAAAUCACAAUUUAACGAUUAUUUUAGCUUUAAUUUUGAUGAUUUUUUAUUGCUACACUCCUCGACCCUAUAAUAAUGCAUUGAAUGAAUUCAAUAAUCAAUUUAAAAUAUUUACACUAGUGGAUACCCCAAAUCUUAUUUUAUACUUAAUGGAAGACUGGAAGUAUAAUGUUAACUCUAAGUGUUUGUUUAAUAUAUUGUUUUGCUGCGAUAUGCAUUCUACAAAACCUUUUUCAACGAUCCAACCGUCAAACUUAUUUGUAAACACUCCGAGAUUGAAUACGCAAAAAAUCGUAAAAAACAAACAUUCAGAGAUUAUGUAACGGAACAAACGUUUUCGACGGUUAUAAAUGAAAAAUCACAAUUUAACGGUUAUUUUAGCUCUGAUUUUGAUGAUUUUUUACAGCUACACUCCUCGACCCUAUAAGAAUAAAUUGAAUGAAUUCGAUCUUCAAUUUAAAAUAUUUACACUAUUUAUACUUAAUGGAAGACUGGAAGUAUAAUAUUAACUAUAAGUGUUUGUUUAAUCUACUGUUUUGACACAAUAUCCAUUCUACGAAACUUUUUUCAACGAUCCAACCGUCAAAAUUAUUUGUAAACACUCCGAGAUUGCAUACACAAAAAAUCGUAAAAAACAAACAAUCAGAUAUUAUGUAACGAAACAAACGUUUUCGACAGUUAUAAACAAAAAAUCACAAUUUAACGGUUAUUUUAGCUCUGAUUUUGAUGAUUUUUUACAGCUACACUCCUCAACCCUAUAAGAAUGAAUUGAAUGAAUUCGAUCUUCAAUUUAAAAUAUUUACACUAUUUAUACUUAAUGGAAGACUGAUAGUAUAAUAUUAACUCUAAGUGUUUGUUUAAUCUACUGUUUUGACGCGAUAUGUAUUCUACGAAACUUUUUUCAACGAUCCAACCGUCAAACUUAUUUGUAAACACUCCGAGAUUUCAUACGCAGAAAAUCAUAAAAAACAAACAUUCAGAGAUUACGUAACGGAACAAACGUUUUCGACGGUUAUAAACGAAAAAUCACAAUUUAACGGUUAUUUUAGCUUUGAUUUUGAUGAUUUUUUACAGCUACACUCCUCGACCCUAUAAGAAUGAAUUGAAUGAAUUCGAUCUUCAAUUUAAAUUAUUUACACUAUUUAUACUUAAUGGAAGACUGGAAGUAUAAUAUUAACUCUAAGUGUUUGUUUAAUCUAUUGCUUUGACGCGAUAUGCAUUCUACGAAAUAUUUUUCAACGAUCCAACCGUCAAACUUAUUUGUAAAUACUCUGAGAUUGCAUACGCAAAAAAUCGUAAAAAAACAAACAUUCAGAGAUUACGUAACAGAACAAAAGUUUUCGACGGUUAUAAACGAAAAAUCACAAUUUAACGGUUUAUUUUAGCUCCAAUUUUAAUGAUUUUUUCACAGUUACACUCAUCGACCCUAUAAGAAUGCAAUGAAUAAAUUUGAUCUUCAAUUUAAAAUAUUUAUACUAGUGGAUACCACAAAAUCUUAUUUUAUAUUUAAUGGAAUUAUAACAUUAACUCUUAAAUUUUUAUCUAAUCUAUCAUUUUGACGCGAUACACAUUAUACAAAACUUUUUUCAAUGAUCUAACCGUCAAACUUGUUUAUACACACUCCGAGAUCGCAUACCUAAAAAAUCACAAAAACAAACAUUCAAAGAUUAGGUAACAGAAUAAAAGUUUUCAACGGUUAUAAACUAAAAAUCACAAUUUAACAGUUAUUUUAGCUUCACUUUUGAUGAUUUUUUACAGCAACACUCCUCGACCCUAUAAGAAUGCAUUGAACAAAAUCGAUCUUCAAUUUAAAAUAUUUACAGUAGUGGAUAUCACAAAAUCUUAUUUUAUACUUAAUGGAAGUAUAAUAUUAACUCUAAGUGUUUGUUUAAUCUACUGUUUUGACGCGAUAUGCAUUCUACAAAACUUUUUUCAACGAUCCAACCGUCAAACUUAUUUGUAAACACUCUGAGAUUGCAUAUGCAAAAAAUCCUAAAAAACAAACAUUAAGAGAUUACGUAACGGAACAAAAGUUUUCGAUGGUUAUAAACGAAAAAUCACAAUUUAACGGUUAUUUUAGCUUUGAUUUUGAUGAUUAUUUUAGCUCUGAUUUUGAUGAUUUUUUACAAUUUAACGGUUCAAUUAUGAAGCAAAAGAAUUGAAAAACUUACAAAUUGAGGGGAAGAGAAGAGAAAGGUUGAAAAUGAAGAGAAAACGAGUAAAAUGAAGAUGAGGAAGAAAACGAAAUCUGAAAUAACAACAAAUUGAAAAGUGUUUAGUGUAAAAUGAAUUUAUGUCGGUUAUAACUGACACAAUACUAAAAUAUAACCGCCAGAAUACUAAAAUAAUAAAAUAAUCAAUUUCUGUCGGUUAUAACCGCCACCAGUAACUUAAAAACCGCCAGAAUAUGUAAAAAAUAUAUAUUUUUUUAAAUUCAAAAAUACUGUCGGUUAUAACCGACAGUAUUUUUAUAAUAUCCGCCAGUAAUUAUCCGCCAGGAAAUUAUGUCGAAUAUAACCGACAAUAUUUUUUUAAUAUCCGUCACUAAUUAAAUAAAGUGUCGGAUAUAAUUUAUCCGACAAUAUUUUUCUAAAUCCGCCACCAUCAUCCGCCACCUAAAGCUAAUAUUGUAGUAGUGUCACCAAAGCUUCAAGAAAUGACGAAUUAGGGUAAUAUUUGGCUUGGAGUACUUUAGUCAAUAGCGAAUCCGGAUUGCAUAUAAGAUGCCACCCCACCUUAGCCAACAUUGCUAAAUUAAAUUCAACAAUCUCCUUAAAUCCGAGACCUCCAGAAGCCUUCAUUUUUGCAACUUUAUGCUAAGCAAUCCAAUGGACACCCUUUUUCGUCUUCUGAUCCCUCCACCAAAAUCGUGCUAUAAUUUGCUCAAUCUCCUUUGCCAACUGGAUAGUGUUCCUUUAUUUGGAUGAUAAAAUAAGUCUUUAUCAUUACCUACGUUUUUAUCAGAUUUUGCCUUAUAUUUGAAAUCGAACAAUAGGGGUAAAAGUUAAUUUUAGAGAGAAAAGGAUGGAAGGAUUGCUAGUAGAUAAUUAAAUACAGGUUAGAAUCGGGUAAUUAAGGCAUGGAAAGAUUGUUGGGCUCAUGUGGGAGUGCUUCCUUGCAGGAAACGCUUCAAGUAUUUUUCUAAAAUUCACUUGUAUUUUUAUUAAAGAUGAUUUCAAAAGCAUUUUCACUGAAAAUGCUUUCGACUAUUUUAAAAGAUUCCAAACAAACGCUUAAUUUUUGAUGUAUGCUUGCUCAUAUUUUCAUUUUUUUUUGUGAAAAUGUGAUUAUUGAGUAACACUCACCCACUUUUGCGACCAUUGAGUUUUACACCAUUUGUAAGCAGUUUCAUCAUUUAUUAUUUUACAUAAGUAUUUUUAUUGAAUAUUUAAUCUUGUGAAGCAAAUGGUCCUUUACUACAGCGUGGAAAUGUGUUGAAUCCUUGCAUAACGGCGUGAGUUUAAAUUCCGUUGGUGGCUAAUCUAACAAAAUUUAUCGUUUGACAAAAAAAAAAAACGUAAAAAUCAACCAAAAAUAUUUGUGACCACGAUCAAAUCCGUUUUGACAGUCGGAACAUCUCUGAAAUGUCCUACAUAAAUUUUUAAUCGCAAAUCCGGUUACAAAUCGUGAGUGUUAGCUCACCCUUCAGUAAAAAUUCAACUGUUGAGUUUUCAAACAAUCUUUUUCCUGGAAGCAAAGUAGUUGCGGCCGUCCAACAACUAAACUAAUUCAACCGUUUUGGUGUAUUUCGGGAAAAGAAGCCAAGUCAUAUAGAUAUAGCUACCAAAUUCAGAAGUUGAUCAAAAGUGAAGAAAAAAAUGUUGGCCGCAUAAAAGAGCCUUAUCUUUGAAAGACAUGUCUGAAGAUUCAACGACGCCGGAAAACUUCACGUUCCUUAGGGCUGCGGUUGCAGCGUUCAGGUUGGGAUUCAUCGAUGCGGGAUACAGUGGAGACUGGUCGAGGAUUGGAGCCAUCUCAAAAGAGAGUGAGGAGUUGCUCAAGGUUGCUGCAUUUCUAGUUGUUCCCUUAUGUUUGUUUCUCAUUUUUUUCUUUCUCCAAAGAAGUUGAGGAUUGAAUUUUUAAGAUGGGAUUGUGUAUUUGUGUAUAGUUAGAAGUGUGGAAUGAAAUGAUUCUCUGAAUUUCAAUUCUGCUAAAAUUGCUUUUUUUUGGAACAGCGUUGAAAUUUUAUUAAAUUCAAGUGUUUUUUGAAAAAUAGUUUGAAGUGUUUCUUAUCAUAAGUACUUUUUAAGUUUUUCUACCUCGAAGAGAGACUUUUUUUAUAGGGAGCAAUUCUGCUAAUAAGGCUACAAGUGUAAACAUGUCGAAAUUUCUAUUAUAUAUUCAAAUGUUUUAUUUAAGUGCUUUCUAAAAAAGCACUCAGGUGCUGCUUCUCCUCGAAGAAAUGUUAGAAAGCACGUUUAAAGAAGUCUUGCAUCAAAUCGAAAAGAUCUAAGACACAACGUAAAAAUAUUACAUGCCUAUUUGUCAGUUGAAAUCAAGAACGCUACGUAUUCUUUUGCUACAUUUUUGUAUAUAUGGAUACAGAAAAUUACAAUUACGAAAGAAGAAAUUAAUUGACACAAAACUUCGUUGCACUUCAUAAUUACUACUUGGGUUUGAUUUUCGCUGAAACAGCGUAUCCACCGCUGUAAUCAAAGGAGCCGGUGCUGUCAUUGAAUUCCUUUUUCGGCAAGCCAUCGUUGUAGGGAUGUUUCGGAGCACCUUUUGAUGCUGCAAACUCUGUGGCUGAUGAAGAUGCUGAUGUUGAGUUUGUGUUCAUCCCACCGUUCUGCAGAAUGGUUUCGAUAGCCUUCACAACUUCACUCAUCGUGGGACGAUCUGCAGCUGAUUCUUCGACGCAUUGCAUGGCUAGCUCCAAGAACCUCCCAAACCCAAUAAGAGUUCCUGAGUUUCGAAUGUUUCGAUCUAUUAACUCCCUCAAACCGUAAUGCUCUUCGUCAUUCUUGUCCAUCACCAACUGUACCUCGCGGACAAUGUAUUUUCCCUUCUCGAUUGGCUGCCUAGCAGUUAUCAGUUCAAGCAUAACGACUCCAAAGCUGUAUACAUCGCUCUUCUCGGUCAAUUGUUGAGUCAUGUAGUACUCAGGAUCCAGAUAGCCCUGAAAGUGUAGACAGUAACUAACAACACAAGAAAUGUUGAAACUGGAAAACACGAUUUUCCUGCUUAGUGCUUACCCUAGCAGAUCACAUUUUAGGUAGUUAUAAAUGAUAACAUUCGAAAUGCUUAAUUGUAAACUUACCAUUGUUCCUUUGACCUGAGUCGAUACAUGUCCUUUUCCACUGUCAUUGACCAGCUUCGACAGGCCAAAAUCUGCAACCUUCGCCGUUAAAUGUUCAUCUAAUAGAAUAUUGGUGGACUUCACAUCUCUGUGAAUUAUAGGAGGAUUUGCAAGCUCAUGUAGGUAAGCCAGUCCUCUUGCCGAGCCAAGAGUGAUUUGGAGUCGCCUCUUCCAAUCGAGAUGAAUACCAGAUCUCCCUGCAACUCGUAUUAAAACAAAUCUUAUCAUUACAUGUUAAAUCAAUGGUACUAAAUGAAGCACAUAAAACUAAAAAUAUGAAAUAGCGAAAAGUAAAAUCUAAAACUGACCUGACAAGCUUUCCCUAAGUGUUCCAUUAGGCAUAUACUCGUAAACCAGCAUCUGCUCUCCUUGUUCGAAACAGAAUCCCAAAAGACCAACAACAUUUUUGUGAUGAACGCGAGAGAGCAACUCAAUUUCAGUCGUGAACUCGACACCUCCCUGCAUUGAUCCUUGCUGAGCUCUUUUGAUUGCUAUCACUUGUCCAUCAGAAAGCAUGCCCCUGUAAACCUAUGGAUAGCCAACCGAAAAGUACAGAAAAAAAAUAUUUUAGCUUCAAGCACAAUUUCAUAGAUGUUACUGAAUGAGUUGUAUAUAUACCUUCCCGUAGCCGCCAGAUCCUAUCUCAUUACUGUCAGAGAAAUUAUUGGUGCACUUCUUAAGCUCAUCAUACGAAAACCAUCUUGCUCCCUUUAACUGUGGUGCACCGCCACUAUCAUUUCCGCUUGGCACCCAAGAAGCUGGAAGAUAGAGGAGAGUAGUGAAUACAAGCUGAACAGUAUCUAGUAUUAGUGACAGAAUUUCAGUCUAGAAAUUAUCCACAACAGGAAUGAUUUCUUACCGAAAGGUCUGCUUAAACCAAUGGCUCUUUCCGCACGUUUCCUUUGCCUAAUGGCGUAAAUUCCUACUACCACGAGGCCCACAACAAGAACGAGACAACUAACUGAUAUCCCAACAAUAACACCAGUGCUCAUAAAGCUUUUAUGUGUGUCUGAAACAAUUCGGGUUUUUUACUGUCAUUUUAAUUGAUCUUCUAAUGCAGGGAAGGUGUAUAUGAACACUGUGAUUUAAAAUUACCUGGGAAAUUAUAUUGAGCUGGAAUAAAAACGAAGGGUCCAAACCCAUCUGGCGGCAUGUUAGGCUGACUGCUCAUAACAAAACCAAUCCUGCUAAUCUCAGACCUAUUAAAAUAUGUUCCAGUGGGUGGAAAGAGAGCCACAUGUACUUUAAGAUGGUCAUUGUUGUCGAAUAAAGGGUUAUCAAGUGACACUGAACCGGGAGUGAGGUGAAGUUUCACCCAUUGUUCUAGGGAUUGAAACAGAGUCCCAUUUGUCAAAUCCCUGAAAGUGGGCGCUCGGAAAUCCAGUGUUCCUUCAAAAGGAUAUCCACAUUGACAACUCUGAGGGCUUGGCUGCUGACCCCCGGGGCAUGUAAUGGAUGGACAAUCCGUUCUAGUAGCAUACGUUUUUGUAUUUGAUUGUAGAGGCUGACAGUACUGACUCGAGCUAGAUUCAUUGCAGAAUGGGUUCCCAACAAGUCUGCAAUAUGUAAAAGUCACAACUAAGAAUGAUUGUCCCAGUAAAAUACAGAACAUCAUAGAAAAUUAAGAUCGAGGCCCGUGAACUGUCUUACAUUAAUGUAUGUUUGUACUCAUAACCCGGUGUUAUUUUCUGAAUCUUAUUGUUCUGCAGAUCAACAAGCCUCAGUUGCGGACUGAUUGUAUCACCCAUGUUAAAUGUCUCGUUAAACGCAUUGUUUUUCAUUUUCCUGUCGAGUCACAGAAAAGAUGAAUAGCCAGUUUACUGAAAUUGCAAGAUGUAAUGAAUUAUUCCAUUAUUGUCCUUAUACUUACACUUGCUGCAAUGACGGUAUGCUGAACAUCUUCUCUGGCACAGUCCCUUGAAGAGCUACAUCUUCUAAAACGCUGGCAUCAUAACAGUAAAUAAUUUCAAAAUGAUAUCACAAUAAAUUUUUCACUGUCCUUUUCCAAGGCUCAUCAAUAUACCAAGACAUUUUCAUGUAACCUCCACCAGACUUACAUAGUGGUGAGCGAUGGCAAGGUUGAGAACCAACCCGGAGCUUCUGACGGAUCAAACGAGUUGUAACUAAGGUCUCUGAAGUAAAAUCAUUAGGAUUUAUCAGUACAACACAAGAACAACCCGGAAAACUGAAACUGCAAAUGACAGCUCCAUGCCAUGUUCUCACACAUAAUGGAGGGCAUUCAAUCCAGUUAGGUCGGGUAAAGGGCCGUCCAAAUUGUUGUGCGCGAUAUUUCUGGAAGAGAAUAUAAAAACCGUGUAAAAGUUGAUUAACCAUCACUAAGAUUACGGUAAAAGCACACCAAAGUAUUUUCUUUGAGAGUUUGUACUCACAAUUUACUGAGAUUUUUUAGGUUGGAGAUAUUUGAGGAGACUGGUCCCGUCAGAGCAUUCCUAUCAAGCCGCCUGUUGCAGAAAAGAACGGUUUUAGUCUAAUAAGUGUCAAGAAGCAGAUACGCUUAAAUGUGGAAGAAAAAGAAAAAUCAAGAUGGCUUUUUACUCACAGAAUGUCGAGAGUCUGAACGGAAAAUAUUGUUGAUGGAAUAGUCCCAGUGAAUCCAUUUCCAUCAAACAAUCUGCAAAUAAAGAAUGACAAGCAGUUUAAGUAUAGAACAUAAACUGAUAGAUAGGAUCCGGACAAAUUAGAAACUGAUCGUUUGGAUCAACUUACACAUGGAUCAGUGUCUUCUUGGAGCUGAAAAGUCUGGGUGGAAUGGUACCUGAAAGCUGGUUCUGGUUCAAAUGGCUGCAAAUUCAUAUAAUCUGUUUUAAGUUUACGCAAUAAGCAGUGGCAUAAUCCUUACUAGAAUUUCAUUUUCUUUCCCGAAUGGAGAGAGUUUCAAAACGGAAAAUACUCACAAAUGUUUAGCGUUAAACAGUUGGUCUAAGCCGGGGGUAGUGCCGCUCGAAACUGGGAGAGGUCCAGUCAACUGAUUGUCUGCCAGGUCCAGCCAAUAGAGGUUGGAGAGAUUACCCAAAGAAGCAGGUAUACUACCGGUGAAGUUAUUCGUAUUCAAAGCCCUGAGAAAAACCAAAGUUUUAUAAACUUGGGAAAAGAAAAACAUCAUAUUGGUUUGCACUGACAGUAUGAAUAAUUAGUCCAAUUCUUACAAGAAGGUUAGCUUUCCAAGUUUCCCCAAUUCACUUGGAAUAAUUCCACUGAAGCUGCAACCAGCUAGGAUCCUAAAAGAUUGAAACAGUCUCGUAUAAUUAUCCGAUAUAAAAACUCAUGUUCCAUAAAGUUCAAAAGGUGCAGACGUGAAAAAUUGCUUGGUAAAUUGUUCUUACAGGGUGUUUAGAUUGCUCAGUUCCCCUAAUCGUGGAGAGAGAGAACCGGUGAGGCCUUUGUUGAAUGAAAGAUCCCUGCAAUGUUAUCGUUUCAGCUUCGUCACAAAAAGAAUUCCAUCCCGACUCUCAUGAAAUGGUAGAACUCUCUUAGUUAUAGGGAUGGAAACGGUUCAGUUUGGGGACGGAAAUGCUAUAUCCAUCUCCAUAACUACGAAAAUUAAUCAUAUUCAUAACUGCAAAUUAACUAUCGGGAUUAUCCAUAACCAUAUUCACCGGUUAACGGAUUUUCAAUCGAUUAUCGGUUAUAUCCAUCUUCAUCAAAAAAUUAAAAAAAAAAUUAUAUUCAUCCAAUUGAUGCAUUAUAAAUUUUAGUAGAUACUAAUUCCAUAAUUAAAUAGCAACAUCCAAGUAUGUUGAUGCACAAAAUCAAUGAGGACUUUGGUACAACAGAAAGUGUUAAGUUUGUGACAUUCCCUAGAUUGUUCCGGUCACUAGUGUAGAUAAGUAUGUAAAUGGAUAGAGACAAGGAAGCAAACACAAGAUGUACGUGAUUCACCCAGAUUGGCUACGUCUACGGAGUAGAGGAGUUCCCAUUAAUUAUGAUGGGUUUACACAAGUACAUAGGUUCAAGCUCUCCUUUAGUGAGUAUUAGUGAAUGAUUUAGUACAAAUGACAUUAGGCAAUAUUGUGGGAGAAUGAUCUCCUUUUAUAGAAGAGAGUUUAUAGCUUUGUUCUGACAUUGACAUGUAUCGUGUUGUGAUUGGCUUUCGAUGUUGACACAUGUCGCGCUAUGAUUGGAUUCUGAUGUCAACACGUGUCGCACUGUGAUUGGCCUCCUGGUUGGAGGGAAACUCGUCUAGGUCAUUGACGGUAUAACGUUGACCGGUGCUUGGUAGUUUCGGGAUUGGUCAAGUAUGGUACAAACAAAUUACAAAAAACAUAACAAUAUAUUUGAAGCUGUUUAUGAUAAGCCAAUAUGAUAAAUUGGUCCAAUAAAAAAAAAGGACAAAAGCAAAUAUGAAAGGAAGACAAAACAAAUUGAUUUAAUGAGUUAAUUUCUUGAUAGUGAGACUCUUGAAGAGAGAUGAAUCUGAUAAACUUGGAAUAUUUCAUAAUUGAUAUAUAAAAUGAUUCAAUGAAUUAAUUUGGUUAAGUAUAAUAGUAAGAGUAUUGAAUUGAUAAGGUUGUUGGCAUGCCUCAUGCAUGAUGUCUAGUGCAUAAUAAAGAUAUUAUAGGGUUUGAUGCAUGCAUAAUGAAUUAGUAUAGGGAGGGUUCGGUAAGUUGAAUAAAAUUAUAUUAUAUAUCAAAUACACACACACACACACACACACACAAUAUAUUCGGUUCAGAUUCGGGGACGAAUAUGAAUUGGGGACUCCUAUAACCAUAUCCAAAACCAUAACCGAAUAAAGUUCACGAUUUUUCCCCAUAUCCAUACUAUACCCAAAUUUUUAUAUCAAAUCCAAUCCAUUCGGGCGGUUAUCCACGGUUAUCGGGUUUAACGGUUAGAAUUGUCAUCCCUACUUAGUUACACUUAGGGCCUCACGCGUUGAGAAUUAAAGAAUUUUGAACGCGCCUCACGCUCUGAGAACCAAAAACCCAGAAAUAACCCGUUCGUGCUUUUUUCUGGGUGAAGUCCUCGAGGAUGGGUGGAGAAUCAGUUUCUUCACCGAUUGAAUUUAGAGCUAAUGGUGCUGAUUCUUCCCGAUCUGGUAAGAGAAUUCAUGGGAUUGAUGGACCGAAUUUGGAUGCUGAACGUGACAUGAUUGAUCUGCACUUGGAGCCUAAUGUGAGUUUCAAAGACAAGCUUAUGAAAUCAACUCGGUGACUUGACUCGGUUGCUGUUCCUGAUUUUUAGUGUGAUCUUGAUCUCGUUGACGGGGACGUUUCCUUCUCUCGUGAGGUGAAAGGGCCUAUUGUUAGACCAUCUUCAAUCGAAGGCUAGCCAGAUGGCUCGUUUCAGCCUUCUGGCCCUCCAAGAUAUUAAUAUUUUAAUAAACAGUAUAGGUCAUAUUUGCCUUCAUCUCCAAUCGAGGGUCAUAGGGCUUGUUUUAGCCCUGUCACAAAACACCGUCUUCAAUCGAAGGCCAAAGAGCCACAUGACCAAAUAUAAUUUAUUAUUUACAUUUAAAAACUACAACAACUUAAAUUUAAAAACAACAUUAACUUAAAUUUUUUAAAUUCAUAAAAAAAAAAUUUUGGCCCAAAAAAAAAAAAUUGAAUUCAACGGUAACUAGCUGUUGCAUAUGAAAAUUUGGCCUAGCAUUCUUGUUUGAUAUAACCAACAACAAUAUUUUUAUAUUGCUGUUGGUUAUAUCCGACAGGGAUACACAAAUUUCUGGCCCAGCCUAGGGCUGGCUGGUUGGCUCAUUUGGGCCAGCCGAUUGGCCCUUUGGCCUAACCCUCGGUUGAAGAUGGUUUUCGGGCAUUUUUUGGCCCUCUGGCCCACCCUUCGGUUGGAGAUGGUCUUACGUUAUCUAAAAAAGCUGUGAAGAAAUUUGGUAAGGAUUGGCAUGAUGCUUUGGUCAUCAAACUUCUUGGGCGAUUGCGCACUUAUAAUUUUUUGUUGAACGUGUUAAGGCAAAAAUGGCAAUUAAAAUGAGGUAUGCAACUUAUUGACAUUGAUCAUGAUUUUAAUAUUGUUAAAUUUGAUUUGGAAGAGGAUAAGGAGUUUGUUUUAACUGGUGGACCUUGGAUAAUUGCGGGUCAGUAUUUGAUGAUUCAAAAAUGGAGACUAGGAUUUGUGCUUGCAACUGAGGUUAUUACUCAUAUGGCUAUAUGGUUUAGGAUACUGGGUGUUCCAAUUGAGUAUUUUAAUGUUUGGGCAAUGAGGAAGAUAGGUUGUGUGCUGGGAAAACUGUUAAAGAUUGAUGUAAACACCAAUCCUCAAUACAGGGGCAAAUUUGCUAGAAUUUGUGUUGAGCUUGAUGUGACUGAGCCUCUUGAAGCGUUUAUUCAAAUUAAUAAAGGAAGGUACGAUUUGGAGUACAAGGGUAUGCCAGAAAUUUGUUUCAGAUGUGGUUGCUAUGGACAUAAGAGGGAGAGCUAUCCUUGGAGCAUUGAUCCUAUGGCGGAAAAGGUUGAUGGUGGUGAAAAUGAGAGUAAUAGUAUGAACAUCGAUGAGCCUAUAGUAAAGUCUGCUCAAAGUAGCGAUGAUGUUUUUACUAUUCAUGGUACAUGGAUGCAAGUUAAGCCUAGUCGUAGACCUCGAAAAAUAAAUAAUGGACAUGGAGGUGUGGAUGUUUCUUUUAAUGGGUAGGGGUCAAGGUUCAGUGCGCUUAAUGGGGAAGAUAAAAGUCUGAAUGAAGGCAAUGUGGGAAGUGGCAUAAAUGGUGAGAAAGGUGAGGGUCUAUUGAAAGGAAAAUUUGGGUGGCUAGGAAGAAGAAGGAAACUGGUAAUUGGGAUGCACUUGCUGAAAUCUCUAACUUUGGUCGUAAGCCACAUGCUCCUUCCCGACUGAGCACUGAUAAUUUGGGGCAGCUAAGACAACCUUUGGUGAAAAGGUCAAGUUCUAGUUCGAUUAGUAAUGUUGAGGCUUAGUCGUUCAAAUUUAAUUUUAAUGCCUUCAAGACUGAUAUGUAUUAUGGUUCAAAUAUGUCGAAGGGAACAUGUAUUUUUGGUCACCAACCAUCCAAUGCAAGUGGCAACGGUGUUGAGUUAGCUACGUGUGAUCUGGAUCCAAGUGAAAAGAUGAUGAAUACUAAUCAUGCUAUUCCAGGUUCAAUUAUUCAACGAUCUUGUUCAUCCGAGGAUUCUUAUUCAACUAAGUCCGAUGAGAUGUGUGCCUCCCAUAUGGAGGCAACCCUUAUGGGUUGCUAGGCUUUAUGCUUUGGUUUUAUUUAUCUCCUCCAUCUUUAUGAUGAACAUUGUAGUAUGGAACUCUAGAGGUGCUGGUUGCACCAAGUUUAAACAUAAUGUUGCAGAGUUAAUUAAUAUUCACCAAAUGGAGAUUUUGGUUAUCUGUGAACCCAUGAUUAGUGGUCAGAAAGCUAUUUCAGUAGUGAAAUCUCUUGGUUUUCCAUGCUUUGAGAUUAUGGAUGCUGUUGGCUUCUCAGGUGGAUUGUGGAUGUUGUGGAAGGAUUCUAGAUUAAAGGUGGAAGUUAUCAGUACCAUAGACCAAGCUAUUUCUGUUGCUGUGAGAGGUGUUGGUCAGAACCAUUGGAUUUUCACAGAUGUCUAUGCUAGCCCUUGUGUUACUAAAAGAUAGAUAUUGUGGGAUUAUUUGGAUUUUGUAGCCGAUUGUCAUCAAUUGCCUUGGUCAAUUGUUGGGGAUUUUAAUAUGUUGUGUGUGGAAGAUAAACUUGGUGGUGCUCUAUUAUGCUGAUUAAAAGGCUUCAAAUCUUGGGUGGAUAGGAAUUAUAUGAUUGAUUUGGGUUUUAUUGGUCCUAAAUUUACUUGGACUAAUAAAAAAGUUUUAGAAAGAAUUGAUCAAGGGAUUUGUAAUAUGAGUUGGAGGAGCCUUUUCUCUGAAGCUUAUGUUCACCAUUUCCCGCGAACCAAGUUAGAUCACUACCCAAUUAAGAUAUGCUUAAAUUCUCAUCAUUCAUUUUCUCCUAAGCAUCAUCCUUUUGGUUUUGAAGCUAUGUGGUUAAGGCAUGAAAAUUUCAAGGAGUUUGUUGAUGAUUAUUGGCGUAAUGGUGGAGGUUCGGUUGUUGAUAAAACUUGUGCUCUUGUUGAACUGCUUAAGAAGUGGAAUAUUCAAGUCUUUGGUCAUCUGAAAUAGAGAAAGCGCAGACUUCUAGCAAGAAUUGAUGGGAUUCAAAACGCUUUGUGUCAUGGGCCUAAUAAAUCUCUUUCUAAAUUUGAGGAUGAGUUGAUUUCUGAAUAUAAUGUAGUUCUGAAUGAGGAGGCUAUAUAUUGGCAUCAAAAGUCUCGGUUGAGGUGGCUUCAAGAAUGUGAUCGUAAUACAAAUUUUUUUCAUCUCACUACUAUUGUAAGAGGAGAAGAAAUAGAAUUGAGGGGCUCAUUAACAAUCAAGGUGCUUGGAUAUCGGAGUCUUCUGAUUUGAAAAAGUUGGCAGUGGAGUACUUUCAAACUAUUUUUUCGCAUGGGCAAAAGUCUAAGCAAAUGGAAUCUCUUCCUAAUCUUUUUCCUGAUAUACAUAAUGAUGAUCGUGAAGCUCUUAUCAAAGAUAUCGAUAUGGUUGAAGUCAAGGAAAGCCUUUUUAAUAUUGGAGGCCUUAAAGCUCUAGGUAUUAAGGGUUUUCCUGCUUGCUUUUAUCAAAGUCAGUGGAAUAUAUGUGCUAAUGAUAUCUUUGAAAUGGUAUGGAAUGCUUUUCAGUCAAGGAGAUUGCAUGAGAGGUUAAACAGUGUGCUGAUAACUUUGGUCCCUAAAAUUGAUAAUCCUCAACAAAUGUUGAAUUUUAGACUUACUAGUCUUUGUUGCACUCUUUAUAAAGUGCUCUCUAAAAUCAUUGUUGCUAGAAUCAGUCCUCUUUUGGCUCAUCUGAUUAGUCAUAAUCAGGCUAGUUUUGUUCCUGGUAGACAAAUUUUUGACAAUAUCCUUAUUGCUCAAGAAAUUAUUCACAAGUUCAGAAUUUGAAAAGGCCAAAAAGGAUUUUUAGCUUGGAAAAUUGUUCUCUCUAAGGCUUAUGACAGACUUAAUUGGAAGUUUAUUGAGUAUGUAUUGAAUGAGGUUGGGUUGCCUUCGAAUUUGGUUCAACUUAUGAUGGAAUGUGUAUCCACCGUUAAGUACCAAAUUUGUUUCAAUGGUGAAUUAACAGAUUGUUUUACUCAUCAAAACGGUAUUCGGCAAGGGGAUCAUUUGUCCCUGUAAAGAUAUCAACAGGUAUAGAGGAGAUGUAUUCUUGCAGAAGAAGAAAUGAAUAUUCAGAGAGAGAAAUAGAAGUUUAGACAGAGAAGAUAUUUGUUUUUCUCAUUAAUCUUUUCAUCAUCUUACAAUGAUAGUUAUAUAGUAUAUAGCUAACUAGAUUGCUUACUUUCUAAGCUAUCACAAUGAUUACAAGAUGACUACAUUUGUCACUCUUACAACCACACGAUCACAAGCUGUUAUGCUUGCUUUAUAUACUGUUAUCAUCCCCCCUCAAUCACAGGAGGAGGUUUGCUCAACCUGAGAUUGGAACAGUGGGUCUGAAACAAUGGAGUAGACAAUCCCUUGGUGAGAAUAUCGGCAAAUUGUUCAUUUGAAGAAACAAACUGAAGUUGAAGCAGCUUCUUGGCAACCCGUUCUCGAACAAAAUGGAUGUCUACCUCAAUGUGCUUUGUCCGUUGGUGCAUAACUGGAUUAUAAGCCAAGGCUAUAGCAGACAGAUUGUCACAAAAUAAAGUGACAGGACAUGAAACAUCAAUCCGAAGAAACUGCAAAAGUUGCUUGAUCCAGUCAAUCUCUGCAGUAGUGGAUGAAAGUGCUCGGUAUUCAGCUUCAGUGGAGGAUUUAGAAACUGUAUUUUGUUUCUUGGAAGACCAAGAAAUGGGACUAGACCCCAAAUAGACCACCAAACCUGUAGUCGACCGUCGGUCAUUGGGAUCCCCAGCCCAGUCAGCAUCACUGAAGGCAUGUAAACAUAAAUCUCCUUUGCUGAAGGGAACACCAUAAUCCAUCGUGCCUUUCAGAUAUCUGAGGAUUCUCUUCACAGCAAGAAAAUGAGACUCCAUGGGACAAUGCAUGAACUGACAUACCUGAUGCACGGAGAAAGCGAUGUCGGGUCUUGUAAAUGUAAGAUAUUGCAAAGCCCCCACCACACUGCGAUACAAUGCUGGAUUGUGAAAGGGUGUCCCAUCAUCUUUAAGUAACCUGGUAUACGGCAGACAAGGGGUAUAACACGGUUUGGAAAGACUCAUAUCAGUCUUAUGAAGCAAAUCAGUAAUAUACUUAGCCUGGGAGAGAAAUAAUCCAGUGGAAUGAUAAGUAAUUUGGAUGCCUAAGAAGUAAUGAAGGAGUCCCAAAUCCUUAAUAUCAAAUUCCUAAGCUAAAGCCUGGAUAACAUCAGUAAUAGCUGCAGUAGCACUUCCUGUGAUGAUUAUAUCAUCCACAUAGACCUCUUCUUGUAAAAUGCCAUGAAGAAAAGCAUUCUUCACAUCGAGUUGCCGUAAAGACCAACCAAAUUGUGCAGCUAAAGCCAAAACUAACCUCACAGUUGUAGGUUUAACAACUGGACUAAAGGUCUCCCCAUAGUCAAGACCCUCUGCUUGAUUGAAGCCUUUGGCAACAAGGCGUGCCUUAUAUCUAGAAAUGUUCCCAUCUGCAUCUCUUUUAAUCUUGAAGACCCACUUACACCCAACCAAAUUCUUGUUUGAAGGAAGAGGAACUAAUGACCAAGUUCCUUGAGAAUGCAAAGCGGAGAGCUCUUCUUUCAUAGCUGCACACCAUACUGAGGAUGAAAGGGCAGACUUAUAUGUUGAGGGUUCCACCUGAGUUAAAUCAAUUGGAAUAUCAGCUCCAAUUUUAGAGAGAAAAGCUUUAGGCUUGAAGAUACCAUUUUUGGAUCUUGUCUGCAUGGCAUGUGUAUUCAUAGGUGGAAUAGAAGAAACCACUUGCAAACUCUCAGGUUGAAACUCUGAAGAAAGCUCAGUGUGAUCAUGAGGAUUGGAUCCAGAGGACAGGACUGCAGCCACAGGGGAAGAAGGAAGCACAGACUGUAUGGACGGUGCAGUAAUGGAUUCAGCAUGUGUUGGGGUAGAAAUGGACUCAAGUGUAGGUGAAGUAGAUGUAGAUGCUAUGGAGACAACCUGGUUAUCAUGUGUGACAGAAAGCAGAGAAAUAGGAGGUGACAAAAGAGGAGUAAAAGAUGAUGAAGUUAAGGUUUUGGAAGACAACAUGGCAUAAGGAAAUUCACCCUCAUCAAAAAUAACAUGCCUAGAUAUGUACAUUUUUUUAUGUCUCACUUCAUAACAUAAGUAGCCUUUGUAUCUGGAAGCAUAACCUAAAAAGACACAUUUUGUUGUUUUAGGCUGUAACUUGUUGGAAUUGUAAGGUUUUAAGAGUGGGAAACAGGAACAUCCAAAAACCCGAAGAUGAUUGAUAGCUGGGACAUCUUUAAACAACAACUCAAAUGGAGAUUUGUUGUGUAAAACAGGUGUUGGCAUUCUGUUAAUAUGGUAGACAGCAACUUGGCAUGCAAAAGACCAGAAUUUUGGAGGCAAGGAAGCAGUUUGUAAAAGGGUGAUAGCUGUGUCAACAAUAUGUCUAUGCUUCCUUUCAGCUAGACCAUUUUGUUCAGGGGUGUAUGGACAGGACAAUUGGUGUUUAAUACCUUUGGAUGCAAGAAAUUGUUGAAAUGACUUGCUAAUAUAUUCACCUUCCCCAUCACUUUGUAAAGUUUUAACAGAAAUAGCAAAGUGAUUGAACACAAAAUUGUAAAAGGCAAUGAAAGUUGAACAAACAUCACUUUUAUUGAUGAGAGGAAAUAUCCAACAAUGUCUAGUGCAUUCAUCAAUGAAUGUCACGUAGUAUCUAAAACCCUCUACAGAGUUACAAGGAGAAGGACCCCAUACAUCACUAUGAACAGUAUCAAAAGGAUGCAGGGACUUAGAGACAGAAUCAACAAAUGGCAAUUUACAAAAUUUCCCUUCUAGACAAGAGUGACACAUCACAGACUUACUAUCAGAUAUAUCAGAUACAUUGCAUUUGCGUAAUAUGGCAGAUACUAUAGAAUUGGAUGGGUGUCCUAAUCUACUAUGCCAAAGACUCGAAGACACAUGUUGUCCAAGGAAAGCAGCGUGUACGUUGGAUAAGGAAGAACUGUAUGAAACUGGUAGAGGAAUAGGAUAUAGUCCAUUACUGCAAUGUCCCUUGAAGAGGAUCCUCCCUGUGGCUUUGUCCUGGAUCCAAAAACAGAAAGCAUCAUAGAUUAACUAGCAGUUAUUAUCCAGACACAAUUUAUGCACAGAUAACAAAUUCUGAGAGAGUUGAGGAACAUAUAAGACUGAAUUAAGAUGCAGGGGUUUGAAAGGUGUAUGUAAAGUUGAGGAACCAAUGUGGGAAAUUGAUAAACCUGCACCACCUCCAGCAGUGUGAAUUGUCUCAUUGGAAGGAAAUGGAGAGGCCAACGACAACUGAUUAAGAUCAGCAGUCAUGUGAGAUGUAGCCCCAGAAUCUGUAAGCCACACUUGUUGAGAAUUAGCACUCGGAACAGAGGAUGGACCAGCAACAUGCAUAGCUGACACUUGCUGAGAUUGGAGAUUGGCAUUUCGAAAAUGACAAAAAGGAGCACUGUGAUUCUUUUUGCCACAGAUUUGACAAGCCUCUGUAAUAGAAUUCUCAGUAUUUCGAAACCGACAAGUAACAGCUAGAUGUCCAAAUUUGCCACAAAUUUGACAAGAAGACUGAAAAAACCCUUGUGCCGUUGGUGGAGAGAAACCAAGAAUACCAGGGGCAUUGUUAUGAAAAGAACCAGACUUGGCAUUACCAAACCGGGAGUUGUAUUGAUACUUGCCUUUACCCUUGUUCCUGUGGUAAGGAGGCUUAGAACCAGACCCAUUGUACUGAUAAAAACUUCCUUGAGACCCAUACGGACCACCAUUUGAUGAAGGACCAGUGUUGGAGUAAUUAUCAUGAGGUGAAUUGGCCUCGAAUUGAGAAGACUUAGACGAAACAGACAUAUUGCUAGCUACCAUUGCAGACAGGAAAGGAGUAACAGAAACAUUAGCAAGCAUUGCUUCUUCAGCAAGCAAUUGGGAGCGAAGAUCUUUCAUAGAAAUAACAUUCUCCCGACCUCUAAUAAUGGAUCGCAAUGUAUUGUAUUCGGAAGACAGACCAUUAAGAGUUAAAAUCACAAUAUCAUCAUCAGCAAACAUAACCCCAGCAGCAACCAAGUAAUCACGAGCUUCUUUAAUGCGUUGAAGGUAUAAGGAAAUGGAAUCUGUACCUUUCUUAAUAUUCUGCAACUCAGAUUUCAUCUGAAAAAUUGUAGCCCGAGUAACAAUUGAAAAUUGUUCUUUAAGACGCACCCAUAAGUCCCGAGCACUCGUGCUACCGAUAGCACAUGAAAUCGCAGAAGGAGAUAAUGUGGCAGUGAUGAGUUGCAUGAGAGCCCGAUCAUGCAUUUUCCAAAUUUUGAAAGCAUCACUGGUAUGCAAAUCACUGGAAGACUCAGUUGAAUCACUCAGAUUCGAAGGACAAUGAUUUGUACCAUCGACAAACCCCAUAAUGCCAUGACCAUCGAGAAGAAGCUCCAUCUGAAAAUGCCAUGUGAGGUAAUUUGAAUCAUCAAGUUUCACAGAAACAGAAGAUGAAACUGAUUAGAUGAGAGAGGUAAUGGGAGAUUGAAGAAUCUGCAAUUGUGUAGCAGUCACCAUGAUCGAAUAGGAAUCAAGAACUCGAAGAAAAUGUCACUGAGACAAAAGAACAAACACCUGGUGUGCAGUAUCGUAAACACCGAGAACCAGAGAAGAAAGGGAAAUGAGAACCCUAAAAAAUCAAGAAAUAGAAGAAACAUAACGGAAGCAGAAAAACCAAGAUCAAGAAACCGUGAAGCACGAAGCUUUUCCGGCGAAUGAUACCAUGUAAAGAUAUCAACAGGUAUAGAGGAGAUGUAUUCUUGCAGAAGAAGAAAUGAAUAUUCAGAGAGAGAAAUAGAAGUUUAGACAGAGAAGAUAUUUGUUUUUCUCAUUAAUCUUUUCAUCAUCUUACAAUGAUAGUUAUAUAGUAUAUAGCUAACUAGAUUGCUUACUUUCUAAGCUAUCACAAUGAUUACAAGAUGACUACACUUGUCACUCUUACAACCACACGAUCACAAGCUGUUAUGCUUGCUUUAUAUACUGUUAUCAGUCCCUUUAUUUGUUUGUGCUAUGUAUUGAGAUACUCUCUCAUUUAAUUUCUGCAACUAUGAACAGAGUAAGGUGGAAACCUGUUAAGGCUUCUCAAUCUGGACCUGGGGUCUCUCAUCUCUUUUCACUGAUGAUUUAAUUUUGUUUUCUGAAGCUACUCCAAAGCAAGCAGGAUUAAUGAAAAGGUUCCUUGAAAAUUUUUGCAAAGCUUCUGGUCAAGCUGUUAACUUUGAAAAAUAUGUUCUUUAUUGUUCUCCAAACACGUCCAAGGUUGUUGUUAAUAGUAUUAGUGCAAUUUAUGGUUCUCCUGUCUCUUAGAGUCUUGGGAAUUAUAUAGGAAUGCCUCUAUUUCAAACUAGAGUUUCAAAGGCUACUUAUUCGGGUGUUAUUGAUAAAGUUCAGAAGAGGUUGGCAACUUGGAAGAACAAGGUAUUGUCCAUGUUUGGAAGAAUUACCUUAAUUCAAGAUGUUACCUCGCCCAUACUAGUUUAUGCCAUGCAAAUGACCAAGCUUCCUGCUAGUGUGUGUGAAGAGUUAGACAAGUUGAACAGGGAUUUUUUGUGGGGGGAUACUAAUCAAAAGAAAAAAGUUCAUCUAUGCCAAUGGAGUAUGGUUUGCAGACCUAAAAGUAAGGUGGUUUGGGGAUUAAGAGAGCUUGUGUAAUGAAUCAUGCUCUUUUGGCCAAGUUAGGGUAGAGGAUUCAUGCUAAGGACUUUGGUCUUUGGUCUCAAAUUUAUCAGGCCAAGUAUUUGAAAAGGUUAUUCUAUUUUAGACCCCAAAAUUCAUGAAAGAACCAAGUGUUCUUAUUCUUGGAAAGGAAUUCUGUAUGGAGCUAAUCUUCUUAAAAAGGGCAUGACUUGGAGAAUUGGCAAUGGUGAGAGUGUGAAAUUUUGGAAGGAUUCAUCGGUCUUAAAUGUCCCUUUAAUUGAAACUAUUGAUGUUGCUAAUAUCUCCAAUAUUGAUUGUGGUGUCUCUGAGUUUUUAAGUAAUGGUUGGUGGGAUCUUGAAAAGCUCAGAGAUGUGUUGCCCAAGGAUAUGGUUGAAAGAGUUAUAUGUCGGCAUGCAGGUACUACUAAUGUAGGAAUGGAUAAAAUUAUUUGGAGAUGUGUUUCAAAUGGAGUUUUCACCGUUAAAUUAGCUUAUAAUCUCUUCUUUGAUGGAGAGGAUUUGCCUGAUUCUUGCUGGGAUUUUAUUUGGAAAAUUAAUGUUCCACCUAAGCUAAAAGUUUUUCUUUGGUUGAUGAGUAAAGGGAGAUUGCUUUCUAAUGAGCAGCCAGUUAGAAGACAAAUAACUUCUGAUUCUUCUUGUAUGAUUUGUUGUAACAACUCGUCCCAGAUUUAUUUACGAAUUUUACGGAACGAAUGGGUAUUUCUGUAAUUUUACGAAAAAGGGGAUAUUUUAUUUGGGAUUGCCUUAAAACCUUAAAGGGUGAGCCGGGUGGACCCUUUUUCUUUUUGGUUUCCCGGUUUCCAUUCCCCUAUGGCUACCAAGUCCUCUUUCUUUCUCCACCUUCUUCUCUGUUCUCUUCCUGGCUCUCUCUUCACUCUCUCCCCCGAAACUCUCCCUCGACCUCACCCUUCUCUCCUCACCGGCGAACUCAUACACACACAAACAUACAUGCACACGGGCAAUUACCAUCACACCACCGUCACCACAAAUCGGACCCUCUUGUCUCUCCGACAAGGUAAGUCGAACUCACCUCUAAAUCUUCCUAAAUCGGGUUAAGAAAAGUGAUUAGGUAGCUUUUGAGACGUUUUGGGAUAUUUUUGGACGCAGGAAUACCCGGGGAAAACUUUUUCUAGUUUUGCGGCGAAGGUCCAUGAAUCUCAGGCCAUUUGCUGGCCAAUCCCGACCUCGACACGUUUCAUCUUGGUACUACUCGAAUCCUCACUCUUUUAUCUUCAUUUUGGUAUAUUAUAUGGUGACCUUUAGUUGAGUCUCGGGCCUUUGAGCCAUGGAGCAAGCCCAAUUGGAUAACCCAAAACCCUUUAACCCAACCCAAAACAUUGGGCCGGGCUUAAAGCCCAAACCCAUCUAACCUUUCAACCCAACCCUGUGGCCUGUUGACCCAGCCCAUUAGAUGGGCUGUUUACCUGGUGGAAUAUUUCGUGGAGUAUUCCUGUGUUGACUUUUUGUUGACUUUUUCAAAAUUUACCCAGGACCCUUCUUAGGGUAAUUCGACGUCCUGAAUCCAUUUCGGACGUUCGUUUCCAAAUUCAAUUGUAUAGUAUAGUUUUAUUAAUUGGGACCCUGUAUGUGCUUAGGGGCAAUUGUUAUGGCGUUUUCGUCUUCGCUAAUUUGCAUAGCACUUCGGCGGUAAAGUAUAUGUGAGUGGACCCCUUCUAAAAUGAAUGUUUUAAUAGUAGAAAUGCAUAUAUGAAAAGCAUGAUUUAAUGAUUACGUUUUAUGAAAUGUUUUAUGAGAUAUUAUGCUAUACUGAGAAUAUUUUAGAAUACCAUAUUUUAUUGAACUAGUGUUCUUUGUAGUUUAUCUGAUGGAUGACGAUAUACUACUUACGAACAUGUUUUUACACACCCUCUUUAUAGUAUAUAUGAUGGAUUACUAUAUACUAUGAAGUGGCUUUGAGUUAUAUGAUAUAUGUUUUUUUAGAAUAUUAUGUUCAAUGUUUUGUGUGUAUCAUAUGAUAUAUGUUUUUUUAGAAUAUUAUGUUCAAUGUUUUGUGUGUAUCUAGUGGUCACUGUUCUGCCUACGGGCGAGGAUUUGUUGUUGGCUACGGGCCAAGAGAAAUAAUUUCUAGCUUUGGGCCUAGAGACAUGGAGCUGGCUGUAAUACCUUGAAAAAUUUUAAAUAUAUGUUUAUGAGGAAAAAUUUAUCAAAAAGGGGAAAAGAUGAAAAUACCCUUAGUUGGCUAAAUUGAAUUUUUCGAGGACAUAUUUUAUCCCCGUAUAUUUUAUCAUAUUUCUUGACAUAAUUGGAUAUAGGACGAUUCCACCAGCGUGUAGGCAAAAACCGUUUGUGAAAUGAGUUAUAACGAAGAAGUUAUUAAUGAUUGCAGUUGAGGACAAAAUAGUCAUGUUACCAUUUAUUUUGGAAGGCUCUAGAAAAUCUGGAGCAAUGGGAGUGUCACGUGAAAGGCAGUGAGAGGGUGGAGAGCACGAGACCACCUUCCCUCUUCCUAUUACAUCUCAAAAAUAUAGGGAUUUGGACUUUAAAUCGGGAGAAACCGCACGGUGCGGUGCGGCAUGUGUGUGUUCGAAUCAACUAAAUCUGAAGCAAACUACAUUCAUCUCCACCACCAUUAGACCCCCCUUGAGGUCCCAAACAAUGGUAGAGGCGGCGGAGCACCAAAGGUAACGUUUGAGGCCACCCAUUUAUAAGGUUUCCAAUGGGUUCGAGGCAAAUUGGAGCCUUUUCAGACUAAAUUGGACUUGGUCGCAGGUAUAAAGUUUGUUUUACUAUUUGAGAUCUUCAUUUCUUAAUUUUUGGAAAUUUUUAGGAAUAGUUGAAUUUCCGGCGAACGUGGGCGGCGGAUCGCCACCCGCGGCAGCGCACGGCUAGGGAGCUGAUAUUGUGUUUUUAUACGAAUUUCGUUAUUGAAGAAGGAAAUGAGGGAAAUGAGAGAAUGAAAUUUGGGGGAAAGAAUUGGGUCUUCCUUCAACCCGUUUUCUCCAUAUUUUUCGAUGGUUUUCCAUCAGAUUUCCCACGAAUUGGACCUAGCCACCGCUCCCAAUCAUCAUCUAGCCCUUCCCUCUUCCAUUUCCAUCCAAAUUUAGAAGAAAAUUGGUUGUAAAUGGGUGAAGAACGUCGGUGGGUGCGACGGGUUCGUGAGAUGAUUCCUCAAAUCUUGAAGCUAUUUCUUGCAAUUACCACCACUAAAACACUUUUCUAGUGGCCAGGAACAAAGCCCAAACAUUGGUUGGGGUGGUAGAGCACCGAAGGUAACAGAUCAAAACCACCCAUUUUUAGGGCUUCCGACUGGUUCGAGUGAAAUUGAGGUGUUUCCAUGCCGAAUUGCACUUUGGCCUAGGUAUGAAAGUUAUUCCUCUCAUUGCACUUUGGCCUAGGUAUGAAAGUUGUUCCUCUCAUUGAACUCGACGCACGGCCAGUGGGUCGAGCUGCCAAUUUCGAUAUUCUGAAAUCAUAUUUGAUAUGCAUUUGGUGUGAUCACUUGUUUGAACGUAGUUAGUGAUUGUUAGUCACUUGAAUGAUUUUCGGAAAUGAGUUAGAAAUUGAAUUGGUGAACUACGAAUGGCUCGAUCCCUUCAUAGGGUACGUAGGCAGUCUAAUGUGAAGGUUAGAUACAGCCAUAAUAAAAUAAUUGAGAUUAAUCUUUUAUUGAAAAUUGGCUAAGAAAAGGAAUUCGGGCAUAUCUUAGUAAUUAGCUUCCGAAGUAAAUUUUGGGUCAUUACACGGGCAUUGGGUCGGGAGACAAUAAUCUCUGGCUUAGGGCACAGAGACAUGGUUGUUGGCUGAGGGGCGGGAGAUAUUGUUAUUGGAUACCACUAUUUAGCACACUAUAUACAAGAUAUGUUUUAUGAAAUGUUUUAUGGCAUGCUAGGGUUUUUGGAAACCUAUCACAUAUUAUGCUAUUAGUUUUCAUAAAACUUUGGGGGUUAGUAUUUUGUUAAUUGUUUCAGUGUUAUUUUAUAUAUAUAUAUAUAUAUAUAUAUAUAUAUAUCAACUUGGACCACUCAUGUUUGUUUUGCGCCCCCUCAGGAUUUAGAAUCGAGGCAUACAAUCCUGGCAUAAAGGCACUUCCGCAUCGGCAUCUUCGAGUCCUCUCGGUGUAGGACCCACUACCUUGUCCAUUCAAUUUUAUUUUAUUUGUUUUAGUGUUCUAGUUAGUCGUAUGCUUUGAACACGUUCCUUAAAUGUAUAUUCAUUGCCUUUAAAUUUCUAUUAUUUUAUUCAUAUUUUUUGUUCUCAUGCAUUUUAAUAUGGCUUCGUCACUUUUGGGUGUUGACCAACACGUGCCUACCUUGGUGUUCGAGGAAUAUCAGGGUCGGGCGUGUCACUUAUUGUGGUCCAAUUGAAUCUAUUGCUCAUAUUUUUAAAGAUUGUUCCAGGGUUGACUGGUUAGGUGGCUUUGCUGUGAAUUUGGGACAAAGGCAAGUUUGUGAUGCUGAAUUAUGGAGUUUAUACAUUGGUUUACAGCUUGCUAUUGAUAGGGGUGCUACUGAUCUUCAUAUUGAGAUGGAUUCCAAGGCUAUUGUUAUGUUGUUGAAGCAAACCCAAGUUGAUAAUUUCCAUCCUUUGGAGACAAUUAUGCAUAGCUGCAAAUUAAUGAUGAGACAAUUAAGGAGGUGUGAAUUGAAUCACAUUUACAGAGAAAAGAAAAUUGUGGCGAAUCAGUUGGCUAGUUGGAGUUAUAAUAUGGAUAUUGGUGUUCUUGUUUUUUAUAAGCCUCCUAUUUGGAUUAGAUCAGCUCUCAUUGAUGAUGAUGCUGGAGUCCCUUUGACUCGUUUUGCUGUUGUUUUGUAGUUCUCUUUGGGUUGUAAUCUCCCUUAUUGACAAAAAAAAAAAAAAAAGAAUUCCAUCCCUAAUCAAGAUUGAGCUAAACAAAAUAACUGACACUGCAAAAAUAAAACAUGUUUUAUGCAUUUUUUAUAAUUAGACAUCAAAUUUGUUAUGUUGCUCAGUUGAUAAUUUACUUCAAACAUAAUGCUGCUAUGAAAGAGGAACAAUCACACUCACAAGGAUCUUAACUCAGAAAGCUCCGCGAUGUCGCUUUCAAUUUUCCCUUUCACGUUCAUUCCUGAUAAUCCCCUGCACAGUGAACAUUAGAAGAGGUCCUGGUUCAAAAUCCGAUUAAGAAAGUAAGCAAGAAUGCCCAUAAUUACAAUGAUCACAUUAGAAUUCGAAGAUGAACAACACUCACAAUUCAGUCACCCUCGAACCGUUGCAAGUGAUGCCAUCCCAGCGCUCCCCACAUGGAUCGUUUGACUUGCCCCAGCUGGGUGGAACAUUGCUCCAUGUCUGCCUCAAGGAUUGGAGUGCAUUAGCUGGAUCAACACACAUUUAAAUCAAUCAACUACCCUUAAUAGGAACAAUGAGGGUUUAGAACGAAAUUUAACCAAAACUUCAAAAUAAUUCACAUUAGACCAAAAUUAAAUGGACUAAUCGCUAAUUACAUUGUAACGACUCGUCUCAGAUAUUAUGUAAUGGGAGGGCAAUUUCAUAAUUUCACUAUGGGUGAGAUAUUUUAUUUUAAAUUGGGGUUGAUGAUUGGUCUUAAUUAGAGAGCCACUUGGGGCCUACUCUUACAAAUUUGUCCCCCGAACCACUAUUCCCUCUCCCUUUUUUUCUUCCCGACCCGUGACCUAAGUCCCAACCUAAAACCAACCCAAACCUUGGGCCUUUGUGACCCAAGCCCAAAUUUGUAUCAAACCCAACCCAGGUUCAACCCAAUAACCUAACCAUUGGGCCAUGCAAUCGGCCCAAACCCAAAGCCCAAUCUACUACCCAUUAGCUUAGGCCCUAACCCACUAACCUAACCCUAACCUAAGUCCAAAACCCUAAACCCUAACUAGUUCCAACCUAACCCAUUUGACCCGGACAUGUUUGACUGACCCAUUUGACCGUUGACUUCCGAUCACCGCUGACCAUUGACUGGUCAAUGUUGACUUUUGGGUUGACUUUUUCGGGUUUUGUCCAAGACCCUUCAUAGACUAAAUUCGGCGUCCUGAAUUCGGUUUAGAUGUCCGUUUUCACGAAUUAAAUCAUUUUAGUAUAGUUUUAUUAAUUGCUACGCUUAUGUGCUUAGGUGUAAUUGUUAGUGGUAUUUCCAUCCACGCUUAUUUGCACGGCUCUUCGCCAACGGUGUAAGGUAAGUGGACCCCUUCCAAAAUGCAUGUUUUAAUUUUUAGAAAUGCAUACAUGAAAAGCAUGGUUUAAUGGCUACAUUUUAUGAAACGUUUAUGAGUAAAUUAGUUUCAUGCUUUACGAUUUACCAUGCUUUAUCAAUUUUAUGUUCUUCGUAGUAUAUAUGAUCGAUGACUAUAUACUACGAAUAGGUUUUACGAUAUGACGUUUUAGCUACUGAGCUCCGAUUAAAAUAGAUAUUAGAAAUAUUAUGUUAAUGUCCUUAUGUACUUAGUGGUUAUUCGAAUGUUACUGCUUAUGGGCAAACAAUACUUAUAUGAUUGGCUACGACCGGGUGUGGGUUGGAUACAUAUGAUAUAUAUAUAUAUAUAUAUAUGUGUGUGUGGGUUGGAUAUAUAUAUAUAUAUAUAUAUAUAUAUAUAUAUAUGAUUGGCUACGGCCGAGUGUGGGUUGGAUACAUAUGAUUGGCUUCGGCCUGACGUUUGGUUGGUGCCUACAGGUGGGAGAUAUAUGAUUGGCUUCGGCCGAGCGUGUGUAGGGCCUACGGGUGGAAGAUAUUUAUAUUGGCUUUGGCCAGGAGAUGUAGUGCCUACAAGCGAAUGAUACUGCCUACGGGCGAAUGAUCUACCUACGAGCGCGUGAUGUAGAACCUUCAGAUGACUGAAGAAGUGUUCUAUAUGCCUUCGAGCGAAUGAAAUAUUAUAUAUAUGUAUAUGCCUUAUAUAUAUACCACUACUAAGCAACUAUAUAUAAUAUAUGUUUUAUGAAUGUUUUUAUGGCAUGCUAGGGUUUUGGAAAACCUAUUGUAUAUUAUGUUAUUGAGUUUUCAUAAACUUUGGGGGUUAGUAUGUUGUUAAAUAACUAUUUUUGUACUACUUAUAUAUCAACCUGGUCCACUCAUGUUUUGUUUUGUGCCAUCUCAAGACUUAGAAUCAAGGCGUACAAUCAUUGCGUCAAGGCAUUCCCGCAUCGACAUCUUCGAGUCCUCUCAGUGUAGGACCCAUCUCUUUGCUCAUUCAAUUUUAUAUUAUUCUGUUUUAGUGUUUAUGAUUAGUUGUAUGCUCUGAACACGUUCCUCAAUUGCAUAGGCAUUGUAAUUAAUUUUAUCAUUUUUAUUUAUGUUCGUUACUUCACAUGCAUGUUAGUAUGGCUUUGUCACCUUCGGGUGUCGGCCAGCACGUGCCUACCUUGAGUAUUUGGAGGAUAUCGGGGUCGGGUGUGUCAACACACACGAAAGAAUCUACACCAAGGUGAUAUCCCAAACCAAUCACAUUGUGUCACUGUUUUUACUUUCCCACAUAAUAACAGAUGAUUGAUUUGGAAUAUUGUCACGAAGAAUAAGAAGAUGAACAUGAUAUCACAAAAAACCUAUCAAGUCAACGGAUAUGAUGCUAGCUUUGAAAUUGUAGACCAAAAGUAGAAACUACACAAAACCCAAUUUUCCCAUGAAUUAAGAGAUCAAUAUAUAUAUAUGUAUGUAUGUAUUGAUAUUUAAGACUAUUACAUACCAUCAUCCGGGUGUGUAGAAGAAAAGACCACAUGAAUUCCAGAGAAGCAGAAAGCCAGAAAGAGCAGCAGUAGCCGCAUGGUUGCCUUGGGAAAUUUGUGUGUGAAUCUGUGAUACCGAUCAGCUAGUAAGCAGAAGCCAAAAAGCACAUUUGUACAAAAUUUUACUUCCUUGAAAUGUAAAAAAAAAACACUUUUCAAACAUAUCUUCUUCCACUAUACCAACUCCUACACCACUUGGAUGUUUGGAAUUUUAUUUAAUGAAGAAAAUUAAGAGUCCCACGCAUGCAUGUACAUGCCAAAUCUCCAUGUUCCCACCAAGCAACCAAAAAAGUGCUUUUUUUUUUGGAAGCUCUGCUUAUUUCUGAGCAAUGAAGCUGGAUUUCCUGAGUUGGGUUAUUUCAACUGUCUCCAAAAAAAUACCCUGCAGGCUACAAUAUCUAGAGAGGAGAGAAACUAGAGAGAGAGAGAGAGAGAGAGAAAGGUUUAGGGCUGGCUUUUUUCAGCUUCUUUUAAAUGAUUAAGCCUUGUCGUAGAAGCCAAAGCAAUUUGAUUAAACCCACAAACCAAAAUCAUCUGAUCUUUCCAGUUAGUCCGGAACAAAAAACAACCAUCAUCCUCAUCACUCUCUAUCCGUAAUCAUAGUCCAUUAGCAUAGAAUUAGAUUAAAUUAAACUAAUUAAAUAAAGUGAUUAAAUUAAUUAAAUAAAGUGGGAGGUUUUACCGUUUCCUCCGCCUGUCCGCGCGAUUUGAGAGAACAAAAUGCAUAAUACAAAUACAAUGAAGGCAGCAAUAUGAACAAGCAAAGCAGGUUUCUUUUGAAUAUAUGACCAAAUGGGACUCUCAAUUAAAUUAUGAAAAUUAAUUAAGAUUACAACUUGCAAAUUGAAGGCGACGGGCUUCUCCUCCUUCGGCUGGGACCGAUUCCUGGUUUCAUCCAUUUUCUUGUUAAAUGAAAUAAUGAACACGGUUUGGUCGUUUUCUAAGGAAAUAUCUUAUAUGUUCAGAACUAAUCAAAAUUAGAUAACGAUAUAUCGAUCACAUAAUAAGGACAUACCAAUCAAAUAUCGACAAUCAACAAUUGUAAUUUAAAAAAAAAUCAAUUUGACCAAUUAAAAUUAAGAGACAAUACAUGUGUUAAUUCUUCCUCCUUCAGCCAUGACAUGAUAUGAUUUGGUCAUAUUAUUAUCGAAAUUGUUCAUUCUUUUUAUCACCAUCUAACAACCAUCUAUACAAAAAUUUAUUCAUUUGGACACAAUUUAGUCAUCCAUAUAUGUCAGACCAAUCGGCAGUCAUGAUAACAAGUAACAUCCUCAUUAUGAACCAUCAAUUUGUGUGAUUCAUAUGAAUAACUAAAGGAUUUCUAAAUCAAAUAAUUUUUUUAAAGAUGUUCAUUUGGAAGAAAAAUAACUUUUUAUAUGUAAGGAGUAAAAUAUAUAUAUAUAUAGUAAUUGUUUAUAUGGUCAUUCUUUCUCAACUGUAUUGCCCGUCUUAAAUGAGAAGAACUUACAUGCAAUCAGUUUGGUAAAUUGAUUGUAUUCGUGUCUAGGUCGACACACUAAAACAUAUGAGGACGCAUUAUAGGCUUAAAAGAUAUUGAACAAGUUAUAACACAUGACCACACGUUAUUAACAGAGAUGCUGCCAAUAGUCCUUGCAAGCAAGUUUCUCUCGUAUUUUAGAAAUACAUGGCAUUAAAACAACAUAUAAGUUAAACCCUAAUUUAUCUGCAACUAGGAACCAGUUUUCGUAAGAAAUGGAUAAGAGGAGUAAGGAGUAAGGACGACCUAUGGUGUGUCUGUAACUAAUGUCAUUGCCUCCACUUGGUGGUGGUGACGGUUGAGGCCAUUUUUAUGAAGGUAGGGUCUUCUUCUCCUUUUGUUUUCUUAGCAUUCAAGCAUAUUUAAUCAAAGAUUAGAUCCCCAUGAUUGUUGAAUAAAAAUUUACAUCUUAUUCAAACAGACGAUUUCUAGAGUGUGACUGUGUCUACAACAACAAUAAAGCCUUAUUUCAUUAAGUGGGGUUGACUAUAUAAAUCUUAGAACAUUAUUGCACUCGGUUUUGAGUCAAGUCUUCCACUAGCUCCAAAUACUCAUGUGUUUCUUAAAGUUUCCUUCCAAGUCUUUCUCUACUCCUUUUGCCCCAAGCCUUUGUCUCAUAAUCGUAUUUUCUAACCGAACAUCUAUAUAUGCCUUCGUUUCAGAUGAUCAAACCACCUUAACCAAGACUGUCUAAUAAAUAAAAUAUGGGAAAUUUUAUAUAGACCCAUUUAUCCUCUUUCUACACCCAACUUAUUAUUUUUUAUUUUGAAAUUCCAAAUGUGCCUAAUAAUUCUCUUUCUAAACCCAACAAGCACAAAAAAAAUAUAUAUAUAUAUUAGCAAUAGGCAACUCCAGCCACCUUAUCUCUUCAAACCUCAAUUUCUAACCUCCCUAACUCCCCACCGCCACCUCCCUUACCACCCACAACAAUUUGGAAAUUAGAACAUUAUUCCCAACAACCCACAAUUAAAAAACCCAAAAGAAACAUGUAAAUAUAUAUAUAUAUAUAUAUAUAUAUAUAUUGGAAAAAGUAAUGGUAUUAUUAUUAACAUAUGGUCCAACACAAUUAGACUCGAUACGUCGACAAUUUCGGCAUAAUUCAAAUAUGUUAGAAGGACUGCAUGGAAGAGAGAGCUAUUGUGUGGCCGGCAAAAGGUCGGGAAAUGGACAUUGAUGGCUGAGAUCUUUGGGGUUUCAUUGUGGGUGAUAAGAAGUUGGCAGUGGGGGGGUUGGGGAAGGGUAGAAAUUGGGGGUGGUUAGGGUUUGGAGUGCUGGCAUGGCCCGAGUUUUCUAGUGUUGGAAUUUUAUAUUUUAUUUUUUUGUUCUUUUUCAUUAUGGGUGUAGAAAGAAAAUUGUUGGGCAGAUUCGGAAUUUCAAGAUUAAAAACUAUAAGUUAAGUGUAGAAAGAGAAUAAAUGGGUCUGAAUAAAAUUUCCCAUAAAAUAUCCAAAUUCACUUCAACAAAGAAAAUUCUUUCUUUUAGUGAGGCAGAGUCUAAAUACGCAAACCAAGGACAAAUUGCCGUCUAACACCCACCAAUAAGAACAACUCCAACCAUAGAGUUUUUCGUUCACAAAGAAAAUUCAAGCUAGGGGAAUAAAAAAUGCAACAUUUUGGAAGAGAUUUGGAGCUCGAAUAGUGAAAAGUAUUUAACUUUGUGAUUGAAACUUGGAGUUUAAUUCUCCCAUUUCCUACGCAUGCGUUGUUCACACACCUAAAAAAGUAGCAGAGGCCAUCAAUCAUGGACAAUUACUGUACGUAUGUACCUGUUUGAACCCAAAAUUACAUCAUCAGCUCGUGUAAUCAAGGCCAUUGAGUGAGUAUAGCUCCCAACCGUCGGAUGGAAAAGUGAAGAAAAUUUUGUUAUUGUUAAAGGAUAAUAUUAUGGUUUUUAUCAUAAUAAUUAUCUUUUAAUAUGAAUUAUCUUGGCAUAUUCUUAAACGGGAUAGAUAAGAUGUAAAUUAUAUUUCCAAGCAAGCAGUACAGUUCAAAUGGACUUGAGAUUCUUGUUAUUGGAUUGAAGCAGCAUGGUACAUUUAGAUGAGGUUUGAAUAGUCAGGAUGCAUGGUUUUGGGAUAAUAAUGAAAUCAAGAUAAUGAUGUAGAUUGGAAUGUCAUUGGUGCAUGGGAAUUUGGACGACAAAGAUCCACGUAAAUUGCGAUUUAGGCAUUUAAAUAUUAAAACCAAUCUUUGGAUUAGAUUGGUGCUCUGCAAAGAUGAGAGUAGCACGACAUUGACCCAAGAAAUCUUGAUUUUGACUAAGGCUAAGGGAUAUUAUCAAGGUAGUUUUGGUGACGAGAUAAGAAGCCUAGGUGGGUUAGGCUUCUGAUGAGAUGUGAUAAGCCUAGAUAGGCUUUUAUUUUGUUUGAAAAGUCACGAACAGUAAUCUGAAGGAUCUGCCUUGGUCUCUGACAUGGAUCAAUUUGAGUUCCGCGAGUUAGAGUUGCAGUUGGACUCUACAAAAUUAUCUGGUCGUGCCAAGUAGAAGAUAUGAAUGCUAUAAAUACAAGGUGCGUUGCAACAAAUGAGUCCUUUCAAAUCAACACACAAAUUGCCCUGUGCAAAGCUUCUUGACACCUUGAGAUUUUAUUUUCUUCCCAUUUCUUUAUGUCAACACAUUUUCAAUUUGGAUAAACAGCACUGUGAAGGCAACCGGUGACAUCUUCAGUUUGGAUAAGCAGCACUAAAGCCAUAGAAUCAGUCGAUCGAGGAGCACACCUUCAGUUUGGAUAAAUAGCACUACUUCGAGGCCGACUGGUUAUUCAUCCAAGUCUCGGUCGAUAAGGGUUUUCGAGUCCUUGUUGGUAAAGGUCAUCUAAUUAACCUUCUCGACGAAGUGAGGUGUUACAGGUUACUGGGCUCGGCACAUUGAACACCGAGUUUUAUGAUUGGAAUUACAUUUUAGAGUUCGGCAUUCUGACGGCUGAACCACAUUUACCAUCAAGACAUACAUCUCCUUUGAGUACUUGUGUCCGUAUAGUUUGGUGCCAGUUCGGCAUGCUUAUACUCUUACGAAUAUAAUCACCGUGCCUGACCCGACACCGAUGAUUUGUGAACUUCGCAGAACUAGCAGCCUUAUCUUUAGGCUUUAGAACCCGAAGGCCAAGAUGUGCUUCUUGGCUGCAGUCGCAAGAUCGAGAAGUCAGCAGCGUGCUCAACGCAACAUCAAUAUAUUUUACUCCCCGACCGAGCUCUGCCAUUGAGUUGGCACGCCCCACACAUAACCGAAUGACGUAGUCAGCUCAUUAGUUACUCGGCCUGCGCGCCACGUAGGCUUGAUAGUUUUUAGGGUCAACAUUUUGGCACGCCUGAUGGGACAUAGUGCUAAAACUACGAAGUUCCCAUGAUAUAUGUGAAAUCCCGUCCCCGGAAUUUCACUAUUCAUUAUGUAUCUUGUAAUUUAAGUUCGUAUUUCACGUUUAUGUUAUUUUUAUUACUUAAUUUUAAUUCUGUAAAUUUUGGGAAUUAAAUCGAAUAGUUAUCGGGUUUGAAUUUUUGAAAUCAAUCUUUAUCUUCUGUUGACUUUUCGAAGUUUAACUAGUGUUUUUAAAUAGAUCUCGAACCCACGAACGCAUAGGCGAAAACCAUUUGCGAGUCUGAGUUAUAACGGUAUAGUUACGGACGUUUGAAGUUGUGUUGCUUUGAAAAGAAAAAAAAAGAGAAAGAAAGAAAGCCACGGGUGUGGCAAGUGAAGAAAAAAAAAGAGGGAAAGGAUCCCCCCUCCCCCCAAAUUUCUGUCAACCCGUGCACCCAAAAGAAAAAAAAAAGGGUUUCGACCUGGCCAAUUUCAGGCCAAAAUCCUUUCACUUUUCAGGCCUUUUGCACCCAUUCACCACCUGCAACUUAUUCCACAACCUCUCAUCUACCUUAUUUGCUCAAAUUAAAGGGUUUUUAAGGCCAAAUUCGGGUAGAACUCCCAGGGGUUCUCGACGACGAUUCGUCGUUCCGGUGAGUAUCACCAUUCACCAUCACCUUGAUCAACUUCUCUUGGACCCAAGAACAAGACCCAAUCAGUUGUAGGGGCAUUGGAACACCAAGAAAGCUGAAUUGAAGAACACCCACCUUAGGGUUUUCGACGGGUGCGAGCCAAUCUGAGGGUCUUCCCGGUCAAAUUGGACUUGGCCACAGGUAUAAAGUUUACUCUACUUUUUGCGAUCUUUAUUCCUGUAAAAUUUGAGAAUUUUUGGAAAAAGUCGAAUUUCCCGGUGUGACAUCCGAUUUAUGAAAUGCUAAUGGAUAACAUUAUGUAUGUAUAGUCUUAUUUGAAAAUUAACCUUUUAUCAUGUUGCAUUUGUUGCUUUAAAGUUAGUGAAUGCAUUAAUGUAAUGUUGAUGAUGGGGAAUCGACAAUUAUAUUGUCCCAUAAUGUGAAAUUGUUUCUCUUCAUAUUUGGUACAAUUUUGCUAGAGUUGUUAGUAUACAUUUAGUUAGACGUGGUCCAGAUUUUAUCCUUGUGAUGACAGUGAAUAGCCAUUGUUGAUGAGCAUAUUGAUUCCAUCUCAUUGGUUUAGCAUUAUCAAACAUUUCUGCUUAUGUCUGAAGUUGAAUGAAUCCUUAUAUGUAUGUAUAAAUUAAUGAAGGGUUGAAUUUGUUUCCUUAUUUACCGUAUACAUAUAUCUAUGUAUGCAUAUUCAAGGGAACUUACUUAUAUCCCUGGAUAUAUAUAUGCACCAAUUGCCAAGGCUUUCAAAUGUUACAUUUAUUUUGAUCAUGUUAAUUCAAGUUAACCAAAGUAGUACUUGGAUCUCAUAGUGUGAAUUUGUAGUUCCAAGUAAUCUAAUUAAGACUAGGGUCGGAAGUGAUGCAUUUAGUAAUUGCAUAUACUUGAGAAUAGGAGUUGAUCGAGGUGAUGGAUGCUUGUAGUAAUAAUUCGAAACAAUGCUUGAAACCUAGAUGGGAAAUACAGAAAUGGAUGGUGUAUGUGCUCAUGUUGUAAAUCAUAAGUGUAGAGGUAGGAGGUAAGUUGUGUUGGAUAUAUGUCAACAAUCCGUAAUAAAAUAAAUAUGCUAAUAAUAAAUAUGAAUAAAUAUAUUCCAGAGACUCAACAAGAUGCAAUAUUAAUUAAGCAGAGUAAUAAAAGAUUGAGGCUUGCGUACCGCAAUGUCCUUGAAACAAAAAUUUCACCCCUACUCAGUGCGUGUAGUUCUACGAACAUCUGCUUCACCAGGAUUCAACGAUCUAAGUCAGAAAUUCCAACACCGGAAUAUUGAUUUCUGGUGAAUAUUAAUGUGGUUCUCUCAGAAAUGAUGUUUAUGAUUGCAGGAGAAGAUUUAUGAUUUUUUCUGUGUUCUAAAUGCCAUGCAGAUGGAUGUAUAUAUAAUGUGAUUAUACCUGUUCGCAUCAGGUAUAAGGAAAGGAUGCAUCUGUUAGGAGACAUCUGCUGAAAAUGGUGUUUUUGUUUCUGCGUUCUCACACUUUAGACUUCAUCUGAAAAAAUGAGUCUAUUGGUAAAAUUAAUUAAUUAAUUAAAAUUCGAAAUUAAAAAUAAUUAAUUAAUUUAAUUAUUAGAGCCCAAGAGCCCAAGAGCCCCAAGGCCCAUUAAAUAUAUAUUAUUAUAUAUUAAGUAUAAUUAAUUAUAUAUUAAUUACCAACUAAUUAGUACAUCCCAAAGCCCAAUCCCAAGGGUGAGCCCAAUUUUAGUCUCUAGGCCUAUUACUUCAAUCAUUUUCUAUAAAGGACAAAGUCUUAUAAAGUGAUAAAAUCUUUUAGGAAUGACCAAUGUGGGACAAAGAAAUUUCUACUCAAACUACUCAAUUUCCAACAAGUUGUGUGUUGAUUUGAUAGCACCAUAUAGCAUUGGUACAUUGAUGACCCUGCUUAGUUAAUCCGCAUUGGGGGGUCACUACCUACUUGGUUACUUUCUUAGGGGUAGCUCUGCUUGGUUAAUCCGCUUUGGGGGGCCACUUCCUAUUUGGUUACUUGCGUAGGCUUCGGCCGAACAACGUCUCUCUAGUUCUAUUUUGAGUGUAUCCGUGAAUUUUGGCUUCGAGAACUUUGAGUUUGAUUUAGAAAAGUCGUUGGAUGUCUAUGUGACUCAUUCGGAGUUUGCAAAGGUUUGGUAUUAAUUUCUUAUGAAUGAUUUAUAUUCAAAGUUUAUAAACUGUGAUUGAUGGUUGGUUUCAUCAUUAUUAUUACAUACUUUGUAUUACUGUCGCUCACACGAGCUUCGCAUCUUAUCCAGGUUAUUGGUUGCUCGAUGCACCAUUUCCAUGAUGUAGGCACUUAUUUCACGUGCGACAGGUCUGGGUAAAUUAUGAGAAACCGUUUAAUAUUUUGAUUCCGUUAAGUAGUCCAGAAUCCUUGCUCUUGCUCAUUUCCAUAAGGUUAUCUUAGAAUCCUAGAUUCGAGUGAAUGGGAAUUACCCACGAUGGAUCUUGUGAAUACAAAUUAGAAUUACCAUGUUAUUAUCCAUAACCCAAGUAGGAAAUUAUGUAGAGUUCUUUAAUUAAAUUCGUAAAAUGAUAUGCUAUCUCACUGAUUGAUUAACGUGAUUAAAUAUUAAUAUUGUGCUUUGUGAUUCCUUGAUAUGUUACAAGCCAUGGAUUGAGAUAUAAUGUUGGAAGCAUAGGGAUUGGUAUGAUGUAGUGAAAUGUGAUUUGACUUAUGCAUUGGAAAUGGUUGUGACAUGUGAUUGAAAUGCAUAUUGAAUUGCUUGGGAGAUGUGAGGUCUAGUAAUGGACCGAUAACCCAUUGUGAUGGGGAUUUGUUGCUUGAUAUAGUUUCGUUUCGUUGAGUCUUUGUGAAUUGAGUAACUUGAAUCAUGUCUUAUUCUUUUGAGCCAUUGUUAUGCUUCCUGGACUUCUGUUCAGUUCUGUUAAGUAGUUCGGAACUGAGUUCUGAUUGGAUUCUGUUGAGUGAUGGUCCAGAAUCCCUUCUACUUCGCAAUUCCGUUGAGUGAUGGUCCGGAAUCGUAUUUUGAUUGGAUUCCGUUGAGUGAUGGUCCGGAAUCGUAUCCUGAUUGGAUUCCGUUGAGUGAUGGUCCGAAAUUCCCUUUGGUGCCUUGAUUCUGUUAGGUGGUCCAAAAUUCCCUUUUUUAGAGAUGCAGUCUUCGGUCGAGCUGUGGCGCUCUAGCCCGCAUUUUGACGUUUUGUAUGUGUUAUUGAUGAUGUGAUGGUUGGCAUUAUUGAUGGAUGUGAUUAUGGAAUGAUGUUGGUUAUGGUAAUUAUGAUUAGGCUCGUUGAACUUUAUGACUAGUGACUAUGAUUGUGCUCCACCGUUUGUCCCUUGUAAUGUUGCAUGUUAUGCAUUGUGAUUUAUUGUUGAGACAUAGCUAUUUAAUUGAUGAAUAUUCGAGUGUAGUGAAAUGACGAACUACGAAUGGCUUGAUCCCUAAUGAGGGUACGUAGGUAGUCUAACGAGGAGGUUAGAUGUAGCCAUAAAGUAUACGAAAAACUACUAUGCGAUUCGAUUCUCGAGUUGUGCUUUGUACAUAUCCUGGAGGUGGGGUAUGUUAGAGAUACGGGUAUUGGUGUCGUCACGUGUCGAUCCUGAACGUGUGUUGGGAUCGGGGUGUGACAAUAUAUCAAGACCUCAAUCAGGCUCCAUUGGACGAGAUUUGUCGCCUAUUAAAGAAAAACUUCGAGAAGCAAGAAAACUCAUUGAGAAGUGCUAUAGAAAAUUUUUCGAUGUGAGUAGCAAUCUGGAAAAAGAAAGGCAAGAGGUCGGAGGGAAAUUUUUCGCUCCAGCCACAAUCAAAAUUCGGCCUAAGAAGAUUGUCAAGACGGUCGAAGAAAAACCUAGGCCACUUGUUUUUUCGGUCGAGACUGAAAGUGUGGUAGGCCUAGAAGAAAAGUUUCAAGUUUCAAAGUCAAAAAUCGACUCAGUAAAUGAUUCGUCUGAGUAGUGUUCCAAUGACAAACAAGACCGAUACACGACUUCAGACCACAAAACUACAUCAAUUGAUAUGGUAAUUGGAGACAUGGUCUUAGAAGCCGAAACCAUGACAGUCGAUAUGGUUAUUGGUGAUAAGGCCAAUAUAGAGAAAUCAUGUUCGGCUAAGUUGUUCAAGUUAAAAGUCGAAAUUGGUGAAAUUAUUAUGCUCGUGGGGUUAAUAAUUUUUCAGCACAUUCAACGGUUGAGAAUCAAGAAUUUUUCGUCCAGUCAAAAGUAUUUGGAGAUGAUUCUUUAUUCGGUUUAGAUCGAAAUCAAAUUGAAAACGUCAAUACCAAAAUAUCUCGGCUUGGAAUAAAGCACCGUUGGCCUCCUCCUUAUGGAUUGGCCAUUUUUAUUUCCGUUUGCUAAAAAAAAAAAGGUAGUGAUAUAAAUAAAUUAUUUUCUCAACCAUUCGGCUUUUCAGUCGAUACGUAAGAAAAUAAGGGGGCAACAAGCAUCCUAGUUAUGGGGUCGAUGCGGUAACCUAUAUCUAUUCAGAGGAAUCUCAAGAGCUUACAAAUGGAUUAGUGUUUAUAUAUCGCACUGUUCGUUGUGUUGUAUCUUUGCUCAGUGCAGAAACCUAGACGUUCUCGACAUUGGAUGUUGUGAGGCGAUCCACCAUGGGAAUUUGCUAUCGGUGGGUUUCAAAAGCACUUGGUGGCUUUUUUCCAACACAUCCAUUUAGUAGCAUCGCGACGGUUAAAAUUAUAUUUUUAACCUCGCCGAGGGUGAGUAUAUAUAAAAUGCUGCUUGUUGAGACAUGAUACUCGGUGCGGAAGAGAAUUUUUGUUUGCUUGGUUGAAAUCCUCUAUGAAGGAUCUACUAACCUAUAUAUAUUUCUUGCGGGCCCGAAGCCAACACAGAUGUGAAAUGAAAAAAAAAAGGAAUUAUUAAUGACGGACAAAGAUUGUCUGCCCUCCUACUUCCUGUGUCAUCCCGUGUCCUUCUGUUUGUGUGGUCAGGGUUAAACCACGUCAACAUUUUAUAUUACUAUUCAUUUUUAUCUUAUUAUCUCUAUAAAAAAAAUAUAAAAUGUUGACGUGGCUUAAUUAUGAUCACAAAAAACAGGAGGGCACCGAAAAUAGGAGGGCAAACAAUCCUUGUCCAUUAAUGACAGCUCUUCGACUGGUGUACUGGUGUAUUCGGCUGGUGUAUAGUCACACGACUGGUGUACUUUCCGACUCGGGCAGACUACCAGUGAAAUUAGUGCAGCAGCAAUUUUUGUGUGUCGAACUGAUCAGUGGUGGCUCGAGAUGAAAUUGGAGUAAUUUAACUGUCAUUUUGUAGUCGAGAAUUCAGCUAGUUAUUGAUGUGACUUCAACUGGCUGUGGAGACACUUCAAGCAGUUUGUUUUGUUGGUUCUCGGCAGUUACAGCUUAGUUUUUUAGCACGAUGGUGCUGAAAUGAAAAUAAUAGAAGGCACUAGGCUGGGACCCCACAAUGAGGAUGGAGGCAUAGAAAAUGACCCACUUUUGGUGGCCAUUCUGUGCACUGUGACCGGCAAUUACGUAUGGCCGUGAAGCAUGCCACCUUGCCCAAGAAUAUUAGACCAAGUCCAAGAGCAUUAAAACUCCAGAAGCUGUAAACAAAAACCCAGAGUAGCUUUCCGCCGAGUGAUGGUUAUUCAGUGAUGGUUUUGAUGUUGUUUCCUCAGCCAUAUGUUUUUGCAGUCAUUCAAAGAUAUUCGGUCGUUGGUCUAUUGUUUUGCUCCUUAAUUCGAGGAGUUCAUUUGAUGAUUUCUUCAGUUUGACGAAUCAUUUUGAUCCACGCCAUAUCAUGUUCGACGGCCUUGACACCGUUUCACCCAUGCUAGCUUGGUGGGGAUAUUUGGUAAAAGACAUGGUUUAUCCAAAUUUCGUCAACAUCAAAAAUUCUUUUGGACUGAAAGCUUCAACCAAGGAUUUGGGAUACUGCACCAUAGAUUUUGGUUCAUGGAGAGACCAAGUAUGCGUUUUGCCGAAUGAAUAUGUAUUCGGUGGAGUUAUUUGGCAGCUACAGAAGUUCAAAUGCAAGCGUAAAUUUCCUUAACCAUUCAGCUUACAAGCCGAAGCUCAAGGAAAUUGGGGACUGUGUUUGAACCCAAAUUUAUAUCAUCGGUCCGUGCAAUCAAGACCGUUGAAUGAGCAUAACUUCCAAUCGUCGGAUGGAAAAAUAAAGAAAAUUUUGUUAUUGUUAAAAGAUAAUAUUAUGAUUUUUAUCAUAAUAAUUAUCUUUUAAUAUGAAUUAUGUUGACAUAUUCUUAAACGGGAUAGAUAAGAUGUAAAUUAUAUUUCCUUUCAGUUCAAAUAGACUUUAGGAUUCUUGUUAUCGGAUUGGAGUAGCAUGGUACAUUAAGAUGAGGUUUGAAUAUUCAGGAUGCAUGGUUUUGGGAAAUGAUGAAGUCAAGAUAAUGAUGCAUAUUGAAAUGUCAUUGGUGCAUGAGAAUUUGGACGACAGAGUUCCACGUAAACUGCGAUUUAGGCAUUAAAUAUUAAAACCAAUCUUUGGAUUAGAUGUGCUCUGCAAAGAUGAGAGGAGCACGGCAUUGACUCAAGAAAUCUUGAUUUUGACAAAGGCUGACGGAUAUUAUCAAGGUACUUCUGUUGAUGAGAUAAGGAGUCUAGGUGGGCUAAGCUUAUAAGAUGUGAUAAGCCUAGAUAGGUUUUUAUUUUGUUUGAAAAGUCACGAACAGUAAUCUGAAGGAUAUGUCUUGGCCUUUAACACGAAUCAAUUUCAGUUCCGCAACUUAGAACCUAAAGGUCGAGACAUGCUUCUUCCUCAGCCGCAAUCGCAAGAUAGAGAAGUCAGCAGCGCGCUCAACACAACAUCAACAUAUUUUACUCUCUAGCCAAGCUCGGCCAUCGAGUUGGCACGCUUCGCACAUAACCGAAUGACGUAGCUAACUCAUUAGUUACUCGACCUGCAUGCCACUAAGCUUGGUAGUUUUAAGGGUCAACAAUAUCAUAUCUAAUUUUUUUUUAAGGGACUAGCUGGUGGCUUUACCACUAUAAUCCAUCUUUCGGAAGCAGACUCAUAGAGGCAUUCAAACUCUCAUUAGCUACCGUCUUGUGAUUCAUCAACGCCGGGCUUUUCAGACUCAUAGAGGCAUUUCGGGAGCAAACAGUUGUGGCGCAUUUAGUUAAGAGUAUCACUCUUUCUUUUUAAGGUUUAAUAUUCUAUUCUUGGUGAGUUGAGUCACCAGCUUUAGAGUUCUGCCACAAAGAUCCAAAUUAAACAGAGCAGAAGGUAAUAGCUACAGAAGAACAUAAUCUGUUAGCAUGUUAAUCAGAUUCCAAGGAAAAAAGAUAGCUGAUUCAUGCAUACAUUUUCAAUGGGAAGUGAGAACGGAUCAUCAUGAGGUGGAGCUGAACCUCCUGCAGUUCCUGAAAACAAAAUUCGAGUUAGAAUCUAUUAGGUGGCAAGUAAAAAGGAUAGACAAACCUUAGAAGGCAUUACAUUAACAGGCCUUUUGAUUGUUCAUUGUUGUGGACGACACUGGCUUGUUCGUUGUUGUGAACCACACUGGCUUGUUCAUCGUUGUGAACGACACUGGCUUGUUCAUCGUUGGGAACGGCACUGACAUUUUUGGUUUCAUUUUCAGCUUUAUGUGAAAUAGCUUCACAUGAAAUAUUGUUUAGUAUAUCCUGGCACAAAACAAAUAACGGUAGAGAAAUCAAUCAGGUCGUUGAAGACUUGAGAUGCCUGAAUCACAUCACUCAAAUUUAUGAUGAUUUUUGUACCAUAUCCUCCAACCUGACACAGAUUCGAAAAUUCGAAAAAGAAAAAUAAAACAGAUCAACACCAAGAAUGUAGGAUACAGAAAACAAUUCCAAAUUAACAAAACAAAGUUCUACUUCACCGAAAAUGCUUUCGACUAUUUUAAAAGCUUCCAAACGAAUGCUUAAUUUUUUAUGUAUGCUUGCUCAUAUUUUCAAUUUUUUUUUUUUUUUUUGUGAAAAUGUGAUUAUUGAGUAACACUCACCCACUUUUGCUACCAUUGAGUUUUACACCAUUGUAAGCAAUUUCACCAUAUAUUAAUUUACUUAAGUAUUAUUAUUGAAUAUUUAAUCCUGUGAAGCAAGUGGUCCUUUACUACGGCGUGGAAAUGUGUUGAAUUCUUGCAUGAUGGCGUGAGUUUAAAUUCCGUUGGUGGCUAAUCUAACAAAAUUUAUCGUUUGACAAAAAAAAAACGUAAAAAUCAACCAAAAAUAUUUGUGACCACGAUCAAAUCCAUUUUGACAGUCGGAACAUCUCUGAAAUGUCCUACAUAAAUUUUUAAUCGCAAAUCCGAUUACAAAUCGUGAGUGUUAGCUCAAACUUCAGUAAAACUUCAACCGUUGAGUUUUCAAACAAUCUUUUUCCUGGAAGCAAAGUAGUUGCGGCCGUCCAACAACCAAACUAAUUCAACCGUUUUGGUGUAUUUCGGGAAAAGAGAGUGGGGAGUUGUUCAAGGUUGCUGCAUUUCUAGUUGUUCCCUUAUGUUUGUUUCUCAUUUUUUUCUUUCUCCAAAGAAGUUGAGGAUUGAAUUUUUAAGAUGGGAUUGUGUAUAUGUGUAUAGUUAGAAGUGUGGAAUGAAAUGAUUCUCUGAAUUUCAAUGCUGCCAAAAGUGCUUUUAUUAGAACAACGUUGAAAUUUUAUUAAAUUCAAGUGCUUUUUUAAAAUAUAGUUCGAAGUGAUUCUUAUCAUAAGUACUUUUAAGUUUUUCUACCUUGAAGAGAGACUUUUUAUAGGGAGCAAUUCUGCUAAUAAGGCUACAAGUGUAAACAUGUCGAAUUUUCUAUUAUAUAUUCAAAUGAUUUAUUUAAGUGCUUUCUAAAAAGGCACUCAGGUGCUCCUUCUCCAACCGCACUUAAUUUUAAGUAUUUAUGCCAAAUGUGGUCACUGGUUAGAAAUGUUAUCGAUUGUCAGAAAGCACGUUUAAAGAAGUCUUGCAUCAAAUCCAAAAGAACUAAGAAACAAUGUAAAAAUAUUACAUGCCUAUUUGUCAGUUGAAAUCAAGAACGCUACGUUGCACUCCAUAAUUACAAUUGAUACAGAAAAUUACAAUUACGAAAGAAAUUAAUUAACACAAAACUCCGUUACUACUUGGGUUCGAUUUUCGCUGAAACAGCGUAUCCACCGCUGUAAUCAAAGGAGCCGGUGCUGUCAUUGAAUUCCUUUUUCGGCAAGCCAUCGUUGUAGGGAUGUUUCGGAGCACCUUUUGAUGCUGCAAACUCUGUGGCUGAUGAAGAUGCUGAUGUUGAGUUUGUGUUCAUCCCAUCGUUCUGCAGAAUGGUUUCGAUAGCCUUCACAACUUCACUCAUCGUGGGACGAUCUGCAGCUGAUUCUUCAACGCAUUGCAUGGCUAGCUCCAAGAACCUCCCAAACCCAAUAAGAGUUCCUGAGUUUCGAAUGUUUCGAUCUAUUAACUCCCUCAAACCGUAAUGCUCUUCGUCAUUCUUGUUCAUCACCAAUCGUACCUCGCGGACAAUGUAUUUUCCCUUCUCAAUUGGCUGCCUAGCAGUUAUCAGUUCAAGCAUAACGACUCCAAAGCUGUAUACAUCGCUCUUCUCGGUCAAUUGUUGAGUCAUGUAGUACUCAGGAUCCAGAUAGCCCUGAAAGUACAGACAGUAACUUACAAUACAAGAAAUGUGGAAACUGGAAAACACGAUUUUCCUGCUUAGUGCUUACCCUAGCAGAUCACAUUUAGGUAGUUAUAAAUGAUAACAUUCGAAAUGCUUAAUUGUAAACUUACCAUUGUUCCUUUGACCUGAGUCGAGACAUGUCCUUUUCCGCUGUCAUUGACCAGCUUCGAGAGGCCAAAAUCUGCAACCUUCGCCGUUAAAUGUUCAUCUAAUAGAAUAUUGGUGGACUUCACAUCUCUGUGAAUUAUAGGAGGAUUUGCAAGCUCAUGUAGGUAAGCCAGUCCUCUUGCCGAGCCAAGAGUGAUUCGGAGUCUCCUCUUCCAAUCGAGGUGAAUACCAGAUCUCCCUGCAACUCAUAUUAAAACAAAGCUUAUCAUUACAUGUUAAAUCAAUGGUACUAAAUGAAGCACUUAAAACGAAAAAUAUGAAAUAGCGAAAAGUAAAAUCUAGAACUGACCUGACAAGCCUUCCCUAAGUGUUCCAUUAGGCAUAAACUCGUAAACCAGCAUCUGCUCUCCUUGUUCGAAACAGAAUCCCAAAAGACCAACGACAUUUUUGUGAUGAACGCGAGAGAGCAACUCAAUUUCAGUCUUGAACUCGAGGCCUCCCUGCAUUGAUCCUUGCUGAGCUCUUUUGAUUGCUAUCACUUGUCCAUCAGAAAGCAUGCCCCUGUAAACCUAUGGAUAGCCAACCCAAAAGUAUAGAAAAAAAAAUCUUUUAGCUUCUAACACAAUUUCAUAGAUGUUACUGAAUGAGUUGUAUAUAUACCUUCCCGUAGCCGCCAGAUCCUAUCUCAUUACUGUCAGAGAAAUUAUUGGUGCACUUCUUAAGCUCAUCAUACGAAAACCAUCUUGCUCCCUUUAACUGUGGUGCACCGCCACUAUCAUUUCCGCUUGGCACCCAAGAAGCUGGAAGAUAGAGCAGAGUAAUGAAUAUAAGAUGAACAGUAUCUAGUAUUAGUGACAGAAUUUCAGUCUAGAAAUUAUCCACAACAGGAAUGAUUACUUACCGAAAGGUCUGCUUAAACCAAUGGCUCUUUCUGCACGUUUCUUUUGCCUAAAGGCGUAAAUUCCUACUACCACGAGGCCCACAACAAGAACGAGACAACUAACUGAUAUCCCGACAAUAACACCAGUGCUCAUAGAGCUUUUAUGCGUGUCUGAAACAAUUCGGGUUUUUUACUGUCAGUUUAAUUGAUCUUCUAAUGCAGGGAAAGUGUAUAUGAACACUGUGAUUUAAAAUUACCUGGGAAAUUAUAUUGAGCUGCAUUAAAAAUGAAGGGUCCAAACUCCUUUGGCGGCUUGUAAGUCUGAUUGCUCAUAUCAAAACCAAUCCUGAUAAUCUCAGACCUAUUAAAAUAUGUUCCUGUGGGUGGAAAGAGAGCCACAUGUACUUUAAGAUGGUCAUCUAUGUCGAAGAAAGGGUUAUCAAGUGACACUGAACCGGGAGUGAG